rnacentral:lncRNA from 1 species
UUGUUUGGGAUGCUGCUAUAGCUAUUGCAUUGAAGGACUACCGUAUGCUUGUUUUGAGAGAUCAUGCUCCAAAGGAGUGGUCCGAUAAGGAGAAAAUGAAGACGUGGAGUGUGAUCAGCUUACGUUGUCCUCAGAUUAUAGCUAACCUUCCCAAGGAGAUGGAGUGUUCAGGACUUUCCUUUUUCCAUGUGGCCUAUGAUGGCGCGGUUAAAAUUCCUCUCAAUUUCUUCAAACAAACCGAAGGCCUCAAAGCCUUAGAUUUGGUCGGAAUGCAGUUUCCAUCCCUCCCUGAAUCAAUUAUUCACCUUGCAGACCUUCGCAUGUUGUGUCUGAAAGAAUGUGCAGUUGAUGACAUAACCAUCCUUGGAGAGCUCAAGAGUUUACAAGUACUCAACCUUUCUCUGUAAGGUAUGAAAGAACUACCUAAGGAGAUGGCACAAUUGACUCAAUUAAGGUUGUUAGAUUUGCGUGGGUGUAGAGAACUCAAAAUCAUCCCAUCGAAUGUCUUAUCAGGUUUGUCUAAAUUAGAAGAAAUAUAUAUGAGUGGGAGCUUUGUUGAAUGGGAAAAGGGAGGAGUAGUUGAAAAUGAGAGGAAAAAUGCAAGCCUUGAUGAAUUAAACAAUUUGCCUUGUCUAACUACUUUAUAUGUUCAUAUUCUUGAUGUCCAAAUGAUACCAAAACACCGGUUUGUUGAAACAUUGGACAGAUUCAGGAUUUUCGUAGGUAAUUAUGGAAUAUAUGAUUGUUGCCAUAAUUAUGAAUCUCCGAAAGCAUUGAAGCUCAUGUUAUAUACAAACAUUGAUUUGGACAAUGGGAUGAAAAUGUUGUUGAUAAAGACAGAAGAUUUGUGCCUAGAGGGACUUGAAGGCGUCAAGAAUGUACUUGUGGAGUUAAAUAAUGGGAAAGAUCUUCCCAAUUUAAAGAGACUUCAUGUCAGAAAUGGUAGGCAUGUCCAAUAUAUUAAAACAAACAAAAUUGGAUUUUCUGAAUUAUGCUUCAUCAAACUUGAAAAUCUACCGCAACUUGUUAGCUUUUGCUCUUCAGACGAAAGGUGUUCCACUAAGCCCUUACUUCUUUUCAAUAAACAGGUAUUUGUUUGGCUUUACUUAUAUUUUCUUAUACAAUUUUAUUUAUAUGCCCAUUAAUACUUCUAAUAAUAGAAAUAAAUAAUAUUGUGUAAUUGUUUUUUCGGAGCUCAAAAAUAAAUUUCAAAUCCAAAACAAAUGAAAAAUUAAUUUUUAAUUCAAACCGAUUGAAAGUACAAAGUCAAUUCAAUAAUCUAAAUUUAAACCCAACAAUUUUUUUUAAUUCUAAAAAUGAAAUUUGAGCCCACAAAUCGAACUAAAAUUAUCUUUAAAAUCGAAAAUCAUAUUUCCAAAUUAUGUUACAUACUAUCUUUCCCUAUCGAAAAAGAAUUGUGUAAAUAUGUGCAAUUUAUUUUCCCUCACUUGGAAAGCUUGUAAUUGUGUUCCAUUAACACCAAAAUAAUAUGGCACAACCAGACAUGUCAUUGGGUUACGAAUUUGAGGAGCUUGAUCAUCAAAGGAUGCGGCAAGUUGGAGCAUCUGUUAUCACCCUCUCUCGCUAGAAGUCUGGUGCAGCUCCAAUGCUUUGAGAUAGAGGAUUGCAAUUGCUUAAGGGACAUCAUACUUACAGAGGAAAUUGAAGAAGAAAGGAAAGAUGUGAUUUGUUUCCCUCGAUUAAACUCCCUGCAUAUAGUGGGUCUUACAAACCUCAUCUUCUUCAACUCAGGAAACCACAAUAUUGAGUUCCCACUGUUGAAAGUGCUAAAGAUUGAGCGUUGCCCCAAGUUAAUAGAAUUCAUUAGUCAGAAUAGUAAUCAGUCCGGCAUGCACGCUCUCUUCAGUGAGAAGGUGAUUUAUUUCAUUAGUCUAACACUCUUGCAUAAAUCUGUUGAUUUGUCCUUGUUUUUUUUUCUGCCUUCAUUAUUUGAGCUAACCUUAUUAUGGGCAUUGAUUAUAUAUAUAUAUAUAUAUGAAUAGGUUGCAGUUCCUAGCUUGGAAGACAUGAAUAUCUGGGACUUGAGUAAUGUGAAGAUGAUAUUUUAUAAUGAGCUAGCACCAGGUUCCUUUAAAAAUCUACGAAAAAUAAGUGUUGUGGAAUGUGGGAGUUUGAAAAAUCUAUUUCCAGUAUCAAUAGCCAAAGAUCUUCCACAACUUGAACAUUUACGCAUCACUAAUUGUGGAGUUGAGGAGAUUGUAUCGAAAGGGGUUGGAGUGGAGGAGCAGCCUGUGAGGUUUGAGUUUCCGCAAGUAUCUUACCUUGAGGUUACAUGGGUAGAAAAGCUCAAAUGUUUCUACGAAGAGCAACAUGCAUUAGUCUGGCCGAUGUUGAAAAAAUUGAGAACAGAUAGUUCUGCUUUGCUAAAGAUAGUGGCAUCGGAACAUCUUAGAUUAACCCAAGGAAAUGAGCAGCCAGUUUUGUUGGUUGAAGAGGUAUGUAUAUCAUUACAACUAUAUUUCUUUUUAUGCCACGAUAAUACAUUUCUUAUUAUUAUAGUUUGUUUGAUUUUAAUUUUUUUGUUACAUUUAUAAUUAUUUUUUCAAUUUUUGAAAACAAGAUUGAAUAAACAUAAUAGGUAAAUAUUGAGUAUUAAUCUUGACUUUUUAGAUUAUCGUUCAAUUUGAUAAAAUUUAUAAAUGUUGAAAGUUAAAUUUAUAAAUGCUACAUUAGCAUCCUGUUAGGUGCUUUACAGCAUAGCAAUUAAGAUAUUCAAUUUCUCUAACAACAGUGAUUAAAUUGAAAUUUUAUUUGUUUUUAAGUAACCAAAAUAAAAAUAUUUUAACACUAAGUGACUAUAUAUGUAAUUUACCCUGCAUUUAAGUAGUGGGUCGAAAUUAAAUAGAACGUUUAAUUUGCUAAAAAAAAUUGCCACUCAAUAAAAAAUCAAAACUUUAAAAGUUAAUUACACUAGACAUCUCAAACUAUGACCUUCAUUUUAAAUUAGUCCUAAAAUUUAAAAUAUUAUAAUUACAUUCUUAAACUAUUGAGGUUAUAUCAAUUAAGUCUUUCUGUUAUUAAAUUCAUUAAUUUAACCAUCAAAUUAAAUCAGUGUAAUAUUUAUCUAUUUUAAUCUAGAUUUGCUACUCUUCUUUCGGCUUUCAUGUUGUGUAAUUUUUAUCAGUUUUUAUUCUCAAGGUAUUGUGUUUUCUUAAAACAAAAAAUUCAUCUAUUCUGGAUUCGUUUAAUUUAUAUUGAUUUUGUUGGGAUUUAAUCAUCAAAAUCAAACACUAAAGUUGUAUUUAUUUAAUUGAUUUUGUUUGUUUUUUUAAGGCAUAUACAUCAACAUUGAGCCUAACUUGUAUAUAUUUAAUUGGUUUCCAAGGUCAUUCCCAAAUUAGAGGAACUUGAGUUAGGAACUUUUGGAGAUAUGGACCAAUUUCCACCAGACUUGUUUCAACAUAUUAAAGUUUUUGCAGUGAGUGGUGGCUCUCCAUUUUCUUUAUUUCCUUUCGUCCGAAGAUUCUACAAUCUGGAAAGACUUGAGUUCUCUUGUUUUGAUUUCGAACAUGUAGUCCCUUGUAAAGGAGACGCCGGGACACUCCCACCAAUUAGAAAUCUGAAAUUGUUUUCUGCCAGAAAUCUUAACCAUAUUUGGAGGAAAGAUUCGGAGCUUGACCAUAUUCUUUCUAAUCUUCAAACACUCACAGUUCAGCAUUGUGAUGAUUGGAUAAAUAUUAGAGUCUUCUCAUCAUCUUUACAAAAUCUCACAAUUUUGAAUGUGUCAUUUUGUAAUAUGAUGACAAACUUAGUCACACCCUCAGUACUUAAGAAUCUUGUGCAAUUAACGACAAUAAAGGUAGAAGACUGCACUAAAAUGACAGAAAUAGUGGGAAACGAGGGAGACUGUCAUCAGACAAUAGUUGUUAGUAAAUUGAAAUGUUUACAACUAUGCAAUUUGAAGAGCCUCACAAGCUUUUCUCCACGGUAUUACAACUUCGAGUUUCCUUGUUUGGAAGAAUUAGUUGUGGAAGAUUGUCCUAGGUUAAAGAUCUUUUCUGAGGGAGUUUUAAGCACCCCACAAUUACAGAGAAUAAAAAAGUCGCGUUACGGUGAGAAAUGGAGUUGGACAAGUGACCUUAAUACCACCAUACAACAGCUCUACACAGAAAAGGUACAAAGUUAAUAAGUUCAUAAUGCUAGCUAGAUUCGUCGCGUCCUAAUACAAUUAAUUUUAUUACUACUUCAAUAACCAUUGAAGAGUGUUAAUCGUUAUUUUGUUAUUGUCUGCAUUUUCUAUUUAUGAUUGCUAUCUAGUGGAAUAAUAUCAGAUUAAUUUUUAGGAUGGACUCUAUUACCCAUAUCAUUUCAACAUCUCUGACACAUUUCCGGAGUCGAUAGAAAUAUGGACUAGAAACCCUCAAGAAAUUUUUGGCUUCAAAAACCUUGGCAGCCUGCAGUUUUAUAAAUGUAGCAGCUUGAAGUACAUAUUUACUCCGUCUAUGCUUUUGAGCCUCAAUCGACUACGAAGGAUAGAAGUGGAAGAAUGCAGUUCAAUGGAACAAGUAGUUAGGGAGGAGGAGGAAGCAAUGACACAUAAAUUUGCAUUUCUUUCGCUACGCUCCGUAACAAUUGAGUCGUGUUCCAACUUGACAAAUUUCCAUUGGGGAAGUCAAGCUCUUGAAUUUCCAGAGCUGAGUAAUAUCACGAUAGCUGAGUGUCCAAAAAUGACUGCAUUUUCUUCCUCAGUUUCAAGAGAGAGUGGUGAUGCAAGUGAAAGCGUGGUUGGCGAAGAGGGCAUCUAUGAUAACACUGCAACUUUUUUCAGCAAUAAGGUAAGUUUGGUAUUCAAUAUUUAUCUGCACAACUUAUUUCACAUUUUAUUUUGAUUUGAUCAACAUGAGUGUGUCUGGUCUAUAUAUACGUACUAGUGCUACACCUUGUCAAAAUUGAAUAUAAUAAAAUCCAUAAAAAUAUUAAUAAAUAAGAUAAUAUUUAAAAAAAAUUGGAGUUUAAAGUAUAAAUAAAUAUAUAAAAUACGAAUUGAAAGGAAAACUUAAAGUGAAAUACUAAAAAACACUAAGAAUUUAAGAGAAGUUUUAAAUUAAAAUAAUAAUAGAAAAAAGAAAACUAAUCUUCCUUUAUUUUAAUUUGUGGGUGUAUAAGAAGGAGAUGAUUGUGGAAGACCUUCACAAAGGUCAUUUGAGAUCAAAGGAGAAGAAGCAAGAAAACAAAAGAUGAGAAGUUUGAAGAAGAAAGAACCAAAUAUAUAGAGGAGAAUUGAAGUGAGAGAGAGGAUGCAUAUGGGUUUUAUUUAAAGAUUUAAUGCUUUUUUUUUUAAUUUCAUAUAUAAAAAAAUCAUUGAAAGAAAAAAAAUUCAAUAUAAUUAUUUCAAUUUACUUGUCAGGUUUUUAUAAAAGUAACUCAAAUUUUUGAUUAAUUAUGAAAAUGACUCAAUUUAAAAUUAUGCACAUAAAUUAUUCGAUUUCUAUAGUGUUUAUUGGUGCCGCUAGACACAAUGGCGCCACCGACCUACCAUCAUCGACCAAUGAUUGUAUUUUAUUUAAAAAAAUAAUAGUUUUUUAGAAUUGGCGAUAUCAAACUGAAGUGUGAUUAUAUAAAAUGUUUAUGGACUUAACGAAGUAAUUACCUUUUUUAAUUAGCGGAAAAAGGGGUCUUCACGUGAAUAUGGGGCACCAAAUUAAAUGAUUUUCAUCUUUUGGUCUAUUUGCAUGUUAGGUCUAUCCCUUUUAGAAAUUAAAUUUAAAUAACCCUUAAGAAAUAUAAGAAUAACAAAAACAAAUCAUUCUCAUUUAUUUUAUUUUAUUUUAAAAAAAUAAACUUAAAAAAUUAUAUAAAAUUCCUAUUUAAAUUACCCAAAUAUAUCCCUCACACAAUUUCCUCAAGUUUAUCUAAAUUCAAGCAUUUUCAAUUCAUUCCCUAGCAUAUUUAAAUUUAGAUAAACUUAAGGAAAUUUUUUAAGGAAUAUAUUUGGGUAAUUUGAAUUAGAAGUUUAUAUAAUUUUUUAAGUAUUUUUUCAAAAAAAUGGUUUAAUUUUGUUAUUCUUAUAUUUUUUAAGUGCUAUUUAAAUCUAAUUUCAAAAGAGGACAAACGUAACAUGCAAAUAGGUCAAAAGUUGAAAAACAUUUGGUUUAGAUACCAACAACACCCCUUUUUCAACCAAUCUAAAAACGUUAACCGCUUGAAAGGAUCCCUACACAUUUUAUAUAACCAUAUUCAAUCUGGUGCCGUCAAUUUAUUAGGCAACACUACUACAAUUUUUUUAAAAAAGCAAUUAUUGGUUUAUGAUAGGGGCCGAUGCAGUAAGCACUAUAGAAAUCAAGUCAUUUACGUACAUGAUUUUUAAGUUGGAUCAUUUUCGUAAUUAACCAAAAAAAUUUAGUUACUUUUAACUGUCUAGUUGAUGUGUGAAUAUUAACCUUUAGAUCAGUUUAUAAAUCAUCAUACUCAUCUACUCAUUUUGAUUGUCUUUCAAAGUAAAGAAGGAAGAGUGAUACUAUCUUAUAAUGAUAUUUAUGUCAACAGGUUGUCAUUCCUAGUUUGCAGCGUCUGGAUUUGUCCUCCAUCAACAUUCAUAAGAUAUGGCACCACUCAUCCUCCCCAUCUAUUGGAUACCUAAAUUUCUUGCAGGUGAAGAGGUGUCACAAUUUGAAAUACUUGUUCCCAUCUUUCUUAGCAAAAGAUCUUGUGCAACUCCGACGCCUUCAAAUUUCGGACUGUAAUAUGAUGGAACAAGUAAUAUUCACAGAUGGAUUGGUUGAGGAACAUCAAGGGAGGAAUCAGAUGUUUUUCUUUAAUCUACUUUCGCUGUGGCUAAUAGACCUUCCCAAACUCACAAGUUUGUGCUUUGAAAAUUACUUUGAAUUUCACUGUUUGGCAUAUUUAGAACUAAGAGAUUGUCCAUUGCUAAAAACAUUCAUCUCUAAAUGUGUACCCGGAGAUGAACCUCAAAUUGGCCAACAUGUACAAGCAAGUAACUUGGAGGUUCAUAACUCAUCUCUCCUCAAUGAAAAGGUCAUUUCUUCAAGGAUCCUCCUUUUAAUUUAUGUUACUUCGAUUGAUUUUAUUCAUUUCAAGUUCUUUCUUUUUCUUACAUAUUUCAGUUAUUAACCUAAUGAAAUGAUUUAUUAGGUUGUUUUCCCUAGUUUGAAGAACUUGUGGAUUCAGAAUUGUGAUUCGUUAGAAGAAAUUAUUGAGCUACAAGGACUCAUUCCAGAUGAAUCACAGUCAACAUCAGCUGCUCAAUCUAUUGUGGCUGAAACAGUGACAACCAAGUUUGUAUUUCCCAAACUAAUAAACCUUGGAUUGGAUAAGGUGCCAAGAUUGAAAAGUUUCUGCUCUAGGAUGCAUACCACCCUGUGGCCUUCAUUGAAACAAAUGAGCGUUAUUGAAUGCCCCAAAGUACAGAUAUUUACUCGACAAAGUCCUGAGAGUCAGGUUGGAAUCUCAAACCAACAACCCUUGUUUUGCGUCAACGAGGUAAGCUCACUAGCAGUUUCAUAUUCCAUGUUCAUUACUGGAGGUUACUUAUAAAAUGCCUUUUAAAUUUAUGAGAAAGAAAAUGGAAAUUAUAUUCAUUUUGUAGUCUAGUUCUCACGAAUUGAAAACUCUUUGAUCGAUGUUUAAUAUAUUCGUUGCCAUCCAGGACACUUUCCCUGUAUUAGAAAAACUAACACUGAAGACGAAUGAUAUGGUGAAGGGGAUAUGUGAUGGACAACUCUCAUUGCAGUGUUUCCAAAACCUUAAGCAUCUUAACCUCCAGUUCUUUCCUGAGACAUCCACUACUCUUCCGUAUUCCUUCAUUCGUUUGCUACCAAAGCUUCAGAAGCUUGUUAUAAAUAAUGCUUCCAUUUUUGAAAUAGUCCGGUCUGAAGGACUUAGCGAAGAGGAAAGGCACACAUCGGUAUUCUAUCAGUUAAAGGACUUAAGGUUGUCUCAACUUCCAGAGUUGACGUUAAAGACUUUUAACCCGUCUUUGCUAUCUUUCAAAAAUCUAACAACACUGAAAGUUUCAAGAUGCCAUGGGUUCAUCAAUUUAAUUGCAUGCUCAACAGCUAAGUGCCUGACGCUACUAGAAAGAUUGAGCAUAGAUGAUUGUGAGAUGAUAGAGGAAAUCAUAGCGUGUGAGGCUGAAGAAAUACAAGGCAGCAUUGUAUUUCCCAAACUGAAGUAUUUGCAACUAAGCUGUCUGCCAUGUCUAGCAAGCUUUUCCUUGGCCCAUCACUCGUUGGAAUUCCCAGUCUUGCUAAUGGUGAAGGUGACAAAGUGUCCCAAAAUGAGGAAUUUCUGCCAAGGAGAUUUAAGCACACCAAGGCUGGAACAAAUACACUUGACAAGAGAUGAGGAAGGUGAACUGCAGUGGGAAGGCGACCUUAACACUACCAUAAAACAUUUGUUCGAUGAAAUGGUACAAAUCAUUUAAAGGAUUUAAAUUCAUGUGUUUUACAUACAUACAUACAUACAUACAUACAUACAUAGUUAAUUGAACAAUUCUUGGUUUGUUAUGAUCAUGCACAGAAUGUGCAAAAUUCUGAGGUGACGGAGGUUACUGAUCAGUUGCCCAAGCUGGAAUAAGGAAAUAUUUUUGGGUGCUUAUGCGAAAAGCUCAAUUUCGUUUGAAUUCAAAACAAUUGGUAAUUGACUCUUCUAUUUUCAUCAUGGCUUAACCAAUGCUUUAUAAAGUGACCAUAGCGAUGCCCUUUUCAUUGUAGGUUGAGUUGCUCUACUGAAGUACGAGGCUGCAACUUUUGGUAAAAUGUGAAAGGUUAUUUCAGUUUUUGUAAAACUACUAUUUGAACUGUUACAUUUCACAUUAUACCUUCAAAAUUGAAGUUCAAGUGCAUCAUGCAUGGCAUUGGGCUACAAACAUGUAAACUUUUACUAGUAAGUUUGACCCCUGUUUGAAGGAUUUUCCAACUUUUGAUGGUUACCAUAUCAAUGUCAGCUUAAAGCUAUCAAGUAUCUUUAAUGAGGGAUAAAAGUAGGCAGCUAUCUAUUAAUGAUACGGCUGAUUCUGAAAAGACGGCUGAAAUUGAAUCAAUGGUUUUUUGGUAUUUGCCUGAUGGAAGAACAGGACCUAAUGUUACGUGGAUUGUAACACCCUUAACCCGUAUCCGUCGCCGAAGUAGGGUUACGAGGCAUUACUGAACAAACACAACCAUUUUUAAAAUCAAACUGAUCACAAAUAUGAAAAUUAAAUUACUUUUGCAUAGCUAUUUAUAAUUUACAAUCAAAAUAUAAUCAACAUCGUACUCAAACCUAUACAUGCCAUAAGAUUGAGUUCAAAUAUUUAACAAAAUACCAAAAGUAGUCGAUAGUGUGAUAAACUAUGCUGAUAAUCCCCGAGCUCGUAACGCGUCUCUAAAAUCUAUAAAAACAAAUGGGCAAAAACAAACAAAGUAAGCUUUUAUAGCUUAGUAAGUCUAUAGCAUACCUAAAAUACAUAUAAAAGAAUCAUAUAAUUCCUUAAGAAAAUUCAUUGAAAUCACAAUUAACAAUUAUAAUUACUAAUCAAACAUUUGUUUAAAUUUUAAAAGGAUGUAUAUUUAUCUAAUACACCCAAACAGACAAAUGUAUAUACAUUUUAUGCAUAUAAUCUACAACCAUGAAUCGCCGAAUGCAUAUAUACAUAUAUGCAUGACAAAUAUUAGAACCAAAUGUAUAUACACUUUAAACAUAUUAGCCGAGUGCACAUAUACAUAAGCUUAACAAAUAUUAUAACCAAAUGUGUACAUGUAUUUACCACAUACAUUUAUCCAAAGUCAUAUAUGUACUUAUCAUGCACAUACAAUCGAAUAUAUAUAUAACUUUAUCAAUCACAUUUCAUAUCUCAUUAUACAUGUAUAUAUAUAUAUCGAUCAUAAACUUUUAACCUAACUCAUAUUUAUGCCUAUAACCGAAUACAUUCGCAUUCAACUUUUACUUAUAAACAAAUAUUUACACAUAUAUGUAUUAGCAAUUGCACAUAAGAUUACUCAUCAGUUUCUUAUACCAAAUGCACCCAUAAAAAUAUAUAUAUAUCAACCACCUAUGUCGAGUUUAUGCACAACAUCUUCAAACACAUAAAUCUGAACAAUUCACACAAUUUUAACAGAUUCACCGGCACUUAGUCUGCUAGGCUUAAAACCUGAUUCAAUACACUGGCAAUUAGCCUGCUAGACGUAAAGUCUGAAAUAUUUCACCGGCGUCAAGCCUGCUAGACGUAUAGUCUGAAACAUUUCACCAGCAUCAAGCCUGCUAGACGUAAAGUCUGAAUUAUCUCAUUGACAAUAAUCAUUUUAGGCCCCCAAGCUCAAACACUCAAUUCACCCAAAUAUUACUCAUUUUCGAACUAUAUAGGUAUAUAAAUUCCAUGCUUAAAUAUUCAGCUCGAAACUCAAAAUUUAUAUCAUAGAAACACAUGAAUAUAUAUAUAAAACUCAACCACCAAAUCCAUUUUGACAAUUCAAUAAAUCAACUGAACAUAUUUAUGCAUAACCUUGCAUAACCUUACACUUCAAAUCCUACUACAAAUAUAAUACUAUUUAACUAAAAAUAUUCUUGAAUAAUAUACGCUUUACAUUCCAACAUAUUAAAAUUUUACACACAUAUAUAUACAUGAUCAAAACUAACAUAUGCAAAUAUCAUCUAAUAACAAAUUUCAAAACUAAAUCUUAUACAUGCAUACAUAUACACUCAAACCGCUUAUACUUUUAUAAUGACACAUCUUAAUUCGAUUCAAAAGUCUAUAUAUACAUGUAUAUUUACAUGUUUAAUAAUAAAACUCUUAUAUCUAUGUAUAUUUACGAAUCUCUAAGUACAGAUAUACAUAUACAUAUCUUUGAUUAAAUCAAUAAUUUAUACAUGUAUAUACGUGUAUGAAUUCGAACCCUGUAUAUAUAUAAAACUCUUAUACUUCAACUAGAUUCAUUAACAUUUAUGUAUAUACUUAUUUACCUUUGCACUUUAGCUAAAUUCAAUUACCUAUAUAAGUAUAAACCUCUAGGUUCGAAUAUAAAAGAAAAUACAUAUAAGCCAAUCAUACUUUUAAUUUAUUCAACCGAUAUACUUUAAAUUAUAAUUCAUCAAAAAUAAAUACAUAUACAUACUUAUAUAUUGUUUUUAUGACAUUAAAUAGCUAAUAGACUUACCUCGGAAGAUGGAAAAUCGAAGUCGGACGAUUAUUCGACUAAUUUGGCUUUUCCCCGAUCUAACUCCGUUUUCUUUGGUUCUCGAUCUAAAUAUAUUCAAAAUAAGAUAAUUUAUUUAUUAACACAUUAAAUUUAAUCCAAAAACACUUAAUUUGGCAAAUUACUAUUUUGCCCCUAAUAUUUAUACUUUUUGCUAUUUAGUCCUUUUUGCACAAAACACAAAAUACACAAAAUUUUCCCUCACUAAGCUAGGGCCGAAUGUUCCUUGUCUUCAUACUAGUCCACACAUUUCAUUUAUUUCACAUUUUAGUCCCCCAAAAAUUUAAUUUCACAAUUUAGCCCUAUUUACUCAAUUUCACUAAAAAUCCCAAUACAAAACAUAUUAAUCUAUCACAUAUCUUUCAUUUUUCAUCAUCAGCUAUCACAAAGUCCAACCAUUCAUCAAUGGCACAUUUCAAAAUCAUCAACAAUUCACAAAAUUAAAACAUGGGUUUUGAAGAACACAAAGCAACGAUCUCAAAAACGUAAAAAUUAUUAAAAAUUAAAACCUAAACAUACCUUAAUCAAGCCAAAAUAAGUGCCGAACCUAGCUUGCUAUUUUUUUCUUCUUUUUCUUUUGUAUAUUCGGCAAUGAGAAAGAUAACAUGCAUGGCUUUGUUUAUUUUAAGUUUUAUUAUUUUCAAUAUAUUAUACCAUUAUUAUUUUACUUUUAUAUUUAAUAUAUAUAUAAUAUAUAAUAGCCAUCAUUGCCGUCCACUACCAUUAAUAUUGGCUAAAUUUCAACAUGAAACCUCCAAAUUAUAAAGACAAAAAUAAUUAAGCACUUUCAUAUUUAGCCAUCAAAUUUUUAUUUUAUGCGAUUUAGCCAUUUUCUCAAAUUAAGCACACAACACUAAAAUUAAUUCAUGAAACUUUCACACAAGUAAAUUCACACAUAAUAAACACGUAAAAUAAUAUUAAAAUAUUUUUUAGACUCGAAUUUGUGGUCCCGAAACCACUGUUCCGAUUAGGGUCAAAACCGGGUUGUUACAUGGAUUUUGAUCAAGUUUUAAAAUUUCAGUUGUAGGCAUUACUGAUUGUUGCCAUUUGGUUAUUAAUACUCUGAUUUUACGGUUGACUGUCUUGCUUAUACAUUGCAAGGUUGGCGGGUUUCAAGUAUGAAUUUCCAAGUCGGCUUUCAUCCAUUAUUAACUAAGUGUUUCAAUCCAUGGAGUUUAUGGUUUAUGGAGUUUAUGGACAAUUUGUAACACCCCAAACCCGUAUUCGACGCCAAAAUAGGGUAUGAGGCAUUACCAAAACACAUACAUUUAUAAACGUAUUAAACUGAGUUAUAAAAUUUCAUACAGAUUAAAACUUUUAAAUUAUUAUCUUCGAAUCGCUAAUUGGGGCUUACAAGCCCAAUAUAUAUACUCAUUUGAUCCAAGCCUUAUAGCUAUCUCCAUUUGUUCAUUUCAUAGCCAUAUAUGAACUUAUAAUCCUUCACUUUCUCGUCAUAUGAAUUUAUCAAUUAUUACUUGCUUCUUGCGAGUACCUGAAUUGAUCCAUAUCAUUUCAUAUUCUCAUAUCGUCAUAUUUUUCCUAUUAAACCAUUGUAAUAUAUUAAAUAUUCAAUAUCUUGUAAAGAUUCACUAAUCUAUCCCAUAUACUUUCACACAGAUUAAUUUACAAUUCACAAGUCUUAUCAUUUCAAAGCUUAUAAGACACAUGUACAUGUCUACUAAUUCGUAUGAGUCUCAUACUCAUUCAUAUGCUCAAUAAAUUCGUUAAAUCAUUUCAACAUCAAAGAAUCCACAUUAUGUCAGAAACAAUACUAAUAACAAUCAUAAAUCUUUUCAUAUUAAUUUCAUAUAUCGCUUACUGAACUUCAAAUAUCAUUUCAUAAAUAUGUAAUUCACUAACACAUCUUGCCAUAUAUAGUAUCCAAUUGGUGAAAUCACUUAAUUGAAUUCAACUUCAACAAUCACAAUAAAUCUAUCACUUGAAUAUGAGUCCAUGUAACACUUACCAACUUUGUCAAAUUAGUGACCGUCUUACGGAAUUGAGUACUUAUUUUCUCGAUGUCAUAGUCCAACUAUGGUCUUACACAUAAUCACAUAACAUAUACCGAUGUCAUAGCCCAGCUAUGGUCUUACACAGAAUUACAUAUCACUUAUUGUCAUGGUCCAUCCAUGGUAUUUCCCAUCAAUUCGUCUUCAUCACUGAACGAAAGUACUCAACCCUGCAUUCUACUCAAUUUGAACUUAUAAUUCAAUUUUCGUUCUUUUACAAUUUUCACAAUUCAAUAGCAAACAUAUGAAUUAACAUAUUAUAUCAUUCCUAAAAUUAUCAAAUAAUCAUUAAAAUUUAACCAUAAAACACACCUUUAACAUAAACUAACAUCAAGAUCAAAUUUGCAUUAUGCCAUUUAUAACUCUUUUCCUGAAUCACAUAACAAAAUAUCACAAAUAUAUAUAUGAAUUCUGUAACUAUGUAUCAAACUUACCAACAUGAGUUAAUUCAUAAACCAUUCAUGACAUUACUUCAUGCCAAAUCAUAUUCCAAAUAUACCACACAUAUAAGCUAUGAAACUUUAUUUCCUCACAUGAGCUUAAACCAUAACCAAUUAUGCAUAAAACAUUCAUAUAUUUUAUUUUCCUCCUCCUCCUCUCCAUUCCACAUCCUUAAUGUACAUAACACUCUUAUAAAUAACGUUUUCUAUAAUUUUACUAUUCACUCACAUGUAUAUUCAAAGCUGUCUAUCCACAGAGUCACUAAAUUAUUUUUAUCCGGAGAUACAGAGCUCCAAAUUAAGAUCCGUUAAUUUUUCCUGAAACUAGAUUCACAUAUCUUCUUACCAUAAAAUUUUCAAAAUUUUUGGCUUAGCCAAUAAGUACAGUUUAUUCUUUAAAGUUCCCCUGUUUCACUACUCGACAAUUCUGACCUCUCUUCACUAAAAAUUAAUUAUCUCACUGUACAGAACUCAGAUGGUUACGUUUAUUUCACUUGAAAAUAGACUCAUUCAGGGUUCUAAACAUAUGAAUUUUAGCCUGUAAUUAUUUUUGUACAAUUUUUAACAAUUUUCCAAAAUCAAAAUAGGGGAUUCCAAACUCAUUCUGACCCUAUCUCACUAAACUUAAGAUAUCUCAAAAUAUAUAAGUCUUUUCUUGCUAUGUUUCUUUUAUGUAAAAAUAGACUCAUUAAACUUUCAUUUCAUAUCUUAUUCACUCUCCAAUUCAAUUUCCACCAUUUUUGGUGAUUUUUCAAAGUCACACAACUGUUUCUGUCCAAAACUAUUUUGUUGCUAACUCUACUAUUUCAUAAUUUCACUUUUUCACUUUUGAUCACUAUUCAAUUCAAUUCCAGACAUAUAUUCAUCAUUCAAUUACACUUAAUUGUUACAUGAUCUCAUGUAUUUUCACUUAGUCAAUUUCUCGUUGAACACUCAGAAUAUACACGGAUACGUAGAGAAUUAGCACAUAAGUGCCGCACUGAUAUGUAGUCGAAGCUACCAUUGAUACGUAGUCGUAGCUAUCACUAAAAUGUAGCCGAAGCUACCACUAAUAUGUAGCCGUAGCUACCAUUGAAAUAUAGCCGAAGCUACCACUGAUCAAUAACACUAAAAAUGUCCACGGGCCGGCUCACACAAGCUGUUAGGUGUCUGCAACACAUGCUAGAUCACCCAGCACCCGGGACUCACUGUAACACUGGUCUCUAGUGACAUGUCACUAGUAUCCACUUCUAUUCCUAAGUUCAACUGGGAAUUUACACUUAACACUUUAUUUUAAACACUUUAACACUUGAAUAAUUCAUAAAAAAUUUUCCUUCCACAUUCAAUAAUAAUUCACAUAUCAAGUGUAAUUCACAAUUUAUAAAAAUAUAUUGCUAUUAUUUACACAUAACUUACUUUGGUGCAAUAAUAUAAAAAUUUAGCAAUUUAGUCUUUAAUCUUUUCUUUUCUCCGAUCAAGAUCAAUCCAACUUCUUUCUUGAUUUAUAAUAACACAUCUGAAUUAUUUAAUACUCACAUUUAUCAAAACAGAUCUUCACUCAAACUUUUAAAAAUUACAAUUUUGCCCCUAAACUUUUGCAUAUUUACACUUUUGCCCAAAUUCUCGUAAAUUAAACUUCAUCCCUUAUUCUUAUGUAUUAUGACAUGCUGAACAGUUUUCCCUUCUAUGGUAACAUCAAAUUCCCACUCUAACACUUUUAUAUGAACAUUAGGUAUUUUUACCGAUUAUGUCGUUUUACUCGUUUUCACUUAAAAUCACUUAGAAAAAGUUGUUUAACAUAAUUUCAAGCUUCAUAUUCUACCAUAAAACAUCAAAAUAAACACAUUUCACCUAUGAGUAUUUUUCCAAAUAUAAACCCUAGGUUAAAUUAUUGCUAGAAUAAGCUAAAUAAAGUUACCGGGACUCUAAAAACAUAAAGAACAUUAAAAACGGGGCUUGGAAUCACUUAUUAUGGAGCUUGGAAGCUUGAAAACCCUAAAUAUGGCUUCCCACUUACUAUUUUCGUUCACCAUGGAGAAGAUGAGCACAUUUUGCCAUCUUUUUCCCUUUUUAAUUCUUUUUAUUACUAAAUUACCAAAUUGUCCCUAACUUAAAAAUUUCCUAUUUCACUUAUCUCAUGUCCAUUUUUGUCUACCAACUUAACCAAUGGUCUAAUUACCAUAUAAGGACCUCCAAUUUAAAGUUUCAUAACAAUAUGACACCUCUAACAUGUAGAACUCAACUUUUGCACUUUUUACAAUUUAGUCCUUUUGACUAAAUUGAGUGCGCAAACGUCAAAAUUUUGGAACGAAAUUUUCACGAAAUCAUUUCGUGAAAUUGUAGGUCAUAAAAAUAUAAUAAAAAUAAAUUUUUUCUCGUCAAAUUUAUGGUCCCGAAAUCACUAUUCCGACUAGGCCCAAAAUCGGGCUGUUACACAAUUGUUGUCUAUGUUGCUCAUUGCUGCAAAAAAAAAACCAAACACAAUGCAUGCAUAAACCAUUAAAAAAAAAGAACAUAAGCAACUAAUAAUGAAAUAUAUUAAAAUGAAGAAUGGCAAUUAAUUUCAGAAUUACCAAAAUUUCGGUAAAUAUAUUAAAACAUCUGUCUCUAAUCUGUUUCAAUUUUGAUAUUGAAAAAAUUGGUAUUUCUAAAAAUAUCAGAGUGAUUAAAUUAUUUUUAUUUUUGAAAGUGAUAAAUUAAGGAUAAUUAAUCACAACGUUAAUGUUUUUCACCAAUUAUACAUAAUUUUCUUGGUAUAAUGAUAAAUUUAGCCCUCAAAAUUGACACAUUCUAUCAAUUUGUUAUUGAUUUAAUAAAUUUAACCCACAACAUUUACACAUUUCGUCAAUUUGAUCAUCAUUUAACGUAUUUAACCCAUAAUAAUUACACAUUCUAUCAGCAUUUACGCAAAAUAUAUAAUCAUCAAGGAUUAAAUUUAUUUUUAUACUAAUCAAAAUUAUGUAUAAUUAACAGAAACUAUUAGCGCUUGAUUAAUUGUUCGUGGUUACUUUCAAAAAAGAUAACGAUUAAUUUGUUCAAUAUCAAAAAGAUGUUUUUUAAUUUUUUUAAUUUCAUAGGUAAGAAAAUCUCAAAAAAGAAAAUCUUUGAAAUAAAAAAAAUAGUAUGUUUUUAAUAAUUAUUUAAAUUUACUCUCACAUUAUUUUUACCCAUUCAAAGCUAGCAAGUCUUUUAUGUACAAAAUGGUAUAGCUCUGCAAUUUGGAUUAACAUUUUGGUGACCUCCAUGUGAAGUGAAAGAAAAUUGACAAUGUCACACAAUUAUUAUUUUUCCCUCCAUACCCCUAUGCCGCCAAAGAAAGUUGAAUUAUUAAGGCACAAAAGUACUAAGGAGUAGGAGCUAGAAAAAGAGGGGCAUGAAAAUAAAGAGACUUACAUUUAUUAUUUGCAUAAUACAAAAUCAGUCUUUAAUAUUUACAUAUUUUAUUAAUUUGAUUUUUAUUUUUAUUUAGUUAAAUUUGACUUUAAACCCUUUAAAAAAAAGUUGAAUUUGAUCAUUAACCUUUUAAAAAGAGUCAAAUUAUUAUUUAACGGAAAUGUUAAAUUUUGAAAUACAUAUAACAAUUCGCGUGUAUUUCAUAUUAUUUUUUUAAAAAUUUUAUGAUUUUUUUUGAAAUUUUGAUUUUUGAAUAUUAUUAGAAAGUUAUUUGGUAUCCUGUUAGCGGAAUUUUUAAAGUCCACCAACAAAAUCAAUGGGUUAGCAUGUGUCUUACAAAUAUAUAAUAAAAUAUUAAAAAAUAAAUAUUUUUAAAAAAAAGAUAUAUGUCAAUUUUUUAAAGUUACUUAUGAAAUAAAAAUAAUAUAUUAUCCGCGUACCAGGUACUCACCUUUUUAAUUAAGAUUUAAAAAUAAAAAAAUCGUUAGUAAAAUGAAUGGAUUGCAAAUUGAGAAUUUUGAUAUUGGAUAUUAAAAUUUUCUUAAAAAGAAGACAUAGCAAGAUACGAAAGUUAGUAACUUAUUUGAUUUAAUUUUAAUUUUUAAAUUUAUGCAUUUUAUUAUGAAUUUUUAUUUUUUGUGUACUCUGUAAAAUUUGUCUGAAAUUUGCAAUUUUCAAUUUCUCACGUGAGUUUGAGAUAAAAAGAAAUUACUUUUAGGAUUGGUGAAACAAGGGUUAUAGUCCAUACAUGAGUUUCGUUAAAUAUUGUCUAUAUAUAUAUAAGUAUAUACUCUUCUCCAUGCUGCACAUUAUUGCAAAAAAAGAACACACACAAGGGACCAAUCUUAGAUCUUCACAAAGGUCAUCUGAGAUCAAAGGAGAAGAACAAGAAAAACAAAGGUGAGGGGUUUGAAGAAAGAGCCAAAUAUAUAAUAAAGGAAAAAUUAAAUGAGAGAGGAUGGGUUUCAUUUAAAGAUUAAAUGUUUCUUUUUUGGUAAAAACAUUUCUUUGGUCCCUCUCCAUUUUGAUGUUGAGCAAAUUGGCCCCUUUCUAAAAAUUUUGGAGAAAUUUGAUCAUUGUUAUUUUGAAAGUAAGCAACUAAGUACAAUUAAUCACAAGUUUUAUGUUUUCAUCAAUUCUACAAUUUUUUCUUGGUAUAAUAAAAAAAUAUAACCUUCAAAGUUUACACAUUUUAUCAAUUUGAUCUUGAUAUAACAAAUAUAACUCAUAACAUUUUCACAUUCCAUCAAAUUUGUCCUGAUUUAACAAAUUUAUCCCGCAAUAUUUACACAUUUUGUCAACAGUUACGCGGAAUAUAUAAACAUCAAUGGCUAAAUUUAUUAUUAUACCAAUUAAAAUUAUGUAUAAUUGAUGGAAAAUAUUAACGCUAUAAUUAAUUGUUCGUAAUUACUCACUUUCAAAAUUGAAUAUUUACAUCUUUUAUUAAUUUGAAUUUUUUAGUUAAAUUUAAUUUUAAAUCCUUUAAAAAAGUUGAAUUUGAUUAUCGACGUUUAAAAAAGAGUUGAAUUAUUAUCUUUUAAUAAAAAUAUUAAUCAAAAUGUUAAAUUUCAAAACAUGACAAUUCGUAUAACAAUUCAGGUGUAAUUCAUGCUUGUUUUUAUUUGAUUUUUUAUGAACUCUUUUUGUGAGAAAUUUUUAUUUUUUAAUAUUUUUUUAAUUUUAAAUUUAUUGGCGUGACAUAUAAGAUAAAUAAUACUAUGUCAACAUAAUGACAUGUGGACUGCCACAUGGUUGCUAUGCCAACUUCGUUAAAAAUUAAUAUUUUAGUCAAUAUUUUAAAAAAAACACGAUUUGACUCUUUUUUAAAGGUUAAUGGUCAAAUUUAAAUUAAGAAAUAAUAAUGAUCAAAUUGAAAAAAGAUGUAAAUAUUAAGUGUUGAAUUUAUUAUUAUACUUAUAUUAUUUUAAGUAAAAUUUUUCGGAUUUGAAUUUGAAUUAUUUCAUGUUUAGAUUACAUUGAGUUCAAGUCAGUUUAGACUCGAAUAUUUUGGGAAAUUUAAAUAGUUUUGAGCUCAGAACAUUUCAAGAGAAAAUUAGCAAGUCAAAUUACAAUUAUAAAAUAAUAUAUAUAAUUUAUAUGUGUAUGUAUAUAAGUUUAAAUUACAAAUUAAUUACUAAAAGUGAUUAGGGCAUUAGUAUUUGUGUUGUCGCAUGGGAGUUUAGGUUCAAUCUCUUGAUUGAAAUAAUAUUUUUAAAAUAUUUAUUUAAUAUUUCCAUAUACAUCAAAAUCCUUGUUAAAUUUUAAUUUUGUUUUUGUUAUUAGAAUACUUGAAUCAAUAAAUUUUUAAGGCACAUAUCAAACCCAACAAUCAAAAUUAAAUCACACCAAAAUAAGGCCAAGAAAUCCUGAACAGCUCACCAAGCAACACUCAAAUAUCAUAACUUAACCCCCUUGCAAAUAAUAAGAGCAUAGACGGAUAAGCACCAAAAAGACUUGCUGCAGAUAAAAGGUCCCAUGCCCAUUACAAACUCUGCCCAUCAGUUCCUGCCAGAGGAGCCAUGGCCAAGAAAACUAUUAGUCUUAAUGCAAUCCACAAAACGUGUGGGACAUUUCCUUAAGGUCAGCUCUUUUGAGCUCAAGUCCUUUUUGCUGGCAAAUUUGUUGAUAUAGGAGCAACAUUGGUCAUCACAAUCAACAAAGGUCUUGUGAAAAAAAUAGUAUGUCUAUAAUGAUAACAUAUCGCAAAGAAAAGAGAAAUAAAAAUAAAGAACACACAGGUUUUACGUGGAAACCCUUUCGGGAAAAAACCACAGGUAGAGGAGAAGAAAAUUCACUAUGUCGAAUUCGAAUGAUUACAAGAGGAGUUUCGACUACAUCGAUUUAUAGGUUGAAAAAAACCUAAUUAUAAUCAAAGUCGAAUAUAUUAUGCUAAUAAAUACUAAAUAUAUUAUACCCAUAAAUACUAAAUCUUCUAGAAAGAAGAUAUAUUUUGUUUAACUUGACUUGCAAGCAAUCUCUUAGAAUUUGGGUUACACAACUCUAACAAUCUCUACCUUGACACGAAUUCUCAAUGAACAAGUUCUUCAUCGCGAACUCUCAACAAACAAGUUCUCCACUCUUCCAUAAAACCCUUUAAGGGUUUAACUUCAACAAUGAACACCAAUCAAGUCUAAGCAAUGCUUAAACUUGGUUAUAGGAAGUGACUUAGUCAUCAUAUCUGUAGGAUAUUCAUGAGUACUAAUUUUACUCACAACAAUAUCUCCACGAGCAAUAGCAUCACGAACAAAAUAAUACCGAACAUCAAUGUGUUUUGUUCUCUCAUGAAACAUUUGAUAUUUUGUAAGGAAUAUGACACUCUGACUGUCACAAAAUACUGUACUGAUUUAAAGGUUUUCAUUGAGUUCACUAAAGAGUCCCUUCAACCAAAUAGCUUCUUUACAAGCCUCAGCAAUUGCCAUGUACUCAGCUUCAGUGGUAGACAAAGCGAUUGUAGUUUGCAAAGUGGCUUUCAACCUGAUUGCACAACCUAUGAUUGUAAAGACAUAACCUAUGAGAGAUCUUUUUCUAUCAAGGUCUCCAGCAAAAUCAGCACCAACAUACCCAAUGACUCCAUCUCUAGUUCUUCCAAACUGUAAGCAAACAUCAGUAGUACCUUGUAAGUAUAUUAAGGGUCUGUUUGAUUGAAGGAAUUGAUUUUCCGGAAAAUCAUUUCCAACUUUUCCAGCGUUUGAUUGGCGGAAAACAUUUUCAAUUUGGAAAAUGAACUCCAAAACAAGGGAAAAUGGGUUACAUUUUAAGGAAAAUGUCUUACCCUUUCAAUUUCCGUAAGACAUUUUCCGUGCUCUCCUCUCUAUCGCCUCCUUCAUUCCUUCCUUCAUUUCUGGUAGAAAAUUGCUUCUGUUUAUCGAUUUUCCAGUAACUUGUUUUUUUAAUUAUUCAAUACUUGUUUUUUUAACACAAUUACAAUUAAUUUAUUUGAUAUUAAUUUUUUUCAAUUUAUAACGAUUAAUAUUGUAACUUAAUAAUUGAGUAUUAUUAUAAAUAAAUCAUUGCAAUAUAUGUAAAAAUAAUUUAAAAUAUAAAAAUUUAUUAAUAUAUAUCAAUAUAUGUAAAAACAAUUUUUUCAAAAAAUAUUUCCAGGAAAUCUGCCAAAUAGCCGAAAAUAUUUUACACAGAUUCAAUCAAACACCAGAAAAUAUUUUCCAGUAAAUCAUUUUACAGAAAAGUAAAACAUUUUCCCGAAAUUAUUUUACGGAAAAUAUUUUACUGGCAAUCAAACAGACCCUAAAAUCCACUGAAUUACUUUAUAAUGUUCUUUACCAGGAUUCACCAUUUAUCUGCUAACUGUACUGACUGCAUAUGAUAAAUCUGGACGAGAACAAACCAUAGCAUACAUGAGAGAUCUCACUGCACUAGAGUAUAAAAAUGUGACAUGUACUCAAUCUCAUCAUCUGAUUGUGGAGACAAAGCCGAUGAAAGUCUGAAAUAGGCUGCUAAAGGAGUACUAACAGACUUAGCAUUUUGCAUAUUAAAUCUGCAAAGAACUUUCUCAUGCACCCUUUCUAACUUAGGUACAAUUUACUUGCUUUUCUAUUUCUGAGAAUCUUCAUACCAAGUAUCUUCUUCGCUGGUCCCAAAUCUUUUAUCUCAAAUUUUUCACUUAGUUGGACUUUGACCUUUCUUAUCUCUCCUUUAUCUUUCGCUGCUAUCAACAUGUCAUCAAUAUAAAGGAGUAGAUACACAAAAGAACCAUCACUGUUUUUCUUAAAGUAAACACAACUGUCAAAGAUACUUCUUUUUAAAUCAUGAGAAGUCAUAAAGGAAUCAAAUCUCUUGUACCACUGUCUUGGUGACUGUUUCAAACCGUAAAGGGACUUUUUCAGCAAGCAAACAUAGUCCUCUUUUUUUGAGUAUAAAACCCUCUGGUUGUUGCAUGUAAAUAUCCUCCUCAAGUUCUCCAUGUAAAAAAGUAGUUUUUACAUCUAACUGCUCAAGCUCCAAAUCAUGCAUGGCCACAAUACUAAGCAAAGCUCGAAUCGAACUAUGCUUCAAAACUGGAGAGAAUACAUCUGUGAAGUCUACUCCUGGAAUUUGACUGUAACUCUUUGUAAUAAGUCUUGCUUUAUAUCUAGGUUCUUGAACUCCUUGAGUCCCCUCUUUCUUUUUAAACAUCCAUUUACAACGAACAACCUUUUUACCUUUAGGAAGUUUCACAAGAUCUCAUGUUUUAUUUUUGUGGAGUGAUUCCAUCUCCUCUUGCAUAGCAAACAUCCACUUUUCUAAGUCUUCCCGGUUAACUGCAUCAGAAUAAUUAGAUGGCUCUUGGUUUGCAUUUAUAUCUUUAGCCACAUUUAAAGCAUAAACAACUAGAUCAGCCUUGGCAUACUUCUUUAGAGGUUUAAUGUCUCUUCUAGUUCUAUUUUUGGCGAUAGAGUAUUGUGGUGGAGAAGCAACUCUAUUUUGAAUUUUUGUACUAACUUGAGGAGUCGACUCUGUUGUAGAUUCUGGAUUAAUCUGAUGCUCCACUUGCUUUUGAUUUUCUUUGUUGGAAGAGUCUUUAAGAGAUAAGUUAGGUAGCAUAACAGUUUCAUCAAAAACAACAUCUCUGCUAAUCACAACUUUUCUAUUUUCAGGACACCAUAACUUAUACCCUUUUACACCAGCUUUAUAACCAAGAAAAACACAUUUAAUGUAUCUCGGUUCCAAUUUUCCAUGAUCAAUAUGAGCAUACGCAGGUCACUCAAAAAUCUUUAAAUCAGAAUAGUCAGCAGGAUUACCAGACCAUACCUCUUGUGGAGUCUUUUUCUCAAUGGCGACGGAUAGAGAUCGGUUGAUCAAAAACAUGCAGUAGAGGCUGUUUCGGCCCAAAAUAACUAUGGUAAGUUGGCAUUUGACAACAUAUACCGAACCUUCUCCAUGAUCGUUCUGUUCAUUCGUUCUGCAACGCCGUUUUACUGUAGAGUAUAACGAACUGUCAAGUGUCUCACGAUUCCUUCUGACUUGCACAGUUUAUUAAACUCAUCAGAACAGAACUCUAAGCCAUUGUCUGUGCGGAGGUAUUUUAUUUGUUUUCCCGUCUAUUUUUCAAUCAUAGUUUUCCAAGAAGCUGCUUGCCACCAAUGCAGCUUAGUCGAAAUAUUUAGAGUUACGAGUGGAAAAUGCAGAGCAGAAGGCCAAGGAUGCUCAAAAGAAAAUAGUUGAGCUCGAAAGGUAGCUCAAGGCUUAGGUAAAGGAAGCUGCACAAGGGAGCAAUAAGCUUGAGGAGGUUGAUAAUGGACCAGAUGAUAAAAAUUCAGAAAACACUAGGAUCCUUUGACUCAACAGGUAUCAACUUUGAUAGAGCGAAGAUAUCUAAGGUUCGUUUUGUGUGCCUUUUUGAUACUAUGAUACUUCUAUAUCGAUUUUAGAUCAUUGAGAAUCGAUGAUAUGGCUGGACUAUGGAUUAAGCGGGAAGAGGAACUUCAAAAUAGGAUAAUUUAACUGGAGAAAGAAUUAUCUCGAAAACAAGCAUUGGACUCGGAAGUUGAGCGUCUAAGCGGAUCAUUGGAUGUAAUUGGCAAAAUGGAAGAUGGAGAUUACGUAAAUGUUCUAAGAAAGCUGGAGGAAUACCUUAAGGAUGUAGAGACAUUGAAUCGAUAUCUUAUUGCAAGAGAAUAACGGAGCAACGAUCAGGUGCAGGAAGUUUAAGAAAGAUUGAUCAGUGUAAGCUAUUUUUCUUCACUUACUAAAAUGUUUUCCACUCGAAUUUCAUUGCAAGAACCCCGAAGUUCUUCAAACAUUUGACCUUAUAUGUUAAUAGAUGGUAAUUGCUUUGCAAACUAAUGGUUUCUGCUGUUGUCAUGGUGUAGUAUAUUAUGGAAUCUGAAUCAACCAUUGGAAUCAAAAGAAUGGGAGAGCUUAAUCUAGAACCUUUUUUAGACAAAUACAAGAAGAAAUUUAUUAUUGACGGUGUUUGAAGUCCGAACAAUUAUCCUCGUUGUGGCAACAACAUAUUAGAAAUCCACUGUGGCUUCCUUUCAAGAGCAUUCAUACAUCAUAUCUUGAUUAUCUUUUUUGUACUUUAUAUAUGAAAGUCUGCACAUUAUAGACUACUCAUCUUGUGGUAAUGAUAUUCAAAUGAGAAAUCGUUCUUCAUUAAACCGUAAAUCCUUAUCCUUUACGCAUCAUUGCAGUAAGUGUUGCAGAACCACUUUAAAACACAUCAGGUUUUUAUCGACGAAAACACUUAUGGAAUGAUCUUCUGAGGUUUGGGUUCAUAGGCAACUUUCAACAUGGACACAUUAGUAACCAAUGUAGUUUUACUUUAUUUUUAUGUGUGAAUCAGUUAAUAGUUGAUGAAGAUAAUGAAGGAUUGAAGGAAUUGAGAAAUGAAUGGGGUGAAACGAUCUACAUGGCCGUAAUUGUUGCAUUACUGGAAAUGGAAGAGUACAAUCUAAGUGGGAGAUACAUAGUUUUUGAACUUUGGAAUUUCAAAGAUGAUGAAAAGCCAGCUUAAAAGAAGCUAUUGAGAUCUUCAUCCACCAUUUACAGAACAAACUGAGUCGAUCCCUGUACUUCUCGAACUGAUGGUAAGCUGAGUUGUUCCUGGUACUAGACUAUCAACAAGCCAAGCUAAUCCCAGUAUUUUGCGUAACAUUUCCAUGUAGUUAAUCUUAUUUUGCUAAUAUAUAAUCAAAUGACCAGUAUUUUGUUUAACCCUCAAACAUCCUGCGUGGAAGCAAGUUAUUCAUAUGAAUUGCUUGAAUUGCUCAUAUGUCCAAUGAAUUAUAAAGGAAUGCUGCUGAAUUCCCAUCGAUACAUACAUGCAUACGUAUUAGUGAAGUAUAUUCCAAUAUAAGAUCAAUAUUGGGAUUUACGUUUUAUAGAGCAGCAUUAAUGAUUGGUAAUAUACAUUGGUUCCAAGGCAAACCCAAAUAUUUUAACCUACAACUGUGGCAAAUCAAAUUUUACAGUAACCUAAUUAUAAUGUGAAGUCAAAUAUGAAAGUAACAUUGGUUUAUAUAUAUAUUUUUUUUUCUCAAAAUUCUAAUAAUCAAGUUGGUAUAAGUGAUAAACACUGAGCUUGCCACGUGUGUUAAACCACGUUUUUGUUAUGUGCCACUCCGAAGACAUCGGGCCUCUAUUCAGGCUGGCAUAGUCAGGACGUGGUAGCAUACUUCAGGGCCCUGGUUAGAAAAUAUCCCACAUCCGAUAAAAUUGGAACGAUACAGAGAAGAUUGCAAUCUUCUUUUUUUUCCCCUGGGUUUGGUGUUCAUAUUCAUGGGUUUUUGUGCACUUAAGAUUGCAAUUAGAGUUUUCUUUCUUUCUUUUACUGGGUUCGGUCUGUUUUACUCUCUUGAACUGUGAAUUUGAUUUCUUUUUUUUGCCAUUUUUUCAGCUUUGUUGCUUUUUUCCCCCUGGGUUUAGUUUUCAUGUUCAUGGGUUCCGCGCACUUGAGAUUGCAUUGGAGUUUUUUUUUUCUUUUCUUUUUACUGGGUUUUGGCCAGUUUUACUCUGUUGAACCGUGAAUACCUCAAGUUUUCUGGGAAUAAAUUGUUGCUUAUAUAUCUGCUGGUCAACAGUGCUAAUUUUCUGAUAUAUUGGCCAGAAUUGAAGGAAGAAGGUCCAAUUUUGCUUUUGAUCCUUCUACUACUAUCUUAAGAUUUAAAAGAAAUUCAAUUAAACAAUUUCUUCCAAUAAAAUUAAACAAGAAGGGACCUGCACACUUAGACAUGUUUCUCUUUGAAAAAAAUUCAAACAGGGUUUUAAAUUUUGCAAUGUGUUUUAUGUAAAUCAAAUGAUAUCCUGAAUUUUGCUAAGGGUGUUUCAUAUCCUUGAAUCCUUCUUUUGCUUGGCAAGUGAUUCAUUGAGUUUUUGUGAUCAAAUUUCAUGUUUCUUUUUUUAGUAUGGGAAUUUGUGGGAAAAUGCUUGGCAAUAUGGAAAUGAAACCAAUUUCCAUUUCCAAAGGCAACAGCAAAGUGGUGAAGCUUAUUGUUGAAAAAUUCUUCAAUAAUGUCAAUAAUGAAAAAGUAGAAAAUGGAAAAACAGAGAAUAAUUUUGGUUCUUCGUCCUAUUUGUAGUUAUAGUGAAUGGAUUUCUUUGAUUUUAGUAACUAAUAUUAUGAUUCCAACAUUUGGGGUUUUAAUCUCAAUAUAUGAACUUGGCUUUGCUUCUUAGUGUUAUUGUUGAACUUUUUAGGAUACCUCUAUCUUAAUCCAUUUAUGUGAUUUGAUAAUGAUAUUUGCAGGCACUUAAAUCUUCCAUUGAAAUGGAGAACACCAACUACGAGGAGGAGCUGAAGAAUGAUCGCAGGCUUGUUUGCAGUCUCAUAUACGAGAUUAAUUGCAGAAAAGAACAGUUGUCCCAAAUGGAACGUGAAUAUAACGAGAUGACCUCAACUCUUCGAGGACUCAUCAAUGGCCUCAUAGCAAAAAUUAACUCCAAGGACAGUAAUCUGUGGGGUUGGGAGCUUCAAUAUAAUGUAACCGUGAGACAGUUGAAGGGCAAGAAUGCUGCGUUGCGCCUUGCAUUUGCUGAAGGUACUUUAGAUUAUAUGUGUAUGUAAUGAGCAGAAUACUAUGUGUUAAUUGAAUCGUCUGGUACCCAUUGAUUGAUCUAUAUAAAUGUCAGGAUUUGAACCCCAAACUUAGCUUUUAUUACGGGAACCGGAUCAAUUUAGGCUCGGAUAAGCUUAAUGUGUUCAUAAACAGAUAAGAACAUAAUAUAUGGGAACACUUUGGCCAUACGAGGCUAAUGCUUAUAUGAUUCGCAUUACAGACUACAUGCUCCUAGUGAUAACUCUUCUGUAAGUACUAUUAGUCGAAUAGCUUUAUGAUGUAUUAAUCUAUCAAAUCUGGGUGUCAUAUUAUGAGUUCCAUUGCUAUGUUAAUCUAUGUACUAACAAUAUUAUGAAGUAAGGCAAUUUUGUGUACAUUAUAUUGGGAUGCAAGCUGAAUUCCCAUUAAUCAGUUUCAACCAUACAUACAUAUACAUAGAUAUAUAUAUGAAGUUAAGAACGUAAGUGCUGUUAAAUGGUACAUUACUCAGAUUGGUAAUAUAUUGGUGCCGAAUGUUCUAAAAUUUAACCAGCAUUACUGGUAAUAUAUUAGUGCCAAAUUUGACUAUUAUUGUUGAUAUAUCUUCAAAAAUUUCAGAUUUGAUAAAUAUAAAAGGGCAAUAAUGAAUAAAAAUACUGACUUUUUGAGAUCUUAUUUAAUGAAGGGAAGUUGAAUGUGGAAACUAAAUCGACCUAAGGGAAAUAAAAGCAAAAUAUGGAAAAGUUUUCUCGGGAAAACAAGUGUUAUCCUUCAUUUAUCUUGAUGAUUCUCUAACGCCGCCAAUUUUCCCCCCUAAGUUUACAGCAAGAAGACAAACGGCAACGUUAAGCCAUAUUCAUCCCAGGUUAAUUUUUUUUGUAAAUUAAACAUUUUUUGUAUACAUUUUGUUACCUAUUUAUUUUAUGUUUUUGAAGUUUCCAUUGCCAUUUCUACCUUUCCAAAAUGGUGUCUUUUUACUUGUUUUUUACUGGGUUAUUGACAUUUGUUCCAUAGAAUAAAUUUCUUUGAUUUUAGGGUUCUAUAUGUAUUUUUUUUAUGAAUUUGAACUUCAGUUAUCCAUAAAAAUUCUACCUUUAAUCUCAAUAUAUUUAUAGUCUAUAAGUUUUGACUUUUCUUCCAAUAAUAUAUCUCCAAAAUUCUAACUUAACCUUUUUAAACUUUGUCAUGUCAUUAUUAUUAUAGUUAAUUGCACCAAAUAUCUCCAAACUAUGGCCCUUAUUCUAAAAUAGUCCUCAAACUCAAAAUACGAGUAAUAUUUGGCCAUAAAAUGUAUAUAUUCAUUCCCUCUAAGCCAGUCGGUUAAGCCUCACAAUCCAACGUAACUGUAAAUCUUUCUUGGCAGCCAUGAAAUCAGUUCUAAAAUCCCUUGCAAACUCAAUCUUCCUUGUUCUUUUCAUCAUCUUUUCAUCUUCUACUCCACUUGUAUUGGCUCAAUGUGAAGCAGAGACCAGGACUAAUGGAUGCCAUAACUACAGAGAAUCCAUGAAGCUAAAAAUCAUUGCCAUUGUCGCAAUUUUACUAUCCAGCAUGAUUGGCGUGUGUCUGCCAUUGUUUUCUGGUCAGGUUCCGUCACUUAAACCCGACAGGGACUUGUUCACCAUUGUCAAGGCAUUUUCCUCCGGUGUUAUUCUAGCGACUGGGUACAUGCACGUGCUACCGGAUUCUUUUAACGACCUUAUGUCCGGGUGUUUGCCUGAAAACCCAUGGAGAAAGUUCCCUUUCACAACCUUCGUCGCAAUGCUGUCGGCUGUGUUGACCCUUAUGGUGGAUUCAUUUGCAAUGAGUGUAUACAAGAAACGUUGCGGUAAAGCUUUAAUGGCGGAUGCUAACAAUGGUGGUGGAUUGGAAAAUACGAACGUUGUACAAAUCGAUAAUUUUGAACACGGCCAUAGCCAUUCACUUGAGAUGAAUGACGACGUAUCAUCACAAUUGUUAAGGCAUCGAGUUAUUGCUCAGGUAUAUAUACAUGUUUGAAUCCUCAAAAUCGAUGGUUUUGCUUUUCAAGUCUUUACAUUAUGUAUUUCCUAAAUGUAGGUAUUAGAGUUGGGAAUUGUAGUUCAUUCAGUGGUGAUUGGCCUUGCAAUGGGAGCCUCUGGCAACCAAUGCACCAUUCGAUCACUCAUUGCUGCCCUUUGCUUCCAUCAAAUGUUUGAGGGGAUGGGACUUGGUGGAUGCAUACUGCAGGUAACCCCCAACAUUGCACUAUAUAUUUUCUCAUUCAAAUAUCCAUUUAGUGUACAAUAUUGAUUAACAUUAUGUUUGAUAUGUGCAGGCUGAAUAUGAGAUAAAAAUGAAAGCAAUCAUGGUAUUCUUCUUUUCAGCCACAACGCCACUUGGAAUAGUUCUGGGAAUUGGUUUGUCCAAGGUUUACAGUGAGACGAGUCCAACUUCACUUAUGGUGGUGGGACUACUUAAUGCUUGCUCAGCAGGGUUGCUGAAUUACAUGGCACUGGUUGAUCUACUUGCAGCUGAUUUUCUGGGCCCUAAGCUUCAAACAAAUAUGAAGCUCCAGGCUUGGUCAUAUGUUGCAGUUUUACUUGGUGCUGGAUUUAUGUCUUUGAUGGCAAAAUGGGCUUAGUCAUUUCAACAUAUACAUGUCUUUUUGUAAUCUUCUUUUUUUUUUCUUUUUUCUUUUUGCUUCAACAGAUAAGUUUAUAGUGGAUCAACACUUAUUCAAUCAAUUAUAAAAUUUAGGCAAAGAAUUGAGGCAACAAGGCUUGAACAUUGAUCUUUAAGAUCGUUUACUCCAUAUUGCAGGGCUCAUCACAAAGUAUAUAUAUCAGAAAAGUAUGCAAACUUCAAUUUUGUGUCAAUAUCAUUAUAAUUUAAACUGUUUAAUGUUACAUCAGAUGUAGAUGUCUUUAAGCCAAUGCUUAUAGCCACAAAGUCUCUUUGGUGCAAGCUAUAAGGACAGAGUUAUGUUAUAAAUAAACAAAUUAAAUAAUUUGUAUUUAAAAUAUCAAAUACUAAAAACCAAUAAAUAAGAUUAGAAAACCAAAAAUCGGAUAAAGAAUCAAAUUUUACUAGAUGUUGGGACUUGUUUUGCACAGUUUCCUUAAGAUAAAUUUGUCCGCUCCUACUGUACUUGGUGAAAUGUUGGGAGACUGUCUAAUAGGAUACAACAACACAAUGACCGAAAUAGUAGCAUCUCUACAGAGACCAAUGAACAACCUUGCCUUUUUCUAUCAUCAGAACAUUGGAAAAUAUAGAGAGAAAAAGAGAAGAAUUUUCGAGAGCAAAAUAAACUUGGUUUUAGAGAGUUUUUUAGUGUAAAAAAUUUUGAAGAAUUCUUAAGCAUUCAAGAUGGAGGAAUUUUUGAAAUAUCCAUAAUUAAAUAUACAAAAUCUGUAUUAAAUGAGCAAUUAAAUCAUAAUAUAUGUCCUUUUUAAAUUAGAUUAUAUAUAUUUGUUGAGAAAAAUAAAUUUUGUGUUGGGCUUAAAAUAUCCAUAGGCCCAACUGACCGGUCUAGACAUUUCACAUCGCCCAUGUAGUGCGAGUGCGCUUCAACCCCAAUGGGUUCGGAUCUACACCCCCUGCGCGUGAGACAAAGUUUCAAACUUAGUCAUUCAAUCAUCUUUCAAGUGGGUUCUCAUAUAUAAACGCAUCUCACAUUUGGUAUUUAAUCAAUGUGAGAUCUAAGCUUUUCUUUUCCUCAACAAAUAUUCACAAGUAACUUACUUUGAGUAUUAAUUUCUCGCUCAUCACUCAACCAUUUUGAGCAUACGAUAUACUGUUUUAAAGGUAUCAUGGAGUAGAAUAUAAAAUCAUAAUUUUAUGAUUCAAUUCUCCACUUAUACCAAUUGAGAAUAUGCUUCAAAGUUUCUAAAAAUUACAAUUUUUUUCAACAUUUUAUACAUCUAGUUUAAAGGUAUAAUCGAGUCCAGUAGAGCCCGAAUAAUGGCAAGCUUGAACUUGACUCAAACAUCACUUUUUAAGCUCAAUCUUGAUUCAAAACAUGAUUGAGCUGAUUAAGCUCGUUUAUCAAUUUUUAUAAUCAAACUCAUUUAUAAUUAAGCUCUUUUUAUAUAUCAAAGAUAAAAAUGUAAUUUUAUAAGUAAAAAUAUAUUUAAAUGGAAUGCUUAAUUAGGUUUGUGGGCUACUUGAAUCAAGUAUUACAAUAUUUAAAUUCAGCUUAAUCAAUAGCUCGAGCUCUACUCAAUAAUUUUCGAUAAAAUAUUAAGAUUUUUUGAAUCCAAUUCGAAUAGCUUGCAAAUAUAAUGUAUCACUUGUACUCUUAAUUUUGAGUUUGCAUUUUUAAUUCUUAAAAUAAUAUUAAAAAGUUCUUUCUUUCUAAAAAGAAACACCCAAUCAAUUGAAGGCUUUUUAGAAAGUGGUGGCAAAGUGCAUCCUUUACUUUAAGUCUCACUAUAUCUAAAAAGAAAUUAAUGCGAACUGUAGAAAGUGGUAGGAAUGUGCAUCAUUAUUGCUUUAAAAGAAUUUCAAUCUUUAAACGGAUAGAAUUAAAUUUUCAUAAUUUGGAAGAGUUAAAGUGUAAUUUUUUUUAUUAAUUUAAAAUUUUAAAAUUUUUUAAAGAGUUCAAAUAAUAAUUUUUUAUUUUAAGAGAGCCGGGCUCCUGUCAACUCCUGGAUUUGCCUCCAUAAUUUUCAAAAUUUUAAAUUAUGUUAUUUUGAAUAAAAAGUUAAUUGAUAAAGAAAUUCCUUUAGUUUCAAAAAUUCAAUUUUUUUGUUUUAAAAAAUAUUAAAAUUUAAAAAUUAAAAGAUUAAAGUAAUAAAAUUUCUCCCAAUAUUAAUGUCUUUUUGAUACAUGCACGAAUGGAGUGAAAUUUAUUAGAUUCCAAUCAUCAAAACUGCCAAUUUUUAGGCUUGGGAAAUUAGCACACUUGCGAUGACUUUGUGGAUGGGAUUCUGGCAUUUUUUGGGUUGAGAUGUCUCAUGGCAUUUGAAGAUCAAUCUCUUAGCUUCGAAACACAUUUCGAAUCACUCGAUUUUGAGUUCGGAAGCUCAAGUUAUGACUGUUUUAGUGAAGACUGCGCGAGCAGAAUUUUUGAACGAGAUUAUGACGGGAGUUACAAAUUUUGGGCUUUUAAUUCAUGUUUAAAUUAUAUUGGGUUCAGGUUUUAGACUUACUUUUUUUAUUAUAUAUGAGCCUAAUAUUAUAGUUGUUAGAUCUUAUUAUUUUAUUAUUAUUUUAUUCUAAAUUUUUUAUAAUUAUUAAGUAUUUUAAGUUAUUUAGGAGUUUUAUAUUAACAAGAAAAUUCAAUUUAAAACUACUUCUUAUUUAGAUUAAAUUAGAAUUCUAGUAUACUUAAAAGUUUUAUUUAGAUUUAUUUAGCUAGCCUAUAUGUAGGCAUUAUUCAUUAUUAUUCUAUUUAUCUUUUGAGUUAAUAAAUUCUCUCUGGGGUUUUUUUUUUCAAGAAUUUUUCUUGAGUUUCUUUUAGAAGAGUUUUAACAAUCAUUUUAGAUUGUGGGGAUCAUUUUCAAACUUUUUAUUGCCAAGGUUUCUAUCUUGAAGGGGAAAUUAGAGCCGCUUGAAGGGGAUUGUGAAUUCUUCGUGUUUCCAAGGCUUAUUAGGACUUCUACACACCACAUUCUAUCUUUUCAUUUAUCUUCUUUAUUUGCUUCCUUAUCUUUAAUUUAUUAUUUUAUUUUAGUUAUUUAUUUUAAUUGUUUUAUCUGACUUGGAUUCAAUUUCGUUUCAGAUUGUGUCAAAAUCCAAUUUCUUUCCGAACGUUUAGAACCCUAAGUCAAAUCCAUAAUUUUGACAAACUUUAUGAUCCACUUUCGCGUUCAUCCUUCUCAUCCUUUUGUACUGGCUUGAGGAGUCGACUCUGUUGUAGAUUCUAGAUUAAUCUGAUGCUCCACCUGCUUUUGAUUUUCUUUAUUGGAAGAGUCUUUAAGAGAUAUGUUAAGUAGCAUAACAGUUUCAUCAAAAACAACAUUUCUGUUAAUCACAACUUUUCUAUUUUCAGGAUACCAUAACUUAUACACUUUUACACUAGCUUUAUAACCAAGAAAAACACAUUUAAUGGUACACAAUUUUAAUUUUCCAUUAUCAGCAUGAGUAUACGCAAAACACCCAAAAAUCUUUAAAUCAGAAUCGUCAGCAGGAUUACUAAACCAUACUUCUUAUGGAGUCUUUUUCUCAAUAGCAACGAAUAGAGACCGAUUGAUCAAAAACAUAUAGUUGACAUUGCUUUGGCCCAAAAUAACUUUGAUAAGUUGCCAUUUGACAACAUACAUCGAACAUUCUCCAUGAUCGUUCUAUUCAUUCGUUCUACAAUACCUUUUUUAAAAUGUUCAUGUUCUAAAAUGAAAAACAAUAUGAAUUGCAUGAAUUGCUUAUAUGUCCUAUGAAUUAUAAAGGAAUGCGGUUGAAAUAUUCCCAUCGAUACAUACAUACAUAUUCGUGAAGUAUGUUCCAAUAUAAUAUCAAUAUUGGGAUUUACGUUUUAUAAAGCAACAUUAUUGAUUGGUAAUAUACAUUAAUUCCAAGGCAAACCCAAAUAUUUUAAAAUUUAACCUACAACUGUGGUAAAUCAAACUUAAUAGUAACUCGAUUGUAAUGUGAAGUCAAAUAUGAAAGUAACAUUGGUUUAUAUAUAUAUUUUUCUCUAAAUUCUAAUAAUCAAGUUGGGAUAAGUGAUAAACACUGAGCUUGCCACGUGUGUUAACCACGUUUUCAUCAUGUGCCACUCCAAAGACAUCAGGCCUCUAUUCAAGCUGGCAUGGUCAGGACGUGGUAGCAUACUUCAGGGAUCUGGUUAGAAAAUAUCCCAUAUCGCUAAAGAACUAUAACACAGGAGCGUUUAUAUAAGCGAAAGAAGCAUCAGAUGGUUGUCCCUUCGGGGACAUCCGAUAAAAUUGGAACGAUACAGAGAAGAUUAGCAUGGCCCCUGCGCAAGGAUGACACGCACAAAUCGAGAAAUGGUCCAAAUUUUUUUCCCUUUUUUUUCCCACAUUUUUACAGCUCUGUUUCUUUUUUUUUUCCUGGGUUUGGUGUUCAUAUUCAUGGGUUUUUGUGCACUUAAGAUUGCAAUUAGAGUUUUCUUUCUUUCUUUUACUCUCUUGAACUGUGAAUUUGAUUUUUUUUUCCAUUUUUUCAGCUUUGUUUCUUUUUUCCCCCUGGGUUUAGUUUUCAUGUUCAUGGGUUCCGCGCACUUAAGAUUGCAUUAGAGUUUUUUUUUUUUCCUUUUUACUGGGUUUUGGCCAGUUGUACUCUGUUGAACCGUGAAUACCUCAAGUUUUCUGGGAAUAAAUUGUUGCUUAUAUAUUUGCUGGUUAACAGUGGUAAUUUUCUGAUAUAUUGGCCAGAAUUGAAGGAUGAAGGUCCAACUUUGCUUUUGGUCCUUCUACUACUAUCUUAAGAUUUAAAAGAAAUUCAAUUAAACAAUUUCUUCCAAUAAAAUUAAAUAAGAAGGCCCAGAAAUUGACCUGCACACUUAGACAUGUUUCUCUUUGAAAAAAAUUCAAACAGGAUUUUAAAAUUUGCAAUGUGUUUUAUGUAAAUCAAAUGAUAUCCUGAAUUUUGCUAAGGGUGCUUCAUAUCCUUGAAUCCUUUUUUUGCUUGGCAAGUGAUUCAUUGAGUUUUUGUGAUCAAAUUUCAUGUUUCCUUUUUUAGUACGGGAAUUUGUGGGAAAAUGCUUGGCAAUAUGGAAAUGAAACCAAUUUCCAUUUACGAAGGCACCAGCAAAGUGGUGAAGCUUAUUGUUGAAAAAUUCUUCAAUAAUGUCAAUAAUGAAAAAGUAGAAAAUGGAAAAACAGAGAAUAAUUUUGGUUCUUCAUCCUAUUUGUAGUUAUAGUGAACGGAUUUCUUUGAUUUUAGUAACUAAUAUUAUGAUUCCAACAUUUGGGGUUUUAAUCUCACUACAUGAACUUGGCUUUGCUUCUUAGUGUUAUUGUUGAACUUUUUAGGAUACCUCUAUCUUAAUCCAUUUAUGUGAUUUGAUAAUGAUAUUUGCAGGCACUUAAAUCUUCCAUUGAAAUGGAGAACACCAACUACGAGGAGGAGCUGAAGAAUGAUUGCAGGCUUGUUUGCAGUCUCAUAUACGAUAUUAAUUGCAGAAAAGAACAGUUGUCCCAAAUGGAACGUGAAUAUAACGAGAUGACCGCAACUCUUCAAGGACUCAUCAAUGGCCUCAUGGCAAAAAUUAACUCCCAAGGACUGUAAUCUGUGGGGUUGGGAGCUUCAAUAUAAUGUAACCGUGAGACAGUUGAAGGGCAAGAAUGCUGCGUUGCGCCUUGCGUUUGCUGAAGGUACUUUAGAUUAUAUAUGUGUAUGUAGUGAGCAGAAUACUAUGUGUUAAUUGAAUCGUUUGGUACCCAUUGAUUGAUCUAUAUAAAUGUCAGGAUUUGAACCCCAAACUUAGCUUUUAUUACGGGAACCGGAUCAAUUUAGGCUCGGAUAAGCUUAAUGUGUUCAGAACCAGAUAAGAACAUAAUAUAUGGGAACACUUUGGCCAUACGAGGCUAAUGCUUAUAUGAUUCGCAUUACAGACUACAUGCACUGUUAGUUGAAUAGCUUUAUGAUGUAUUAAUCUAUAAAAUCUGGGUGUCAUAUUAUGAGUUCCAUUGCUAUGUUAAUCUAUGUACUAACAAUAUUAUGAAGUAAGGCAAUUUUGUGUACAUUAUAUUGGGAUGCAAGCUGAAUUCCUAUUAAUCAGCUUCAACCAUACAUACAUACAUACAUACAUACAUACAUACAUAUAUAUAUGAAGUUAAGAACGUAAGUGCUGUUAAAUGGUACAUUACUCAGAUUGGUAAUAUAUUGGUGCCGAAUGUUCUAAAAUUUUACCAGCAUUACUGGUAAUAUAUUAAUGCCAAAUUUGACUAAUUAUUGUUUAUAUAUAUUCAAAAAUUUCAGAUUUGAUAAAGAUAAAAUGGCAAUAAUGAAUAAAAAUACUAACUUUUUGAGAUCUUAUUUAAUGAAGGGAAGUUGAAUAUGGAAACUAAAUCGACCUAAGGGAAAUAAAAGCAAAAUAUGGAAAAUAUUUCUCGGGAAAACAAGUGUUAUCCUUCAUAUAUCUUGAUGAUUCUCUAACGCCGCCAGUUUUCCCCCCUAAGUUUACAGCAAGAAGAAGAAGAAAAAGAAGACAAACGGCAACGUUAAGCCAUUUUCAUCCCAGGUUAAUUUUAUUGUAAAUUAAACAUUUUUUGUAUACAUUUUGUUACCUAUUUAUUUUAUGGUUAUGAUUUGCCGAGUGGACAUUUUCAACAAUGUGGAUUGUAUCUGAUACAGCCGAAAGAGAAUGUGCCUUGUCGAGAUCUUGUUGAACUCGUGAAAACUACGAGCGAUCAGAUUGCUGCUCUAAAGGAACAAUUGGAGGAAACAUCAGAGGCGUUGAAAGAUAUGGAAAGCCGAUACAGUUGUCUUACGGUGAAACAAAUCUUAAUUAAUCGAGAACUGCAAGAUGCUCGAAAAGAAUCAGUAAGUGUAUUUCCUCGUUUUCCUUUGUUUUCUUGGAUGUUUUAUUUCUUUAGGUGCAAGAAAUACCUCUUCGGAAUCAGGUAUGAAAGUGUUAAACCGAAGACUUCUCUGGUUCUUGAUAUGCAGGGUCUAAAUGAUGUAUUGACAAGCCGAACAACUCUUGUAGUAAAAAAAAUGGGAGAGAUUGAUCGAAAAGCUUUUGAAGUUGCUAGCUCUGGGAAGUUCCCGAACAAAGAUUGGCAAGAAACAUGUGCUAAAUUAUGUUCAUUAUGGCAACAAAACGUGCAGGAUCCGAAAUGGCACCCGUUUAAGAUGAUCAAUAUCCGAGGCAACUUGCAGGUAUGGUGCAUACACCAACUAUUCUGUUAUCCGGUUAUCGAAAAUCCGUUUUUUUACUAAAUGUGCUAAACAUAUAUGUCAGAAUCGAGCCAGUUUAUUACUCAAACUUAUAUAUAUUAAGGGGAUAGCUACUCGGUAGUGUAGGAAAUAGUAGACGAAGACGACGAGAAGCUGAAGGAGUUGAGAAAUGAAUACGGUGAUGUCGUGUACGAGGCUGUUAGCACCGCAUUGAUGGAAAUGAACGAAUAUAAUGGGAGCGGAAGGUAUGCAGUCAUUUAAGCUAGUUGAGUGACCCGCAAUCUAGUUUAUCAUUUUUAAAAUAUUUAUAGUCUAUGAAUUUUGACUUUUCUUCCAAUAAUAUAUCUCCAAAAUUCUAACUUAACCUUUUUAAACUUUGUCAUGUAAUUAUUAUUAGAGUUAAUUGCACCAAAUAUCUCCAAACUAUGGCCCUUAUUCUAAAAUAGUCCUCAAACACAAAAUAUUGUAAAUUAUAUUUCCAAAUUAUCAAUAUUAUAUCAAUAAUGUUCUUCUGUUGUUAAAAUCAUUAAAUGAGACGUCAAAUGAGACAUAAUUUAAAAUAAAAAACUUAAAGAAAAAUAAAUAUAUUGUAAAAUAUUGAUUUCAAGGUUUUCGAAGCUAUUACAAAAACUAUCAUUCAUUUUCUCUUUUACUUUAUUUUUAAUUUUUAUUUUUAAAAGUUGUAUCAACAACAUUUUACUUUUCUUUAAAAAUAUCAUUUUAAAUUAAUAGUGUCAAUAAUAAAAGGAUGAGAUAAAUAGUUUAAAAUAUUUUAAAGUUGGGAGAAUAAUUUAAAAUAAAGAUUCAAUAUUGUUAAUCUAGUACUAUUUCAUAAUAUCAUUUUAUCGUAUCAACUUUUAAAGAUGACUUUUUUUUUUGAAAUAUUUUAAAGACAACAUUUAAAGAUUGAUUAUAAUAAUAUUGUUGCAUGGAAAAAGAAUUUCCACGUUAGCAGAAAGGCUUACGCCUGACGUGUGCUUAGUAUUAUUAGUAAAGUCAAAGGUCGAGAAAGUCUAAGGCGGGUCACACAUAUCACACGCCAUGCACAGGUUUCCUUAUUUCGAGGCUAAAAUACCAAAAUACCAUCACAUUUCUUGUUAAAUUUAUCACUUAAUCAACGAUCCUCUAAAACGAAGUAAGGACAUAUUAGAAAUUUUAAUUGCAAUAAUAUCACCAAAUCUGAAAAAUUACAAAUGAGGCAAAAAAAAAUACGAGUAAUAUUUGGCCAUAAAGUGCAUAUAUUCAUUCCCUCUAAACCAGUCGGUUAAGCCUCACAAUCCAACGUAACCGUAAAUCUUUCUUGGCAGCCAUGAAAUCAGUUCUAAAAUCCCUUGCAAACUCAAUCUUCCUUGUUCUUUUCAUCGUCUUUUCAUCUUCUACUCCACUUGUAUUGGCUCAAUGUGAAGCAGAGACCAAGACUAAUGGAUGCCAUAACUACAGAGAAUCCAUGAAGCUAAAAAUCAUUGCCAUUGUCGCAAUUUUACUAUCCAGCAUGAUUGGCGUGUGUCUACCAUUGUUUUCUGGUCAGGUUCCGUCACUUAAACCCGACAGAAACUUGUUCACCAUUGUCAAGGCAUUUUCCUCCGGUGUUAUUCUAGCGACUGGGUACAUGCACGUGCUACCGGAUUCUUUCAACGACCUUAUGUCCGGGUGUUUGCCUGAAAACCCAUGGAGGAAGUUCCCUUUCACAACCUUCGUCGCAAUGCUGUCGGCUGUGUUGACCCUUAUGGUGGAUUCAUUUGCAAUGAGUGUAUACAAGAAACGUUGCGGUAAAGCUUUAAUGGCGGAUGCUAACAAUGGUGGUGGAUUGGAAAAUACGAACGUUGUACAAAUCGAUAAUUUUGAACACGGCCAUAGCCAUUCACUUGAGAUGAAUGACGACGUAUCAUCACAAUUGUUAAGGCAUCGAGUUAUUGCUCAGGUAUAUAUACAUGUUUGAAUCCUCAAAAUCGAUGGUUUUGCUUUUCAAGUCUUUACAUUAUGUAUUUCCUAAAUGUAGGUAUUAGAGUUGGGAAUUGUAGUUCAUUCAGUGGUGAUUGGUCUUGCAAUGGGAGCCUCUGGCAAUCAAUGCACCAUUCGAUCACUCAUUGCUGCCCUUUGCUUCCAUCAAAUGUUUGAGGGGAUGGGACUUGGUGGAUGCAUACUGCAGGUAACCCCCUACAUUGCACUAUUUUCUCAUUCAAACAUCCAUUUAGUGUACAAUAUUGAUUAACAUUAUGUUUGAUAUGUGCAGGCUGAAUAUGAGAUAAAAAUGAAAGCAAUCAUGGUAUUCUUCUUUUCAGCCACAACGCCACUUGGAAUAGUUCUGGGAAUUGGUUUGUCCAAGGUUUACAGUGAGACGAGUCCAACUUCACUUAUGGUGGUGGGACUACUUAAUGCUUGCUCAGCAGGGUUGCUGAAUUACAUGGCACUGGUUGAUCUCCUUGCAGCUGAUUUUCUGGGCCCUAAGCUUCAAACAAAUAUGAAGCUCCAGGCUUGGUCAUAUGUUGCAGUUUUACUUGGUGCUGGAUUUAUGUCUUUGAUGGCAAAAUGGGCUUAGUCAUUUCAACAUAUACAUGUCUUUUUGUAGUUUUUUAAUCUUUUUUUUUUUAUGCUUCAACUGAUGAGUUUAUAGUGAAUCAACACUUAUUCAAUCAAUUAUAAAAAUUAGGCAAAGAAUUUAGGCAACAAGGCUUGAAUAUUGAUCUUUAAGAUCGUUUACUCCAGAUUGCAGGGCUCAUCACAAAGUAUAUAUAUCAGAAAAGUAUGCAAACUUCAAUUUUGUGUCAAUAUCAUUAUAAUUUAAACUGUUUAAUAUUACAUCAGAUGUAGAUGUCUUUAAGCCAAUGCUUAUAGCCACAAAGUCUCUUUGGUGCAAGCUAUAAGGACAGAGUUAUGCUAUAAAUAAACAAAUAAAUGUUGUAUAAAACCCUUCUCAAAUAAAUGUUGUAUAUAUAUAUUAUUGAGAAGAUCACUAGUUAAACUAAAAGUUUAGUUCUUUAAUGCACCUAAAAAACUUUGUAGUAUCCACAUUGUUAGUGGAUUAAGACUUUAACCAAGUUAAGGUCAGCGCAGAAAAACAAGCAUGCGAGUCAGUAAUAUUCUAAUGCCACCAUCCACCAUUAUUAAACAAACAAAAUAUUUGUCAUUGACAACAAGGCAAUGUGUGUAGGUUUUGAAAAAUAUCAGUAAAGGGAAAAAAAUAAAAACUGAUGAAAUUGAAACUUGUUUUUUAAUAAGGAACGAUGGUGAUGAGCUUAUCUUGUUUGAACCAAUAAUUGCCAAAUGUGAGGACCACAAGAAAGAAAUCAAAAGGGAAAAAAAAAAAAAAAGGUAGGGCUGUUUAAGUGGGGGGAUGCACAUUUGGUACUGGUAAUGGUAGCAAAGUUUUGCAGUAUGGUACCCUUGUGUGGUCACAGAAUUUCCAAGAGACCCCCCUAACAUUACUAUAAGUAACCAAUUGUUGCGGCCAAUAAAAUUUUUACAGUCUGUACUAUAAAAACAAUGCAUACCUUAACUGUUUUUUAAUCCCCCCCAGCCCCCCGCAAUGCAUGAAUACCGAUGAUUGUUUACCAUUAUGAAAGUACAAAUGCAGACACUCCUGUUGUUGGAAAAAAUGCAUUUUAAUGGGAACUUUAAGACAUAUUCUAUAUAGGUAAAAGUGGAGAGUUGAGAUAUUGUUGAGUAAAAAUAAAGGCUUGGAUCCAUAUUGGUUAAAUACCCAAGUGUGAGAUGAGUUUAUAUAUGCGAACCCUCUUAAAAGAUAAUUGAAUGAUUAAGUUUGUAACUUUGUCUCAUGCGUAGAAAGUAUAGGUCUAAAACUGAAAGGGUUGGGGCGCACCCGCACGACGUGGGCAACGUGAAAUGUUUGGACCGGUCAGGCUUAAUUGGGCUUACGGAUAUUUUAAGCAAGCCCAAUACAAAUUUAUUUUUCCUCAGCAGACAUAAUCUGCUUAUAUAUAGACAAUAUUUAAUUUGAUUUAAUUUUUAAACCAAAUUGAUUUUUAUGUUUAUUUCCUUAAUUUUUAAAUCUAAUUUGACUUUUCCUUAAUCGCAGAUUUUAUGUUUAUUUCCAAAUUUUUUUAUUAUCCUAAAUGCCUAUAAAAUGUUGUGUAUUCUGGAGGAUUACACACACAUUCAAAUAAUUUCUUAUACCGAAAUUCUGUUCAUUUCAAAACUCUUCUUUUGCGUCUCUGUAUUUUUACAAUAUUCCAGUGAUAGAAAAAGAAAAAGUUCGUUUGUUCGAUCGUUGUAGAGGUGCUACUACUUUGAUCAUUGUUGUUGUUGUAUCCUGGGAAACAUUCGACCAACAUUUCUCCAAGUACCAUAGGAGCAACCGAAUUUGCCUCAAGGAAACUGUGUUUCACAGGCCUCGACUUUUCGUAAAAUCUCGAUUCUACUUUAUUUCAAAUUUUUAUUUGAUUUUUGUAUUUGAUAAAUUAAUUAUAAAUCAUUCUAUUUAUAUUUUAUUUCAUAUGUGUUUAUUUAUAAUUAAUUAUUUUGUUCGCUAACAUGUUUUGUCCAACACCUAUUACAAUUUUUAUGGUUCGAUUCCUUUUGAUGAAGAUUUCCCCAGGAUAAUACUUACUUCAUAAAACUUCCUAGCUGUGAAACAUGGUACUUAUCUUAUAACAAGACUUUGCUAGGAGAACCGCAAAAUAUGUUCUUAUUAACAUAUGUAACGUAUUAAUCCUUAGUUUCAUCAUGAAUUUGGAUACAAAUGUGUUAAUGGAUAUAGCCACAUAUCUGCAGAUACAGGCACAAGUGAGCAAUAAGAGAGAGCGGUAGAGAGAGAGAGUUGAUAUAUUGGGGUUGAAUUGACGGGUUGUGCAAUUGGAUGCAAGAAAGGUGCAGCAGGCACCUAAGGUCACUAGUAUAAAGGACCCACUUGAGCACAAGUUUGUGUUUCAAUUCAAAUGUUGCUCUCUCAGAUGAUGUUUGGCACCAAAUGGGUUAGGUGUUAAUCCAGUCCCCCUCCGUACAUAGCACUGCUUUCGCAUUUGUAGUGCCCCUUUCGGCCCUUUUCCUUCUGCAUACUAGCUAUGCCUAUAGCAACAUAACUAGGCUAGGCAUGUAUGGGGGUAAAGAACGGCCAUUAGUGAUCCCCUUUUAUUCUUCUUUUACUUUUCAGAUUUGGAACAGAAAGGAAGGAAGGAAAGCCACCAUGAAAGAAAUCAUUCAGUACGUAAUCGGGCAACUGAAGAUUCAUAAGCGUAAAUGAAAGCGAAUUCCGUGAUCUCGAUCUGACUAUUUUCAUGGUAAGCUUACCUAUCCUUUACUAUCAAUCACUAAUCAUUUUACGGUUUAUAGUCGUUUUUUACAUAUCAUGAAAACUAAUCAUUUCGAGAUUUGUGGUUGUCAUUCCCAAUAAUUUUGUUUUCAAUACUUUUUAAUAUUAUUUUAGAUUUUAAAAUUCUUUUCCAAUUUAAAUACUAAUAUAUAUAUAUAUAUAUUAUAGCCCAAUGUUAUUCAACCUUUAAAUUAAUAUAAACAACUUAUACUGUUAUGAGUUUUUUUCCCCAUUUUUAUCUUCAAAAAUUGUGAAUCAAAGGCAAUUAGAUCUGUGAUUUUUGGCUUUGAAAACCUUAUCAACUUGAGCACAAAUCUUUGAUCAAAUAAACUCGAUAUGAUCUUAUUAGAAAAUUUAAACUUCAAAUAAUUUCAAACUUAAAUUUGAAACUGAUUUGGAUGAAAUGAUCUGAAAAUUUCUAAUUUUGAAUUAUUCUAUUAUAGAUCUAGCUAUAGCCCAAGACCCAUCACAAAUCUAUGUAUUUGGAUAAUUACCUUCUUCCUAAAAGAUAUGUUGCAGUGCACUCGAUUAUUUAUUUAGGAUUUUUUUCCCGAUGUGGGAUUAAUGACUUUGAUUAUGUAUUGAUAAAUUUUAAUUUUUAAAGUAAAAAUAGAGAAAUUAAGUUUCAAAUGUACGAACUGUGUAAGAACUUCGAGAAUAUUUUAAUCUUCAAAUUUUUUACUUUAUAAUUUAAUACAAAUAAAUAAUCAAUACAAUGCAAAACAAUGAGAGGCUAAUCUUUUUAACAACAUGCCUACAUCCUCAUUUAAUAAAUGAUUUUAAUUUUUAUAUAAUUCUCAUUCGGCUUAAUGUUGUAUCUAAGUUGAUUAUUAGUAGUGAAGUCAAAAAAAUAUUUUGAGGGUUGAAAUUAAAUUGAAUAUUUUUACGAUAGUAAAAAUAUAAUUUUACCAUUUUAAUAGUCUAUAUAUAAUUUACAAUUAUUAAUUUAAAAUUUUAUAAUUUAUAAAGGAGCCUAAAUGAAAAUUUUUUUCAUUUUAAGGAAACUGGCAUUGGUGAUUAUAAUAAGAAUCAAAUUCUGACCUAUAAGGUUAUACAUUAUUUUUCAGUAAUUGCUUUUUUUUUUCGUUUUGGGUAACAUUUUCCCUAUGUAUUCAUUUAGUUGCCUUACAAAUAAUGUACAUUAUUGUAAAGAGAGUCGAUGUAUUAUUCUUCAAUACUUACCUCGUUUUUUCUAACCCUUUAUUUGCUAAUAAAACACAACGUUUACAUUGGGACCAUAAUUUCAUGCAGAAAGGGAAAAGACUUUGCCAUUCCCUAAUAUCCUUUUCUAAGCAAAGGAUCAUCUAUGUACUAGUGACAAAUGGGUUCAUAUCGGUCUCUCUUCGGAUUAAGAUUACCACCUAUUUGAACCGGUUUAAGUUUGACUAUUUAGAAUUUGAAUACUUUUGAGUUUAGAUUGUCUCAAUUUAAAAUAAGUAUUUAGACUAGUUGAUCCACGAACCGGUUGAACAAACGACCGAUUUGAUUUUUUAAAAUAUAUAUUUUUUAAUUUUUAAUAGUUUAUUCAAUUAAACCAAUUGGAUUGAUUAAAUUGAGUAGAGGUGGUUUCUAUUGCACACAAUCUAAUGAAAGACACAAAAAUGUACAGAAAUGUUUUAAAGUUUAGGUAAAUAAUUUAAUGAAAAAUAGACAUGAUUAGUGGCGAAGUCCUGGUUCUCUAAAAUAGAAUAUUUUCCAUUUAGUCUUUUAUAAUUUUUAAAUUUUUAAAUUAGUAAUGGUAAAAUUACACUUUCCUCGCCUAAAAUUGAUAAAAAAUUGAUUUACCCUUUUAAAAAUUAUAAAGAUAUAAACUAUUAAAAUGGUAAAAUUGUAUUUUUAUUAUCGUAAAAAUAUACAAUUUAAUUUUGUCCCAAAAAUUUUUUUGACUUCGCCCUACAUAUCAUUAUCUUAAUAAAAAAGGUAAAAAUAUUGAGUAUACAAUAAUUAGGUUGAACAAUUUUUGUUGGGAAUAUAUGUUAAAAAAAUAUAGAUUAGCUAUUAAAUGUAAAAUGGCAAAAGAAUAAAUUAUAAAGUGUACACAUAAGGUUGAUUUCGUAAAACUAAAAAUUACCAAUUUUUCACAACUUUGUCAACUAUUAUAUACUUGAGAUGGCAAGAGCCUUUUUUACUUUAAUCGGUGGUUAAUGGUUCGAUCAUUGUCCUGGAUAUGGAGUAACUUUAAAACUCGUGACCAACAUCUAUCCGUUAAUGGGCCUAUAGAAUGUGGAGGGUUAGUUACUAGGUUCGCUCUAAUAGAUACAUUGAUAAAUUAAAAAAAUGGAAUAAAAAAUGUUAGUAAAUUUGACAUUUGAAGUUGUUUAAAGUUAUAAAUUAAAUUGGUAAUAUAUAAGAGAUAUUUUUAUUUGUGUUUAUAUAGAAUUGAAGGAAUAAAAUUUUAAUAUUAACCAUAAAUUAGCAAAUAAUAUCUUCAAAUUUUAAAGUUAUAAAAGUGAAAUAAUAUCAAACAUGAAAUCAAUUACUUUAUUUUAUUUUUUAAUUUUUAUUAUAUAUAGUCAACAUUAUAUUUGAAAAUCAAUAUUACAUAUUGAGAAUUAAUUAUUAUGAACACUUUAUUGUGGGGUUCUUUUACAUUAAUAAUAUAAAAUAAAUAAAUAAAUGCUAGAAUAGGAUAAAGGGAAUAAUAUUUACAAGAAUAGGUAAUGAAAUAGUGAAAUAUCGGUGUUGUCUGACCAAUCGGCGACACCAGACUAAAAUGUGAUGAUCUAAAAGGAUAAAUUGUACCCUAAGUCCCCCUUAUUUAUUAUUUAUUAUUUUUCUUUAACACCAAAAAAUAGAUUGGCCUUUUAUAAAUUAGUCUAGUUUUUUUUUACCAAAAAAUAUUUUUGUAAGUAAACCGUUUCUAUUUAGAAAUAAAUUUUAUUUAUUUUAAAAUAAUAUUUAUAAUUUUAUUAUCCAUUUGAUUUACGUACACAGUAUAAAAUUAUAAUUAUAAAAGCUUUAGAAAAAAUCUUAUUAUGUAUAAAUUAUAAUUAUUAGUUAAAUUUAUAGUUUCCAAAUAUAAUGAGAGAAAAAGAAAACUACUAUAAAUACAGUUAAUUGUAAUGUCAAACAUAAUGUGAUUUUUUUUUAAAAUAAAUAAAAUUUAUUUCGAGUUGGAAUCGACUUACUUGAAAAAAAUACUUUUUAGUAAAAAAAAAUUAGACUAAUUGAUAAGAGGUCAAUUUAUUUUUGGUGUUAAAAGAUAAUAAAAUUUAAUAAUAAAUAGGGGUUUAGGGUGCAAUUUACCCUUUUAAAUUUGGUGCUGUCAUACUGUUAGGCGGCACCCAUGAAGAUUUUUUCGACUGUCAAUUAAAACGGAAAAUUUACAGAUAAGGUCCCUAGAAUUUUUAGAUCAUCACAUUUUAGCCUGGUGCGGCCGAGUGCUCAAGCUGCACCUGAAUUUUUUUAAACUAGAAUUUUUAGAUCAUCACAUUUUAGCCUGGUGCGGCCGAGUGCUCAAGCUGCACCUGAAUUUUUUUAAAUAAAGUGAUGCCGUUGAUUGGUUAGGCGGCACCGGUAUUUCACUAUUUCAUUUGACUAUUCUCAUAAAUAUUAAUCUCUUUAUCCUAUCCUGUAUUUAUUUAUUUAUUUAUUUUAUAUUAUUAACGUAAAAAAUCCUUUAUUGUGACCUGCGGAAACGUGGAAUGAAAACCAAAUAGGUUUUUUUUUUAGUUUUUCUUGAAUUAAAAUGCAACCAAUAAGAAUAAUUGAUAUUUUAAUUUAAUAAAAAUAAAAUUAAUUAAUGUUUGAGUAUUUAAUUUUAAAAAUGAUCAAGAUGUAAUUACAACAAUUAAUUUUAAAAGUUAUUAAAGAUAUUUAUAUAUGUCAAUUUUUUAUAAUUAUUAAUGACAUACAUAUAAAUUAAUUAAUAGCGUAUCUCUCAAAGAUGAUAUUGACAGUGGCGGAGUCAAAAAAUAUUUUUGAGAUAUCGGAAUUAAUGUAAAAAUGUACAAUUUAAUUAAUUUAAUAGUUUUUAUAAUAUUUAAAGAAUUAAAUCAAAAUUUUUAUCAUUUUAAAGAAGAACAAAGUAUAAUUUUACUUUUAUUAAUUUAAAAUGUUAUAAAUUAUAAAUAUUAUACAUGAAUUUUUUUUCAUUUUAGGGACCGGAUACUGUCAGCUCCUAUGACUAUGUAAGCCUUGAAAACAUCCUUUAUUAUUGCAUUUCUUUUUCUACGUUGGCAGUGGUGUGCUUUCGUAGAUUCUAGCCACUCCUUUUUAGAUAAAAUUUCCAAAAGGAAUAGAUAUUAUAUGAGGAAUACUUGGUUGAAGAAAGAAAAAGCAAAAAAACAAAAAAAAAAAUUGGAAAAUGACCUUACAUGAAACUACUCAUGCAAUUGGAUCAACUCAUUCACUCAACCUUUCAAGAGCUUUAUUUACUACUUGGAUACUUAAUAAUUCAUUUAUUUAAUAACUUAUUAUAGGGACCGAACAUGUCUUUUUCAUUUCACCGAAAAUCAAUUUUACAAUAUAAACUCCUAUGACCUUCCCUCUAUGUCUUGCAGUAAUGAUUCCUCUAACAAUUUCUCAAUUCAAUAAAAGAAAAAAAGAAAAGAGGUGAAUAAGAUCUUAAAUAAUAAGAGAUAUGUAAAAAGGAGGCCCGAUUAUGCCCAACCUAAACCUAAAUGGAAUGUAACGACGUAUGGAUCUAUAUGUAGUAUUCUAUAUUAAUAUAGUAAUAUAAUAUUACUAAUAGUAUCGACUCCUUUUUUAUUUUCUAGUUUAUUUUCUAUUUUAGUAUAUUUUACAUCUAAAUUAUAUAGAAUUUUUUAUAUAGAUAUAAAUUAUAUUUAAUCAAUCAAUUGAAUAGAUAUAAUUUAUUUUAUUUAGUUUAGAGUUGUAAAUAGAGAUAAUUAGAGUAAAAAAUCAUUUAUAUGUUUUAUGAUUGCCAACAUUUCUGUCAAAAACAAGUAUAUAUUUGCACCAAUUCAUCCGAGUUAGUGCAAACAUAUGAAAUAUUUAUAUGUCCAUAAAAUAUAUAUAAAUUGGGGUGUUAAGAAAACCAUGAAAUAUUUAUAUGUCCAACGAAAUAAAUCAUUCAGUACGUAAUCGGGCAACUGAAGAUUCAUAAGCGUAAACGAAAGCGAAUUCCGUGAUCUCGAUCCGACUAUUUUCAUGGUAAGCUUACCUAUCCUUUACUGUCAUUCACUAAUCAUUUUACUGUUUAUAUUCGCUUUUUACAUAUCAUGAAAACUAAUCAUUUCAAGAUUUGUAGUUGUCAUUUUCAAUAACUUUGUUUUCAAUACUUUUUAAUAUCAUUUUAAAUUUUAAAGUUCUUUUCCAAGUUAAAUACUAAUAUAUAUAUAUUAUAGCCCCAUGUUAUUCAACCUUUAAAUUAAUAUAAACAAGUACUUAUACUGUUAUGAGUUUUUUUUUCCCUUUUUUAUCUUCAAAAAUUGUGAAUCAAAGGCAAUUAGAUCUGUGAUUUUUGGAUUUGAAAACCUUAUCAACUUGAACAUAAAUCUUUGAUCAAAUAAACUCGAUAUGAUCUUAUUAGAAAAUUUAAACUUCAAAUAAUUUCAAAUUUAAAUUUUAAACUGAUUUGGAUGAAAUUAUCUGAAAAUUUCUAAUUUUGAAUUAUUCUAUUAUAGAUCUAGCUAUAACCCAAGACCCAUCACAAAUGUAUAUAUGUAUUUGGAUAAUUAGCUUCUUCCUAAAAGAUAUGUUGCAGUGCACUCGAUUAUUUAUUUAGGAUUCUUUUUCUUUCUGAUGUGGAAUUAACGACUUUGAUUAUGUAUUGAUAAAUUUUAAUUUUGAAAGUAAAAAUAGAGAAACUAAGUUUCAAAUGUACGAAGUGUGUAAAAACUUCGAGUAUAUUUUAAUCUUUAAAUCUUUUACUUUAUAAUUUAAUACAAAUAAAUAAUCAAUCCAAUGCAAAAUAAUGAGGGGCUAAUCUUUUUAACAACAUGCCUACAUCCUCAUUUAAUAAAUGAUUUUAAUUUUUAUAUAAUUCUCAUUCAGCUUAAUGUAGUAACUAAGUUGAUUAUUAGUAGUGAAGUCAAAAAAAUAUUAAUUUUGAGGGUUGAAAUUAAAUUGAAUAUUUUUACGAUAGUAAAAAUGUAAUUUUACCAUUUUCAUAGUCUAUAUAUAAUUUUACAAUUAUUAAUUUAAAAUUUUAUAAUUUAUAAGGGAGCCUAAAUGAAACUGGCAUUGGUGAUUAUAAUAAGAAUCAAAUUUUGACCUAUGAGGUUGUACAUUAUUUUUCAGUAAUUGAUUUUAUUUUUUUCGUUUUGGGUAACAUUUUCCCUAUGUAUUCAUUUAGUUGCCUUACAAAUAAUGUACAUUAUUGUAAAGAGAGUCGAUGUAUUAUUCUUCAAUACUUACCUUGUUUUUUCUAACCCUUUAUUUGCUAAUAAAACACAACGUACAUUGGGACCAUAAUUUCAUGCAGAAAGGGAAAAGACUUUGCCAUUCCCUAAUAUCCUUCUCUAAGCAAAGGAUCGUCUAUGUACUAGUGACAAAUGGGUUCAUAUCGGUCUCUCUUCGGAUUAGGAUUACCUCCUAUUUGAACCGGUUUAAGUUUGAGUAUUUAGAAUUUGGAUAAUUUUGAGUUUAGAUUGUCUCAAUUUAAAAUAAGUAUUUAGACUAGUUGAUUCACGAACCGGUUGAAUAAACGACCGAGUUGAUUUUUUAAAAUAUAUAAUUUUUAAUUUUUAAUAGUUUAUUCAAUUAAACCAAUUGGACUGAUUAAAUUGAGUAGAGGUGGUUUCUAUUGCACACAAUCUAAUGAAAGACACAAAAAUUUACAGAAAUGUUUUAAAGUUUAGGUAAAUAAUUUAAUGAAAAAUAGACAUGAUUAGUGGCGAAGCCCUAGUCCUCUAAAAUAGAAUAUUUUCCAUUUAAGUCUUUUAUAAUUUAUAAAAUUUUAAAUUAGUAAUGGUAAAAUUGCACUUUCCUCCCCUAAAAUUGAUAAAAAAUUGAUUUAUCCUUUUAAAAAUUAUAAAGAUAUAAACUAUUAAAAUGGUAAACUUGUAUAUACAAUUUAAUUUUGUCCCAAAAAUUUUUUUGACUUCGCCCUACAUAUCAUUAUCUUAAUAAAAAAGGUAAAAAUAUUGAGUAUACAAUAAUUAGGUUGAACAAUUUUUGUUGGGAAUAUAUGUUAAAUAAAAUAUAGGUUAGCUAUUAAAUGUAAAAUGGCAAAAGAAUAAAUUAUAAAGUGUACACAAGGUUGAUUUCGUAAAACUAAAAAUUACCAAUUUUUCACGUCUUUGUCAACUAUUAUACACUUGAGAUGGCAAGAGCCUUUUCUACUUUAAUCGGUGGUUAAUGGUUCGAUUAUUGUCCUGGAUAUGGAGUAACUUUAAAACUCGUUACCAACAUCUAUCCCGUUAAUGGGCCUAUAGAAUGUGGAGGGUUAGUUAUUAGGUUCGCUCUAAUAGAUACAUUGAUAAAUUAAAAAUAUGGAAUAAAAAAUGUUAGUAAAUUUGACAUUUGAAGUUGUUUAAAGUUAUAAAUUAAAUUGGUGAUAUAUAAGAGAUAUUUUUAUUUGUGUUUAUAGAGAAUUGAAGGAAUAAAAUUUUAAUAUUAACCAUAAAUUAGCAAAUAAUAUCUUCAAAAUUUAAAGUUAUAAAAGUGAAAUAAUAUCAAACAUGAAAUCAAUCACAUUAUUUUAUUUUUUAAUUUUUAUUAAAUAUAGUCAACAUUAUAUUUGAAAAUCAAUAUUACAUAUUGAGAAUUAAUUAUUAUGAACAUUUUAUUGUGGGGUUUUUUUACAUUAAUAAUAUAAAAUAAAUAAAUAAAUAAAUACUAGAAUAGGUUAAAGGGAAUAAUAUUUACAAGAAUAGGUAAAUGAAAUAGUGAAAUAUCGGUGUUGUCUGACCAAUCGGCGACACCAGACUAAAAUGUGAUGAUCUAAAAGGAUAAAUUGCACCCUAAAUCCCCCUUAUUUAUUAUUAUUUAGUAUUUUUCUUUAACACCAAAAAAUAGAUUGGCCUUUUAUAAAUUAGUCUAAAUUUUUUUUACCAAAAAAUAUUUUUGUAAGUAAACCGUUUCCAUUUAGAAAUAAAUUUUAUUUAUUUUAAAUAUAUAUUUUUAUUUUUAUUAUCCAUUUGAUUUACGUACACAGUAUAAAAUUAUAAUUAUAAAAGCUUUAGAAAAAAUCUUAUUAUGUAUAAAUUAUAAUUAUUAGUUAAAUUUAUAGUUUCCAAAUAUAAUGAGAGAAAAAGAAAACUACUAUAAAUACAGUUAAUUGUAAUGUCAAACAUAAUGUGAUUUUUUUAAAAAAAUAAAUAAAAUUUACUUCGAGUUGGAAUCAACUUACUUGAAAAAAAUACUUUUUAGUAAAAAAAAAAUUUAGACUAAUUGAUAAGAGGCCAAUUUCUUUUUGGUGUUAAAAGAGAAUAAAAUUUAAUAAUAAAUAGGGGGUUUAGGGUGGAAUUUACCCUUUUUAAUUUGGUGCUGUCAUACUGUCAGGAGGCACCCAUGAAGAUUUUUCGACUGUCAAUUAAAACGGAAAAUUUACAGAUAAAGUCCCUGGAAUUUUUAAAUCAUCACAUUUUAGCCUGGUGAGGCCGAGUGCUCAAGCUACACCCAAAUUUUUUUAAAUAAAGUGAUGCCGUUGAUUGGUUAGCCGGCACCGGUAUUUCACUAUUUCAUUUGACUAUUCUCAUAAAUAUUAAUCUUUUUAUCCUAUCCUGUAUUUAUUUAUUUAUUUAUUUUAUAUUAUUAAUGAAAAAAAUCCUUUAUUGUGACUUGCGGAAACGUGGAAUGAAAACCAAAUAGGUUUUUUUUUUUUUAGUUUUUCUUGAAUUAAAAUGCAACCAAUAAGAAUAAUUGAUAUUUUAAUUUAAUAAAAAUAAAAUUAAUUAAUAUUUGAGUAUUUAAUUUUAAAAAUGAUCAAGAUGUAAUUACAACAAUUAAUUUUAAAAGUUAUUAAAGAUAUUUAUAUAUGUCAAUUUUUUAUAAUUAUUAAUGACAUACAUAUAAAUUAAUUAAUAGCGUAUCUCUCAAAGAUGAUAUUGACAGUGGCGGAGUCAAAAAAUAUUUUUGAGAUAUCGGAAUUAAUGUAAAAAUGUACAAUUUAAUUAAUUUAAUAGUUUUUAUAAUAUUUAAAGAAUUAAAUCAAAAUUUUUAUCAUUUUAAAGAAGAACAAAGUAUAAUUUUACUUUUAUUAAUUUAAAAUGUUAUAAAUUAUAAAUAUUAUACAUGAAUUUUUUUUCAUUUUAGGGACCGGAUACUGUCAGCUCCUAUGACUAUGUAAGCCUUGAAAACAUCCUUUAUUAUUGCAUUUCUUUUUCUACGUUGGCAGUGGUGUGCUUUCGUAGAUUCUAGCCACUCCUUUUUAGAUAAAAUUUCCAAAAGGAAUAGAUAUUAUAUGAGGAAUACUUGGUUGAAGAAAGAAAAAGCAAAAAAACAAAAAAAAAUUGGAAAAUGACCUUACAUGAAACUACUCAUGCAAUUGGAUCAACUCAUUCACUCAACCUUUCAAGAGCUUUAUUUACUACUUGGAUACUUAAUAAUUCAUUUAUUUAAUAACUUAUUAUAGGGACCGAACAUGUCUUUUUCAUUUCACCGAAAAUCAAUUUUACAAUAUAAACUCCUAUGACCUUCCCUCUAUGUCUUGCAGUAAUGAUUCCUCUAACAAUUUCUCAAUUCAAUAAAAAAAAAAAAGAAAAGAGGUGAAUAAGAUCUUAAAUAAUAAGAGAUAUGUAAAAAGGAGGCCCGAUUAUGCCCAACCUAAACCUAAAUGGAAUGUAACGACGUAUGGAUCUAUAUGUAGUAUUCUAUAUUAAUAUAGUAAUAUAAUAUUACUAAUAGUAUCGACUCCUUUUUUAUUUUCUAGUUUAUUUUCUAUUUUAGUAUAUUUUACAUCUAAAUUAUAUAGAAUUUUUUUAUAUAGAUAUAAAUUAUAUUUAAUCAAUCAAUUGAAUAGAUAUAAUUUAUUUUAUUUAGUUUAGAGUUGUAAAUAGAGAUAAUUAGAGUAAAAAAUCAUUUAUAUGUUUUAUGAUUGCCAACAUUUCUGUCAAAAACAAGUAUAUAUUUGCACCAAUUCAUCCGAGUUAGUGCAAACAUAUGAAAUAUUUAUAUGUCCAUAAAAUAUAUAUAAAUUGGGGUGUUAAGAAAACCAUGAAAUUAAUAAUGAUGUAAUUGUCAUUUACUAAUCCUAUAAUUAAACUUAAUCUCAUUUUCUUUCCAUCUCAAAACUAAAAAUGGAAAAUACCACUUUGCUUAGUUGGUAGAAGCGAAUAUUUUCCCAUUAAAAUAUGUUUUGGUAUACGACAUUUUAUGGUGGUUGGCUAGUCAUUACUCAGCUGUUUCCACGAGACUUCCUUUCUUUUAAAGUAAGAUGAAGUCAUCUUUCUCAAAUCAUUACUUUCUGCCUUUGCUCUGUUAAGAAGGGGGAAAAUUAUCAGUUAUUGAUCAUAGCCAAAAGGUACGCCAUCUGCUUUGCUCUUACUCUUUUGAAAUACUUGUCCGUAUAAAUAAGCUUAGGCAGGCAGAUUUAACCCUGAAAAUGGACUUCUUUUAUGCUUUAAAUCUAUUUAGCUUUAAGAUUUUGAGUCCUGUACUUUUUGGAUUUAAAAUCUUCAUCUUUCCCUUCAAAUUUACACUUAGUGUUGUUGACCUGACAAAUAUAAAAAGAUCAAAUAAAUUUUUUAGCCUUAAUUUGAUCUUUACUUUUUAAAGUUACAUAAAAAUUCAGAAUUAAGAAGAAAACAUAUUUUCAGUAAAAAUCCAUUAAAAAGAUUGUGGAAAACACUCUUUAAAGUUCGUAGAAAAAAGGUUGUGAUCUAUCAACAACUUGUGCCUUCCACAUACUGGAAUAUGGUUAUUAAGAGGUUGAGUACUGCUUUAUCUCGUAGAAGAAGGAUUUGUACUAGAUGAUCAUAGGUUGGGUCAAUGUAAAAAUUUUAAAUUUGUUUUUCAGGUCCGGACUUGGCUCAACUAAACAAAUGCGCCUAAAAUUUUAUUUAAGUUCAACCUAGAUAAAAAAUACUAAAUCUGGACCCGUAUUAAAUUUUUUAGAUUUUUUUAUAUAAAAAUAAAUUUAAAAAAUAUAAUACAUUAAAUACUCUAAACACAUUAAAAUGAAUGUUUCUCAACAAAUUGAAAAUAUAUUAAAAAAAUUCUUUAUAUUUAAAUAACACUAACAUAGUUAUAACUUAGCAAACAAACAUUUCUAAAAUAAUAGCAAAAUUAAAAAUAAAAUAAGAGUUAUACAAUAUCUAAAUAAUAGUAGUAAAAUAGUAAUAAUAUAAUAGUGAAACAGUAGCAAAAUAACAACAUAAAAGCAGUAAACAGCAGCAAAAUAAUAAUUAAAUUCGAGUUAGGUUCAAACUAAAAAAAUCUUAUCAGAGGCUCAGCCCAUUUAAAACUCAAAUCUUAUUUUUUUCGAAGUUUAUUUUUUGGGUUUAUAUUAUUGCCUAAACUCUUUAUGUUUUGAAUGGACUUUUUAAAUUCGACUCAUAAUCAAGUCUACUUUAUAAUAAACGCUAUAUAUGGUUGGAAAGAUGGUUUGAUAGGGUACUAAAAUUAAAUGAAAAAUCAUUUAAAAAACAAAUUAAAUAUUCAAACAUUAAAUAUAUAUUUUAUAUAUAAUUGGUUUGAACUAAAUUAACAAAAUACUUUGAUAGUUUUCAGAAAAUUCCUGUAACGAGAGAAUUAGUCACUGUUGCUAGCGGCUAAUAUAUUUAAUUUCAAUAAAAAAUUACCAAAAUACUUUUUGAAUAUGAUUUAGUGCAAGUUGCACAGGUAGUUUAAAAUUUGAAGAUAUUAUUACUAUUUAAGGAGUAAAUAUAUUUUUUAAAUUGAAACAUUUAAUAUGAUUUAUUAUUUUCUAUUUUUUAAAAAAUUAACUAAAUUAAAAAAUGUGCAACAAAUUAAAUAGUUAGAAGUUUUAAAUUUAAAUCAAAAUUGAAAUUUAUGAUCUACAUGAAUAUAACAUAUAAUAUAAUGAUUGUAUCAUUAAAAUAUUAAUAAUAUAAAUAAUUACGGAAGUGUGUAAAAUUACUUUAAUUUUUUACAUUGCGUAAGUAGAUCAUUCCCCUUAAUAUUAAUAAAUUUUCAUAAAGUAAAAUUACUUUACUUUAAUUGUCAUAAAGUAAAACAUUAAUCUCAUAUUUAUAUUUUUAAGAUUAUGCAAAUGUGUUCUUUUUAAAAACUAUAUAAGAUAAUUCAAGUUUUGGUCUUUAUCGUCGCUGUGGUUAUUCAGUUUGCUCUCUUACUUGUUUGUUUACAGAAGCUCUACUUUUUACUCAUUUUUACUUGUAAUUUUUUCUUCUUGUUUUGUUUUGAUUUCUGUUGCGGCUGUGGUUUUUCAGUUUACUUGCUGUUUGCUCUCUCAAUGGAGUUCGUUAUUGGCAUCGUUAGCUCUAUUUUCACUAAAGCUGCAGAGUAUACGAUUUCUCCUAUCAUAAACCAUGUCAAAUACCUUUCCAAUCAUCAGCAAAAUGUUGAGACCCUCAAGGACCAAGCUGAGAAGCUGAAAGAUGCAAGGGACAGAGUGCAGCAUUCUGUUGAUGCAGCUCAACGAAACGGCAAAGAGAUCGAACGUGAUGUUAACAACUGGAUGUCGGCAGUGGACAGGAAGAUCCCUGAACAAGUAGAGAAAGUGAUGCAAGAUGAAGAAAAGGCAAAGAAAAAGUGUUUCAUUGGUUUGUGUCCUAAUUUUUGGACUCGUUACAAGCAUAGCCUGAAAGCUGCAGCGGAGGCGAAGGCUGUUGCCGAGCUACUUGAACAGGGCAAGUUUGGCGGUGUUUCUUAUCCUGUACCUUCACAGAGUAUCACUGUCCCACCGGGUAAAGGUUAUGAGGAAUUCGAGUCAAGAACGUUGAUUUUGAACGGAAUAAUGGAGGCACUAAAAGAUGAUAGCAUCAUCAUUGUUGGGGUGCAUGGUGCGGGUGGGAUUGGAAAAACAACGCUGGUCAAAGAAAUCGCUAGAAAGGUCAAGGGCAAGUUGUUUGAUUCAGUUGUCAUAGCAACUGUAACUCAAGCCAAGGAUAUUAAGAGGAUUCAGAACGAAAUUGCAGACUUCUUGGACUUGAAAUUUGAGAAACAGAGUAUGGUUGGAAAGGCAAUUCAACUAAGACAAAGAUUGAAGAAAGAGGAGAGGAUUCUGGUUAUCUUGGAUGACAUUUGGCAAGAGUUUGAUAUUGAGGAAGUAGGGAUUCCUUUGGGAGAUGAACACAAGGGCUGCAAAUUACUAUUAACUUCUAGAUACCUCAAUGUUUUAUCAAAUGGGAUGGAGUGUCCUCAGAUUAUAGCUAACCUUCCUAAGGAGAUGGAGUGUUCAGGACUUUCCUUUUUCCAUAUGGCCUAUGAUGGCACGGAUAAAAUUCCUCUCAAUUUCUUCAAACAAACCGAAGGCCUGAAAGCCUUAGAUUUGGUCGGAAUUCAGUUUCAAUCCCUCCGUGAAUCAAUUAUUCACCUUGCAGACCUUCGCAUGUUGUGUCUGAAAAAAUGUGCAGUUGAUGACAUAACCAUCCUUGGAGAGCUCAAGAGUUUACAAGUACUCAACCUUUCUCAGUCCGGUAUCAAAGAACUACCCAAGGAGAUGGCACAAUUGACUCAAUUAAGGUUGUUAGAUUUGCGUGGGUGUAGAGAACUCAAAAUCAUCCCACCGAAUGUCUUAUCAGGUUUGUCUAAAUUAGAAGAAUUAUAUAUGAGUGGGAGCUUUGUUGAAUGGGAAAAGGGAGGAGUAGUUGAAAAUGAGAGGAAAAAUGCAAGCCUUGAUGAAUUAAACAAUUUGCGUUAUCUAACUACUUUAUAUGUUCGUAUUCUUGAUGUCCAAAUGAUACCAAAACACCAGUUUGUUGAAAAAUUGGACAGAUUCAGGAUUUUUGUAGGUAAUUAUGGAAUAUAUGAUUGUUGCCAUAAUUAUGAAUCUCCGAAAGCAUUGAAGCUCAUGUUAUAUACAAACAUUGAUUUGGACAAUGGAAUGAAAAUGUUGUUGAAAAAGACAGAAGAUUUGUGCCUAGAGGGACUUGAAGGCGUCAAGAAUGUACUUGUGGAGUUAAAUAAUGGGAAAGAUCUUCCAAAUUUAAAGAGACUUCAUGUCAAAAAUGGUAGGCAUGUCCAACAUAUUAAAACGAACAAAAUUGGAUUUUCUGAAUUAUGUUUCAUCACACUUGAAAAUCUACCGCAACUCGUUAGCUUUUGCUCUCCAGACGAAAGGUGUUCCACUAAGCCCUUACUACUUUCCAAUAAACAGGUAUUUGUUUGGCUGUACUUAUAUUUUCUUAUACAACUUUUAUUUAUAUGCCCAUUAAUACUUCUAAUAAUAGAAAUAUAUAAUAUUGUGUAAUGGUUUUUCCGGAGCUCAAAAAUAAAUUUCAAAUCUAAAAUAAAUGAAAAUUUAAUUUUUAAUUCAAACCGAUUGAAAGUACAGAGUCAAUUCAAUAAUCUAAAUUUAAACCGAAAUUUUUUUUUAAUUCUGAAAAUAAAAUUUGAGCCCACAAAUCGAACUAAAAUUAUCUUUAAAAUUGAAAAUCAUAUUUUCAAAUUAUGUUACAUACUAUCUUUCCCUAUCGAAAAAGAAUUGUGUGUAAAUAUGUGCAAUUUAUUUUCCCUCACUUGGAAAGCUUGUAAUUGUGUUCCAUUAACACCAAAAUUAUAUGGCACAACCAGACAUGUCAUUGGGUUACGAAUUUGAGGAGCUUGAUCAUCAAAGGAUGCGGCAAGUUGGAGCAUCUGUUAUCACCCUCUCUCGCUAGAAGUCUGGUGCAGCUCCAAUGCUUUGAGAUAGAGGAUUGCAAUUGCUUAAGGGACAUAAUACUUACAGAGGAAAUUGAUGAAGAAAGGAAAGAUGUGAUUUGUUUCCCUCGAUUAAACUCCCUGUAUAUAGAUGGUCUUCCAAACCUCAUCUUCUUCAACUCAGGAAACCACAAUAUUGAGUUCCCAUUGUUGAAAGAGCUAAGGAUUAGGCGUUGCCCCAAGUUAAUAGAAUUCAUUAGUCAGAAUAGUAAUCAGUCCGGCAUGCACGCUCUCUUCAGUGAGAAGGUGAUUUAUUUCAUUAGUCUUACACUCUUGCAUAAAUCUGUUGAUUUGUCCUUGUUUUUUUUUUCUACCUUCAUUAUUUGAGCUAACCUUAUUAUGGGCAUGGAUUAUAUAUAUAUAUGAAUAGGUUGCAGUUCCUAGCUUGGAAGACAUGCAUAUCAGUGACUUGAGUAAUGUGAAGAUGAUAUUUUAUAAUUGUUGGAGCUAAGUGCAACAAAUAGCAAGGUUCAACAAAAAGCUUGCCGAGCAAGAAUCGAGACUUGCGGCAGAAACAAAGAAGAAAAAUGAAAUAAAUUUUAAGCAAAGCUAAAAUAGAGAGUAUAUGGAUGAAAUCUUGAUUGAAUUCAUUCAUUUUUUUUAAAAUGGCAUAAAGCCUAUUUAUACAAGCUUACAACUUGACAACUUAGUUGGAAUACAACUAAGUUUCAUUAUUACAUCCACUUAAAAUAAAUCACCACCUACUACCACUAACAAACUUAGUUGGAAUACAACUAAGUUUCAUCAUUAUAUCCACUUAAAAUAAAUCACCACCUACUACCACUAACAAACUUAGUUGGAAUACAACUAAGUUACAUCAUUACAUCCAAAUAAUAAUAAUAAUAAUAAUAAUAAUAAUAAUAAUAAAACAUGUGAUUGCUACAUGCUAACCAUUGCUUCAAUACUCCUCCUUGGUUUGCAUGGAGCAAACACCUAGCUUCCUUCUUAGACAUUCGAACCUUGUGACAUUAAGGGCUUUAGUCAAAAUGUCUGCAAGUUGAUCCUCAGAAUUACAAUGGAUCAGCUUCACUUCCUGAGCUUGCUCCAUUUCUCGAACAACAUGCAACUUGAUGCUGAAAUGCUUUGUUCUUUCAUGGAACACUGGAUUUUUAGCAAUUGCAACUGAAGAUUGGUUGUCACAGAAGAUCUCAGUAGCUUCCUUUUGAUGCACUUUCAAAUCAGCUAAGAUUUUCCUUAGCCAAAUGACUUGGUUGACAGCACUUGCAGCUGCCACAUAUUCUGCUUCAGUAGUAGAUUGAGCCACCAGACUUUGCUUCUUCGAGCUCCAGCAAAACAUGGCUGAACCAAGGUUGAAAGCAUACCCUGAGGUGCUUUUCAUGUCAUCUAUCGAGCCAGCCCAGUCACUAUCAGUGUAGCCAACCAGCUUCAGAUUUCCUUCCUUGCUGUACCUUAAACCAUAGCUCAAAGUGCCUUUGACAUAUCUAAGCACUCUCUUAGCAGCUUGUAAAUGCUUUUUAUUGCAACAAUGCAAGAACCUUGAGAGCAAUCUUACAGCAUACAUUAUGUCUGGUCUAGUGGCAGUUAAAUAUAACAGACAACCAACUAGACUUCUGUAGGUUGUUUCACAAACCUUCUCAAAAUCACCUUGGCUCGAUAGUUUUUCUCCAACAGCAACAGGUGUUUUAGUUGCUUUACUGUUUUGCAUGGAGAACUUGGUCAGAAUCUUUGUGGCAAAGUUUCUCUGACUUAGAAAUAUCCCAUUUUGUGCUUGAGUCACCUUCAUUCCAAGGAAAUAAGACAUUUCCCCUAGAUCAGACAUUUCAAAUACUUCUUGCAUCUUGGUCUUGAAAUCGACCAGCACUGCUCGAUCUCCUCCUGUCACCAACAGGUCAUCAACAUAUAGGGAUACGAUGAGCUGUGUUUGUGUCCCUUGCUUCUUGACAUACAGUGUUGGCUCACUCUUGCUUCGAUCGAAUCCCAAAUUAGUCAAGUAGCCAUCGAUUCUGCUGUACCAGGCCCUUGGAGCCUGUUUUAAGCCAUAUAGGGCCUUCUUCAGUUUGUAGACCAUAUGCUCUCUGCCAGCUAUCUCAAACCCUUGUGGUUGUUCAACAUAGAUCUCUUCAUCUAAGAAACCAUUCAGAAAGGCUGAUUUCACAUCGAGUUGAUGGAUCUUCCACUCGAGCUGUGCUGCUAAGGCAAUCAGUAAUCUGAUGGUGUCUAGCCUGGCCACUGGUGCAAAGGUCUCCAGGUAGUCCAGGCCAUACCUCUGACUGAACCCCUUGACAACUAGCCUUGCUUUCAGUUUGUUCAAGGUACCAUCAGCAUUUUGCUUGGCUUUGUACACCCAUUUCACCCCAAUUAUCUUCCUUUUGACUGGCCUUUCAACUAAUUCCCAGGUCUGGUUCUUCUCAAUCAUGCUAAUCUCCUCAGCCAUUGCCUGCUUCCACUCUUGCUGAGCUUCAGCCUUUUCAAAAUUGCUUGGUUCAACUAUGACUACAUGAGCUCUUUCAUAAAUCUCAGUCAAUGGUCUUGUUCCUCUAACUGGUUCAUCAUCAAUGUCCAUUUCAGGAACAUUUUGAUCUGGCUCAGCUUGAUCUGCUGCAAGUCCUUCUGAAACUUCCUCAGGUUCAUGUUUUUCCCAGUUCCAACAUGACUUUUCAUCAAAUACCACAUCCCUACUGACUGACACUUUCUUUGUUGAAGGAUCCAAGAUCCUAUAAUCCUUCUUAACAGUGCUGUAGCCCACCAAAAUACCAGGUCGAGCCCUUUCAGACAAUUUGUCCCUUUUGACAGCAGGUACAUGAGCAUAACAGAUGCAUCCAAAGACCUUCAGAUGAGCCAGUGAUGGCUUGAAUCCAAACCAGGCUUCGAAUGGAGUCUUCUGAUCCAAGACCUUGGUUGGAAGCCUAUUUUGAAUGUAGUUUGCAGUGUUAACUGCCUCUGCCCAUAGUGCUUUAGGCAGAUUCUUCUGAAUCAUCAAGCACCUGGCCAUAUCCAUCAAACUCCUAUUCUUCCUUUCACUUACACCAUUUUGCUGAGGUGUAUAUGUGUUGGUAAGUUGAUGUUUGAUGCCUGCCUUAUCACAGAAGGCUUGGAACUGAGCUGAGGUGUACUCAGUCCCAUUAUCAGACCUUAUAGACUUCAGCUUGCAACCUGUUUCAGUCUCAGCAGCAGUCUUGAACUUCCAAAAUACUGAGGCCGCCUCUGAUUUCUGUUUUAGGAAGUAAAGCCAACAAUAUCUUGAAAAAUCAUCAAUGAACAGUAUGAAGUACCUGUUUCCACUUAAUGACUCAGUCCUCAUAGGGCCACACACAUCAGUGUGCACCAGUUGGAGUUUUUCAGAGGCUCUCCAGGCUUGAUUCGAGGGAAAUGGGAGUCUGGCCUGCUUUCCUAGCUGACAUACUUCACACACAUCAUCAUGAUCCACUGAGUUGAUGAAGUUUUCAGCCAAGUCCUCUCUGACCAUUCGAGCCAUCGAUCUGAAGUUGGCAUGUCCCAGUCUUUGAUGCCAAAGCUUAGAUUCAUCUGAUGUGACUGUGUAGGCAAUGUCUGACUCCCUGGUCCAGUCAACUACAAAGCUCUUAUUAGCCAUAGGAACUGCCAUCAGCUUGGAUCCACUUGGAUCAUUGAUUUGGCAUUGGUUGUCUUUGAACACAACAGAAUAACCUUUCUCCAGCAACUGAGCUAUGCUGAGCAGGUUUCUGUCAAUUUUAGGCACCAAAAGCACAUUUGAAAUCACUUUGGCACCUGUGGGGGUGCAUAUCAGCACAUCACCCUUGCCUUCAGCUUGAAUAAAAUGUCCAUUUCCUAUCUUGACUUUAGUUCUGCAGCUUCUGUCUAAAGACUUGAAGAUUGCAGCAUCAGGUGUCAUGUGGUUGGUGCAUCCACUGUCUAGAAGCCAACCAGAUGAGAACCUUUCUUGAGCAGCUGAGCAUAACACAGCAAAGACUUGCUCCUCUUGGUCACCGUCCUCCUUAGCUACUCGAGCCUCAGCUUUCUUCUGUUGAAACUGACUCUGCCUUGAUUUGGCCUUGCUCUUGCAGACUUUCUCAACAUGACCCUUCUUUUUACAAUGCUGACAUACAUCAUCUGGAUUGAACCAGCAUUUUUCUUUUGGAUGACCAGCCCUUCUGCAGUGCUUGCAAGUCUGACCCUCUUUUCUUGCAACAUCAGUCCUUGGCUUGUCUCUCUAGGCCUUCUUGCCUUUGUAGGCAGUGUUUGUUCUUGCCUGAAAGGCACCUUCUUGAUGCUCCUCCAGUCUGCUUGCUCUUCUUUGCUCUUGAGCAUAUAAAGCAUUGAUAAACUCUGUCAGGGAGAUGGUGUACAGGUCCCUUGAGUCCUCGAGAGAUGAGAUUUUUGCCUCAUACCUCUCGGGCAGAGUUGCAAUAACCUUCUCCACUAUCCUAGCUUCCUUGAGCUGCUCUCCAAGGAGCCUUAUGCUGUUAACCACAGCCAUAAUCCUGUCAGAGUACUGCUUGAUAGUUUCUUCUUCCUUCAUCUUCAAAUUCUCAAAAUCUCUCCUUAAGUUCAGCAACUAUUGCUGCCUUGUCCUCUCUGUCCCUUGAAACUCCUCUUGCAACUUGUCCCAGGCUUGUUUUGGUGAUUCACAGGCCAUAAUCCUUGUGAAAAUCACAUCUAACACUGAGUUCUGGAUGCAAGACAUGGCUUUGUGCCUCUUAGUCCUCUCAUCAGCAUGCUGCCUGAUUUGAGCCACUAUUGGAUUGCCUCUAAGUGGCUCUGGUUCAACAUCUGAGUUGACUACCUCCCACAGAUCGAAAGCUUGUAGGUAGGUCUUCAUUUUAACCACCCAUAUGUGGUAGCCUUCUCCAUUGAAGACUUGAGGUGCAGUUGGUGAAAAGCUUGAUGAAGCCAUGAAUUUGUAUAACAGAUCCCUUAAGAAAUAGGCUCUUGAUACCAAUUGUUGGAGCUAAGUGCAACAAAUAGCAAGGUUCAACAAAAAGCUUGCCGAGCAAGAAUCGAGACUUGCGGCAGAAACAAAGAAGAAAAAUGAAAUAAAUUUUAAGCAAAGCUAAAAUAGAGAGUAUAUGGAUGAAAUCUUGAUUGAAUUCAUUCAUUUUUUUUUAAAAUGGCAUAAAGCCUAUUUAUACAAGCUUACAACUUGACAACUUAGUUGGAAUACAACUAAGUUUCAUCAUUACAUCCACUUAAAAUAAAUCACCACCUACUACCACUAACAAACUUAGUUGGAAUACAACUAAGUUUCAUCAUUACAUCCACUUAAAAUAAAUCACCACCUACUACCAUGUAAUAGCCCGAUUUUAGGCUUAGUCGGAACAGUGGUUUCGGGACCACAAAUCCGACGAAAAAAAAAAUGUAAUGGCUUGAAUUUUCAGAGGUGUCAGAACGGUGAUUCGAGAUCACUAAAUUCGACAAAUGGGUAGAAAAUAUUAUUAAUUUAGUAAGUAUAAGUUAAAUAUGAAGUUAGGAAAAUUUUUGAAAUAGUGAAUAGUGCACUAGAAAUAAAUAUUAAAAUAAUUAGAAUCGAAAUGAGGUAUCAAGACCUCGGGGAUUUUAAACUGAGCCAUAAAUAUUUUUAUAAAUAUUUAUGGAGUGUUAAAAAGUUAGUAUUAAAGUUUCGUUAAGAAAUUUUAAAGUUCCGAUAAUUAAUUGAACAAAAAGGACUAAAUUGUAACAAAUGCAAAAUUUUGGAAAAUGAUUAAAUAACUUAAAUGAUAAAAGGAAGAGGGCUUAAAAGGCAAAUAGACCCAAGGUCUAUUUGGGCUGGACGGCAGAGGCAUGAAAUCAGCAAAAAAGUAAGGAGAAUUAAGGGCAAAAUUGGAAAAUUGCAAAAUUUGCUUAAUAAAGUUAGGACCCAAGUGGAAUUAUCUAGAUUUCUCUUCAUUUUUCUGAAUUCUCAUCAGCUAAAACACCAUGGAAGGGCUUCUUCAAGCUGGUUCUUCAUAUUUUUAUUACAAGUAAGUUCAAUUCUUGACUAUUUCUUGAAAUUUUUGUAUUUUUAUGACUUUUACAACUAGGCCCACUUGUUAAAUCCAUUAGUUUUUGAUUUUAUGAAAGAAUUUGAAAGUUGAUAUGAAUAUGUGCUGGAAGUAUAUGAUGAUUUAGCAUGAAAUUAGAGAUUUAAAUUGUUCAUAUGCUGAUUUUAUUGAAAGAAUUGAAUAGAAAGUGAAUGUUUGGGACCUAAUAGUAAAAGAGUUUGAAGAUAGAGUUAUAUGUGGAAAUUCUGAAUUUCAAUAGUUGUGUAACAACUUAUAAUGUCUAGUAAAGUACUAAUUGAGAAAAUUAGAUUAAUUGAGGGGUUAAUUGAGAAAGGACCGAAUUGUAUAAACUGUGAAAUUUGGGGCAAAAUGGAAAUCAACAUUUUGCACUAAAGCAGUUUUGGACAGCAGCAGUAGUGUAACUUUGAAAAAUCACCAAAAAUUGUAGAGAUUGAAUUAGAGGAUGAAUAAAAUAUGAAACUAAAGCUUAUUGAGUCUAGUUUCUUAUAAAAGAAAUGAUGUGAGCAAUGGAAUUGUAAAUCAUGAGAUAUAAUAGAUUUUGUGAGACAAGGUCAGAAUGAAUUCGGGUUCCCCUGUUCUGACUUUGGAAAAAUCAUUAAAAAUUGUACAAAAAUGAUUAUGAGUUAUAGUUUAUAUGGUUAGAAUCCUUAAUGAGUCUAUUUUUAGAAGAAACAAGCUAAAACAUCAUCCGAAUUCUGUACAAUGAGAUAAUUAAUUUUUAGUGAAGAGUGGUCGGAACUGUCAGACAGCGAAACAGGGGAAACUUUAAAGAAUAAACUGUACUAUUUGGCUGAACCAAAAAUUAUGAAAAUUUUAUGGUAUGAAGAUAUGUGAGUCUAGUUUCAGGGAAAAUUAACGGAUCUUAAUUUGGAGCUCUGUAUCUCCGGAUAAAAAUAUUUUAGUGACUCUGACUCGGAUAAACAGCUUUGAAUAUACAUGUUAGUAAAUAUUGAAAUUAUGGUUAAUGUUGUUUAAGUGUGUUAUACACAUUAAGGAUGUGGAAUGGAGAGGAGGAGGAGGAAAAUUGGGAAAUAUAUGAAUGAUUCGUGUAUAAAUGGUCAUAUGUUUGAUUAUAACUCAUAAACGAUGAAAUAUGAAUGAUGCUUAUUUUUGUGCAUUAUUGGUCAUGGUUUAAGCUCAUGUGUGAAAAUAAAGUUUCAUAGUAUGUGUGUAUGGUAUAUUCAGUAUAUGAUUUGGCAUGAAAUAAUACCAUGAAUGGUUUAUGAAUUAACACAUGUUGGUAAGCCUGAUAUAUGAAUAAAUGAUCAAAUUGAGCGGAACGCCGGAUUUGAGUACUUCUGAUCAAGUGACAAAGUGAUAAGUGGUAGCUUUAGCUACACUUAUCUGAUCAAGUGACAAGUGGAAAGUGAUAAGUAAUAGCUUCGGCUAUACUUAUCUGAUCAAGUGACAAAGUGAUAAGUGAUAGCUUCGGCUACACUUAUCUGAUCAAGUGACAAGUGAAAAGUGAUAAGUGAUAGCUUCGGCUAUACUUAUCUGAUCAAGAGACAAAGUGAUAAGUGAUAGCUUUAGCUACACUUAUCUGAUCAAGAGACAAAGUGAUAAGUGGCUACACUUAUCUGAUCAAGAAACAAAGUGAUAAGUGGCUACACUUAUCUGAUCAAGAAACAAAGUGAUAGGUGGCUACACUUAUCUGAUCAGGGACAAGUGAUAAGUGAUCAUACGUAAGACCAUAGUUAUCCUAUGGCAAAGUGAAAGUGAAGUACUCAAUUUUCCGUGACCGUUCCCUAAUUUGAUUAAGGAUGGUAAGUGACAAAUGGGCCCAAAAGAAUUAAAGUAAAUGGAUAAGUGGUAGUGUAUUUAUAUCAGGACGAUGUUGUUAUUCAAACUAAAGUGAUAUUUUCAUUGCUAAAUUGAGAAUUUCAUAAAUGUGUUAUUGAAUGGUAUAAUCAAUAAACAUUGAGUUAAAUGGUAAAUACGUAUUAGUUUUGAAUUUGAUGUCAUUGAAUUGUACGUGAAUUAAAUGAAAAUUGCUAGUGAUAUGAUUUAAAUUAUGAGCAUGAGAAAUUGCGAAUUGAAUGAAAUGGAAAUGAAGCAUUAAAUUGCAUGAGUAUGUAUCGGGUCUCGCAGGCCCUAAUUAUUAUGAUUAUAAUAUUUUGAGGAUAUAUUGUGAAAAGUUAUAGAAACAUGUUAAUUAUUUUGAAAGUUUUAAUUUUGAUGAAAUUUUAUAACUCGGUUAAAUACGUUUACAAGUGUAUGUGUUUUGGUAAUGCCUCGUACCCUAUUCCGGUGUUGGAUACGGGUAAGGGGUGUUACAUACCACCAACUAAGUUUCAUCAUUACAUCCACUUAAAAUAAAUCACCACCUACUACCACUAACAAACUUUGUUGGAAUACAACUAAGUUACAUCAUUACAUCCAAAUAAUAAUAAUAAUAAUAAUAAUAAAACAUGUGAUUGCUACAUGCUAACCAUUGCUUCAAUAAUAAUGACCUACCACCAGGUUCCUUUAAAAAUAUACGAAAAGUAAGUGUUUGGGGAUGUGGGAGUUUGAAAAAUCUAUUUCCAGUAUCAAUAGCCAAAGAUCUUCCACAACUUGAACAUUUAAGCAUCACUGGUUGUGGAGUUGAGGAGAUUGUAUCGAAAGGGGAUGGAGUGGAGGAGCAGCCUGUGAGGUUUGAGUUUCCGCAAGUGUCUUACCUUGACGUUUCAUUGGUAGAAAACCUCAAAUGUUUCUAUGAAGGGCAACAUACAAUAGUCUGGCCGAUGUUGAAGAAAUUGACAACAGAUAGGUCUGCUUUGCCAAAGAUAGUGGCAUCGGAACAUCUUAGAUUAAUCCAAGGAAAUGAGGAGCCAGUUUUGUUGGGUGAAGAGGUAUGUAUAUCAUUACAACUAUAUUUCUUUUUAUGAUUUAAACCACUGCCACAAGCAUCUCAAGUUGAAAUAUGCCACGAUCAUGCAUUUCUAAUUAUUAUAUUUUGUUUGGUUUGGAUUUUUUUUUUCGUAUUUUUGAAUUUUCACUAUAUAUAUAUUUUAAAUUUUUUGUUACAUUUAUAAUUAUUUUUUCAAUUUUUUUAAAAACAAGACUGAAUAAACAUAAUAGGUAAAUAUUGAGUGAAUACAGUUCAAUUUGAUAAAAUGUAUAAAUAUUGAGGGUUAAAUUUAUUAUUAUGUUAAAAAGAUGCUAAAAAAAAUAAAAAUAUUUUAUUUGUUUUUAAGUAACCAAAAUAAAAAUAUUUUAACACUAAGUGACUAUAUAUGUAAUUUACCCUGCAUUUAAGUAGUGGAUCGAAACUAAAUAGGAUCUUUAAUUUGCUUUAAAAAAUUGCCACUCAAUAAAAAAUCAAAACUUUAAAAGUUAAUUACACUAGACAUCUCAAACUAGGACCUUCAUUUUAAAUUAGUCCUAAAAUUUAAAACUAUUGAGGUUAUAUCAAUUACGUCUUUCUGUUAUUAAAUUCGUUAAUUUAACCAUCAAAUUAAAUCAGUGUAAUAUUUUAAAACAUUGGUGUUUUAUCUCCACUGUUCUGCUUAUACUUUUUAUCAUAGAAAAAUAUAUAUAACAAUGGUUGUUUAUCUAUUUUAAUUUAGAUUUGCUACUCUUCUUUCGGCUUUCAUGUUCUGUAAUUUUUAUCAGUUUUAAUUCUCAAGGUAUUGUGUUUUCUUAAAACAAAAAAUUCAUCUAUUCUGGAUUCGUUUGAUUUAAUAUUGAUUUUGUUGGGAUUUAAUCAUCAAAAUCAAACACUAAAAUUGUAAAUCUUCUUUCUUUCUUUUUUAAAGCAUAUACAUCAACAUUGAGCCUAACUUGCUUAUAUUUGAUUGGUUUCCAAGGUCAUUCCCAAAUUAGAGGAACUUGAGUUACAAAAUUUUGGUGAUAUGGACCAAUUUCCACCAGACUUGUUUCAACAUAUUAAAGUUUUUGCACUGAGUGGUGGCUCUCCAUUUUCUUUAUUUCCUUUCGUCCGAAGAUUCUACAAUAUGGAAAGACUUAAGUUCUCUUUUUUAGAUUUCAAACAUGUAGUCCCUUGUAAAGGAGACGCCGGGACUCUCCCACCAAUUAGAAAUCUGGAAUUGUUUUCUGCCAGAAAUCUUAAUCAUAUUUGGAGGAAAGGUUCGGAGCUUUACCAUAUUCUUUCUAAUCUUCAAACACUCACAGUUCUGCGUUGUGAUGAUUGGAUAAAUAUUAGAGCCUUCUCAUCAUCUUUACAAAAUCUUACAAUUUUGAAUGUGUCAUUAUGUAAAAUGACGACAAACUUAGUCACACCCUCAGUACUUAAGAAUCUUGUGCAAUUAACGACAAUAAAGGUAGAAGACUGCACUAAAAUGACAGAAAUAGUGGGCAACGAGGGAGACUGUCAUCAGACAAUAGUUGUUAGUAAAUUGAAAUGUUUACAACUAUGCAAUUUGAAGAGCCACCGGGUAAAGAUCUUUUGUUCACAAGCUUUUGUCCACGGUAUUACAACUUCGAGUUUCCUUGUUUGGAAGAAUUAGUUGUGGAACGUUGUCCUUGGUUAAAGAUCUUUUCUGAGGGAGUUUUAAGCACCCCACAAUUACAGAGAAUAAAACAGUCGCGUUACUUUGAGGAAUGGAGUUGGACAAGUGACCUUAAUACCACCAUACAACAGCUCUACACAGAAAAGGUACAAAGUUAAUAAGUUCAUAAUGCUAGUUAGAUUCCUCGUGUCCUAAUACAAUUAAUUUUAUUACUACUUCAAUAACCAUUGAAGAGUGUUAAUCGUUAUUUUGUUAUUGUCUGCAUUUUCUAUUUAUGAUUGCUAUCUAGUGGAAUAAUAUCAGAUUAAUUUUUAGGGUGGACUCUAUGGCCAAUGUGAUUUCAACAUCUCUGACACAUUUCCGGAGUCGAUAGAAAUAUGGACUAGAAACACUCAAGAAAAUUUGGGCAUCAAAAACCUUAGGAGCCUGCACUUUUAUAAAUGUAGCAGCUUGAAGUACAUAUUUACUCCGUCUAUGCUUUUGGGCCUCAAUCUACUACAAAGGAUAAAAGUGAGAGAAUGCAGUUCAAUGGAACAAGUAGUUAGGGAGGAGGAGGAAGCAAUGACACAUAAAUUUACAUUUCUUUCGCUACGCUCCGUAACAAUUGAGUCGUGUUCCAACUUGACAAAUUUCCAUUUGGGAAGUCAAGCUCUUGAAUUUCCACAGCUGAGUGAUAUCAGGAUAGCUGAGUGUCCAAAAAUGACUGCAUUUUCUUCCUCAGUUUCAAGAGAGAGUGGUGAUGCAAGUGAAAACGUGGUUGGCAAAGGGGGCAUCUAUGAUAACACUGCAACUUUUUUCAGCAAUAAGGUAAGUUUGGUAUUCAAUAUAUAUCUGCACAACUUAUUUCACAUUUUCUUUUGAUUUGAUCAACAUGAGUGUGUCUGGUCUACAUAUCCAUACUAGUGCUACACCUUGUCAAAAUUUAAUAUAAUAAAAUCCAUAAAAAUAUUAAUAAAUAAGAUGAUGUUAAAAAAAAAUUGGAGUUUAAAGUAUAAAUAAAUAUAUAAAAUAAGAUUUGAAGGAAAAACUUAAAGUGAAAUACUAAAAAACAAAAAGAAUUUAAGAGAAGUUUAAAAUUAAAUAGUAAUAGACAAUAAAUAAUAAAAUAAUAAUAGAAAAAAGAAAACAAAUCUUCCUUCAUUUUAAUUUGUUGAUGACCUUCACAAAGGUCAUUUGAGAUCAAAGGAGAAGAAGCCUGAAAACAAAAGGUGAGGAGUUUGAAGAAGAAAGAACCAAAUAUAUAGAGGAGAAUUGAAGUGAGAGAGUGGAUGGGUUUUAUUUAAAGAUUUAAUGCUUUUUUUUUUAAUUUCAUAUAUAGAAAAAAUCAUUGAAAGAAAAAAAAGUUUAAUAUAAUUAUUUAAAUUUACUUGUCGGGUUUUUAUAAAAGUAACUCAAAUUUUUUAUUAAUUAUGAAAAUGACUCAAUUUAAAAAUUAUGUACAUAAAUUAUUCGAUUUCUAUAGUGUUUGUCGGUGCCGCUAGACACAAUGGUGGCAUCGACCUACCAUCAUUGACUAAUGAUUGUAUUUUAUUUAAAAAAUAAUAGUUUUCUAGUAGUAUCGUUGGAAAAAUUAGUGAUAUCAAACUAAAGUGUGAUUAUAUAAAAUGUUUGUGGACUUGACAAAGUAAUUAUCCUUUUGAAAUUAAAUUUAAAUAACCCUUAAGAAAUAUAAGAAUAACAAAAAUAAACCAUUCUCAUUUUUUUUUAAAAAUAAACUUAAAAAAUUAUAUAAAAUUCUUAUUUAAAUUACCCAAAUAUAUCCCUCGCACAGCUUCCUCAAGUUUAUCUAAAUUCAAGCAUUUUCAAUUCAUUCCCUAGCAUAUUUAAAUUUAGAUAAACUUAAGGAAAUUUUUUGAGGAAUAUGUUUGGGUUAUUUGAAUAAGAAUUUUAAAUAAUUUUUUAAGUAUUUUUUCAAAAAAUGAAAAUGGUCUAAUUUCAAAAGAAGACAAACAUAACAUGCAAACAGGUCAAAUGUUGAAAAACAUUUAAUUUGGUUCAGAUACCAACGACACCCCUUUUUCAAACAAUCUAAAAACGUUAACCGCUUCAAAAGAUCCCUGCAUGUUUUAUAUAAUCACAUUCAGUCUGGUGCCGUCAAUUUAUUAGACAAAACCACUACAAAUUUUUUUAAAAAGCAAUCAUUGGCUGAUGAUGGAGGCUAAUGCAGUAAGCACUAUAGAAAUCAAGUCAUUUACGUACAUUAUUUUUAAGUUGGAUCAUUUUCGUAAUUAACCAAAAAAUUUUGGUUACUUUUAACUGUCUAGUUGAUGUGUGAAUAUUAACCUUUAGAUCAGUUUAUAAAUCUUCAUACUCAUCUACUCAUUUUGAUUGUCUUUCAAAGUAAAGAAGGAAGAGUGAUACUAUCUUAUAAUAAUAUUUAUGUCAACAGGUUGUCAUUCCUCGUUUGGAGCGUCUGGAUUUGUCCUCCAUCAACAUUCAUAAGAUAUGGCACCACUCAUCCUCCCCAUCUAUCGGAUACCUAAAUUUCUUGCGGGUGAAGAGGUGUCACAAUUUGAAAUACCUGUUCCCGUUUUUCUUAGCAAAAGAUCUUGAGCAACUCCGAUUCCUUGGAAUUUUGGACUGUAAUAUGAUGGAACAAGUAAUAUUCACGGAUGGAUUGGUUGAGGAACAUCAAGGGAGGAAUCAGAUGUUUUUCUUUAAUCAACGUUCGCUGUGGCUAAACGACCUUCCCAAACUCACAAGUUCGUGCUUUGAAAAUUACUUUGAAUUUCACUGUUUAGCAGAUUUAACACUAAGAAAUUGUCCAUUGCUAAAAACAUUCAUCUCUAAAUGUGUACCCGGAGAUGAACCUCAAAUUGGCCAACAUGUACAGGCAAGUAACUUGGAGGUUCAUAACUCAUCUCUCCUCAAUGAAAAGGUCAUUUCUUCACGGAUUCUCCUUUUAAUUUAUUUUACUUCGAUUUAUCUUAUUCAUUUGAAGUUCUUUCUUUUUCAUACAUAUUUCAGUAUUAACCUAAUGAUAUGAUUUAUUAGGUUGUUUUCCCUAGUUUGAAGAGGCUGCAAAUUCAAAAUUGUGAUUUGUUAGAAGAAAUUAUCGAGCUGCAAGGAGUCAUUGCUGAUGAGUCACAGUCAACAUCAGCUGCUCAAUCUAUUGUGGCUGAAACAGUGACGACCAAGUUUGUAUUUCCCAAACUAAUAAACCUGGGAUUGGAUAAGGUGCCAAGAUUGAAAAGUUUCUACUCUAGGAUGCAUACCACCCACUGGCCUUCAUUGAAAAAAAUGGACAUUAUUGAAUGCCCCAAAGUACAGAUAUUUACUCCACAAUGUCCCGGGAGUCAGGUUGGAAUCUCAAACCAACAACCCUUGUUUUGCGUCAAUGAGGUAAGCUCGCGAACAGUUUCAUAUUCCAUGAUCAUUACUUGAGAUUACCUAUAAAAUGCUUUUUGAAAAAACUAAUAUUCUCUCCUCUUUUAAUUUUAUGAGAGUCUAGUUCUUACUAAUUUAAAACUCUUUCAUCGAUGUCUAAUAUAUUCUUUGCCAUCCAGGACACUUUCCCUGUAUUAGAAGAACUAACUCUGAAGACGAAUGAUAUGGGGAAGGGGAUAUGUGAUGGACAACUCUCAUUGCAGUGUUUCCAAAACCUUAAGCAUCUUAACCUCCAAUUCUUUCCCGAGACAUCCACUACUCUUCCGUAUUCCUUCAUUCGGUCACUACCAGUGCUUCAUAAGCUUGUUAUAGACAAUGCUUCCAUUUGUCAAAUAGUACAAUCUGAAGGACUCAGCGACUAGGAAUGGCAUACAUCAGCAUUCUAUCAGCUAAAGGAAUUAAGUUUGUCUCAACUUCCAGAGUUGACGUUAAAGACUUUUGAACCAUCUUUGCUGUCUUUCAAAAAUCUAACAACACUGAAAGUUUCAAGAUGCCAUGGGUUCAUCAAUUUAAUCGCAUGCUCAACAGCUAAGUGCCUGACGCUACUGGAAAGAUUGAUCAUAGAUGAUUGUGAGAUGAUAGAGGAAAUCAUAGCGUGUGAGGCUGAAGAAAUACAAGGCGGCAUUGUAUUUCCCAAACUGAAGUAUUUGCAACUAAGUUGUCUGCCAUGUCUAGCAAUCUUUUCCUUGGCCCAUCACUUGUUGGAAUUCCCAGUCUUGCUAAUGUUGAUGGUGACAAAGUGCCCCCAAAUGAGGAAUUUCUGCCAAGGAGAUUUAAGCACGCCAAGGCUGGAACAAAUGCACUUAACAAGAGAUGAGGAAGGUGAACUGAAGUGGGAAGGCGACCUUAACACUACCAUAAAACAUAUGUUCGAUGAAAUGGUACAAAUCAUUUAAAGGAUUUAAAUUCAUGUGUUUUUACAUACAUACAUACAUAGUUAAUUGAACAAUUCCUGGUUUGUUAUGAUCAUGCACAGAAUGUGCAAAAUUCUGAGGUGACGGAGGUUACUGAUCAGUUGCCCAAUCUGGAAUAAGGAAAUAUGUUUGGGUGCUUAUGCGAAAAGCUCAAUUUCGUUUGAAUUCAAAACAAACGGUAAUUGACUCCUCUAUUUUCAUCAUGGCUUAACUAAUGCUUUAUAAAGUGACCAUAGAGACGCCCUUUUCAUUGUAGGUUGAGUUGCUCUACUGAAGUACGAGGCUGCAACUUUUGGUAAAAUGUGAAAGGUUAUUUCAGUUUUUGUAAAACUACCAUUUGAACUGUUCCAUUUCACAUUAUACCCUCAAAAUUGAACUUCAAGUGCAUCAUGCUUGGCAUUGGGCUACAAACAUGUAAACUUUUACUAGUAAGGUUGACCCCUGUUUUAAGGAUUUGCCAACUUUUGAUGGUUACCAUAUCAAUGUCAGCUUAAAGCUAUCAAGUAUCUUUACAAAUAUAAUAUAUAUAUAUUAUUCCUUAAUGAAGGAUAAAAGUAGGCAGCUAUCUAUUAAUGGUACGGCUGAUUCUGAAAAGACGGCUGAAAUUGAAUCAAUGGGUUGUUGGUAAUUGCCUGAUGGAAGAACAGGGCCUAAUGUUACGUGGAUCCUGAUCAAGUUUUAAAUUUUCAGUUGUAGGCAUUACUGAUUAUUGCCAUUUGGUUGUUGAUCCUCUGAUUUUACGGUUGACUGUCUUGCUUAUACGUUGCAAGGUUGGCGGGUCUCAAGUAUGAAUUUCCAAGCCGGCUGUCAUCCAUAAUUAACUAAGUGUUCCAAUCUGUUGAAAGGUGGUUAGCAUGCAGCAUUGAAGACCACCAUGCAGAAGCAGCAGUUUGCACGAGAAAGCAAGGAUGUUUAGUUUCAUUUGAAUUUUUUUUUUUGUUUAUGUAAUGUAAUCUAGUUCAUUUUGAACUAUGAUAAGAUGAUAUUUGAUGUAAACUUGAUGGUGAUUGAGCUGUUUACCAGCUUUAUUCAUUUGCACAAGUUAUCAUUCCAAUUUACUAGGAAACUUAGUGGUAGUAGGUAUAGUUUUGGUUAACCUACUGUCUUGACAAGCUAGAAGCUUGAUUUAUGUAUUGGCAUUAAGCCUUUUUUUGAUGAAUGAAUUUAAUCAAGUUUUCAUUCAAAAACUCUCACCAUUCUCCUUGCUUUAUUCUUUUUAGUUUUCUGCUUGUUUCUGCUGCAAGUCACGACACUUGCUGCUCAAGCAAUAGGCUGAAACUUGUUGUUAGUUGCUCUCAGCUCCAACAGAAUCCAUGGAGUUUAUGGUUUAUUAGUGUAACUGUCCAUUUGGUUGUGGAUUGGUUCUUAAGGUGUUUUGAUGCUUGUAUGUUACAGUGCCUGCUCCAAGCAACACCCUUUAAUUUCUAAUGAAUUUUAUUUGUUGAGGAAAAAAAUAUGAGGAUUAAUCUGAUAUUUUAUGUUUGGGUUUAUGAAGAUUUUUGUACCUUUAAUGAAAAAAGCAAAUAAAAUAGAGAGGUACAAGAUCACAUCCAUAGAUCAACAAAGGGGUUUAAUAUUUCUAUAAAAAAAGUUGUCCCAAAAAGGCCUUCUAAUGGGAAUUGAAAAAAAAGCUUGUAAAAAUUUACAAAAGGAAUUGAUGAGAAUCUGAUACAGCCAUCACAUGCGACAGCUUUCCCUUAAAAGCAUUCGUGGCUGAGUCUAGUCUUAAUUUUUAUUUGUAUCUUUUAUAUCCGUUUUAUAAUUCAUAUUUAAGAUUUGUAUUAUGCGCUUAAUAUUUCAUUAUUUGUUGUCUAUGAUGCUCAUUCUUGAAAAAAAAAACAAACAAACAAAUGCAAUGCAUGCAUAAACCAUAAAAAAAAUAAAGAACAUAAGCAACUAAUAAUGAAAUAUAUUAAAAUGAAGACCGGUAAUUGAUUUAAGAAUUACCCUAAUUUCGGUAAAUAUAUUAAAACAUGUGUCCCUAAUCUUUUUCAAUUUUGAUAUUGAAAAAAUUGGUAUUCUUAAAAUUAUGAGAGUUAUUCAAUUAUUUUCAUUUUUGAAAUUGAUAAAUUAAGGACAAUUAAUCACAACGUUAAUGUUUUUAUCAAUUAUAUAUGAUUUUCUUGAUAUAAUGAUAAAUUUAGUCCUCAAAGUUUACACAUUCUAUCAAUUUGUUAUUGAUUUAACAAAUUUAACCCACAAUAUUUACACAUUUCGUCAAUUUGAUCAUGAUUUAACAUAUUUAACCCGUAAUAAUUAUACAUUCUAUCAACAUUUACGCAAAAUAUAUAAUCAUCAAGGAUUAAAUUUGUUUUUAUACUAAUCAAAAUUAUGUAUAAUUAACAGAAACUAUUAGCGCUUGAUUAAUUGUUCGUGGUUACUUUCAAAAAAGAUAAGGAUUAAUUUGUUCAAUAUCAAAAAGAUGUUUUUUAUUUUUAUUUUUUAAUUUCAUAGGUAAGAAAAUCUCAAAAAAAAGAAAAUCUUUGAAAUAAAAAAUAGAAUGUUUUAUAUAAUUAUUUGAAGUUACUCUCACGUUAUUUUUACCCAUUCAAAGCUAGCAAGUCUUUAUGUACAAAAUGGUAUAGCUCUGCAAUUUGGAUUAACAUUUUGGUGACCUCCAUGUGAAGUGAAAGAAAAUUGAGAAUGUCACACAAUUAUUAUUUUUGCCUCCAUACCCCUAUGCCACCAAAGAAAGUUGAAUUAUUAAGGCACAAAAGUACUAAGGAGUAGGAGCUAGAAAAAGAGGGGCAUGAAAAUAAAGAGACUUACAUUUAUUAUUUGCAUAAUACAAAAUCAGUCUUUAAUAUUUACAUAUUUUAUUAAUUUGAAUUUUAUUUUUAUUUAGUUAAAUUUAACUUUAAACCCUUUAAAAAAAGUUAAAUUUGAUCAUCAACAUUUUAAAAAGAGUCAAAUUAUUAUUUAACGGAAAUGUUAAAUUUUGAAAUACAUAUAACAAUUCGCGUGUAUUUCAUAUUAUUUUUUUAAAUUUUUUAUAUUUUUUUGAAAUUUUUAUUUUUGAAUAUUGUUAGAAAAAUAUUUGGAACAUUGUUAGUGGAGUUUUUAACCUCCACCAACAAAAUUAAUGGGUUAAUAAGUGUCUUACAGGGAUAUAAUAAAAUAUUAAUAUAUAUAUAUUAAAAUAUAUAUAUAUAUGUUAAUUUUUUUAAAGUUGUGGAAUAAAAAUAAUAUAUUAUUGGCAUACCAAAUACUCACCUUUUUAAUUAAGAUUUAAAAAUAAAAAAUAGUUAGUAAAAUGAAUGGAUUGCAAAUUGAGAAAUUUGAUAUUGAAUAUUAAAAUUUUCUUAAAAAGAAGACAUAUAGCAAGAUAAGAAAGUUAGUGAUUUAUUUGAUUUAAUUUUAAUUUUUAAAUUGAUGCAUUUUAUUAUGAAUUUUUAUUCUUUGUGUAUUUUGUAUAAUUUGUUUGAAAUUUUCAAUUUUCAAUUUCUCACAUGAGUUUGAGAUAUAAAAAAAAUUACUCUUAGGAUUGGUGAAACAGUGGAUACAAGAGUUCAGCUUAUCAUAUAUUGAUGAUUUUGUUCUUCGAAAUAUUGUCUACAGAUAGGAUAUCAGAGUUCUAUUAAUUAGAGUUCCGUUAAAAAGUCGAAAUUUCUAUUUUAGCCUAGGACUCUAGGAGUUCUGUUAUCGAUAUUCUAAUUAUGAUCAUGAUCUAUAAAAAAUAUGAGUAACAUGUGAUACGUAAAUGAAAAUUUUUAUGAUAUGAUAAGUCAUAAAUUAAGUGAAAAUGUAUGAAAGUGUAUGAUUAUAUGAAAGACAAAAAUAAUUAAUUUAAUUUAAUGAUCUGUAAAAUUGAAAAAUGAAAUACAUGAAUUAUAUAAGAGAAUGUUGACGAUCAAUAUGUGGUAUGUAAAUGAGAAGGAAAAAAUUAUAUGACCAAAUACUAAAAUAAAUGAAUAAUGAAAUUAACUAAAUACUUUGUAAGUUCAAUAAUUUAAAAAAUUGUUAUUUUUCCCAUUCAAAGUUGAAAAGUCUUUUAUGUGAAAAAUAGUGUAGCUCUUCAAUUUGGGUAUAACAUUUUGGUCUUCUCCAUGUGAUGUGGAGGAAAAUUGACAACAUCACACAAUCAAAUCCAUUUUUUCUGCCAUACCCUUGUGCCUCCGAAGAAAGUUAAAUUAUUAAGGCACAAAAGUACCAAGGAGUAGAAGCUACCAAAAGAGGAGCAUGAAAAUAAAGAGAGAUACAUAUAUUACUGGCAUGAAAUAUUUACAUUUUUUAUUAAUUUGGAACUUCUUGCCUUUUACUACUAGCUUGAUUUGUAUCAUCGCUCUCACCUUUUUGAGCUUGUAUCUGAUAGUGAAACCAAAGAUUAGUGAAAGCCUUCGCACCAAAACUGAGUUCUAGGAACUGCAAUAGGAUCAAUUUCAACAACUCUAAUGGGAUAUUAAACAUUCCCAACUCUUAAGAUCACCAUCUCAUCAAUUUUACACAAUUAAAAUGAAUGUUUCCCUUCACAAAAGGUUUAGGAUGAGCAGCACCAUCGUCCACACUAAUAAAACUUCCCCAGUGAUUGGCGAUGUUUUUAAAUGUAGAGAUCGGACAAGCAUGGAUCGGAACCCCUAAAGUUGUUCUAUAAUUAACCAAAAUGUUUUCAGACCAUGACUCAACUUUUGUGAACCACCUCAUCGAAAUUUCAAUAAACUCUUUUAUAACCUUCUCCACCGUUAAACUCCAUUAGCAACUUGGAGGCCACCCUCUUCUAACCGCAGAGCAAGGUUCUCAAGAGUACAUAAAUCUCUACACCAUCCCAUAAUACAAAUUGUAGCUUAGAAAGUUUUUCUUCCUCGAUAAUCCCAUCUAUAGGAAUUGACUCUAUCUCUUUCUUACCUGUAGCCACCUCCUCCAUGAAACAAUUCUUGUUUAUAGCUUUUUCACCUCCGAGGGUUCCACUCGUAUCUAGAGAAUCCUUUGAUACCUCCAGAGCCUUUGAAGCGUGCAAAGUUGACCCAUAUUCUAUGUCCAAAUAAAUGGAACCGUUCAGACGAAGCGUCGCCCUUCUUGCAUCAGUAAAGUUUGCGAAUCUCACAAAACCAAAUCUUUCUCCUUUUUAUGAAGACAUCCAUAACCCUGCCGUGAUACUCGAAUAUCUUCCAAAGACCUGUCCAUUGCAUUCGUGGAGGACGAUUCACUACAAAAACAGUAACACAACUCUGUCCAGUGUCCACCACCCAACCCAUUACUCAUUAAUAAAACUCCUACUUCAUCACUUAACUAAAGCUUUCUUUUUGAUAUUUUUAUAUAUUUUAAUUUUGUUUUGUAUUCAAAUAAUUUGAUAAUUAACUUUUAACAAUUAUCCCAUAGUUUUUACUAUAAAUUUAAGGAAGACAAUCUUGAUAAAAUUAGUUUGAGGUAGGAACAGUUUAUUGGAACAGCGUAGUCUUUUAUAGGAUUAAAAAUAUUAAUGCAAGAAAUAAAAAACAAGUGAUUAAAGGUUUAGAACAAGCAAUCAAACUUAUUUUAUGUUAAAAUUUUCGAACAAUAUGAAAAUAUAUAAUUUUAAUUGUUCUUUUACCAAUUAAAUUGAUUUUUGACAGGUUUAACUAUUGACUUAAAAAAGAGUGUUAAUUUGAAUGGUUAAAUGUAAUGAUGCAUGGUUUGUCUGACAUCGUCACAUGGAAAAUGGGAUUAAAAAUGGAAAUUAAGCAAAGGCAAAAUGAAUAUAUUUAUUGUUUUCUAAUUUGGUGUAGGGUGCCAUAUUUGUUGAUAGCCACUCACUAAUACAUUAUAAAUGGAAUAAUUGCCUAUUUUACCUUUUUCAUGAAAUUUAUUGACAUCACCAGCUCAUUUUUCAACCACAUUACUCAAAUGAUUGACAGAGAGAGGUAAAAGUAAUUUAUAAAUGUAUUUCUUUUUUUUCGAGUAUAAUUUGUAUUUAUUUCUAGCCAUUUUUAUAAAGUUAUUGUUUAAAAAAGGGGUAAUUAUCAAAUUCAUAUAUGAUUUGGAUCCAAUGUACAAUUUGAUACAAACUACAAUUUGGUGUAAUUAUACACAUAAACUUGAAUUGUGAUUCAUAUGAGCACAUGAAACUUUGAUUUUGAUUCAAUUGUAUGCAUUUAAUGAAUGUAUACGUUUAAAAAAAAUGAAUAUUUACAUUUAUUUUCAUAUUUGAUUAUAUACAGGGGCGAAACCAGAAAAUUCUUUUAGGGGGCUGAAAUUAAAUUGUAAUUUUUACGAUAGCAAAAAUGUAAUUUCACCAUUUUAAUGGCCUAUAUCUUUAUAAUUUUUAAAUGAUUAAAUCAAAUUUUAUAUUUUUAGCGGAGCAAAGUACAAUUUUACCUUUACUAAUUUAAAAUUUUAAAAGGCCUAAAUAGAAAAUUCACCAUUUCAAGGGGACUGAGACUAGAGGUGAUCAUGGGUUGGGCCCACCCGAAAAAUAGGAGGGUCCAAGUAAAAAUAUAGACCCAAAAUAUGGGUUUCGGCAAAAAAAGAAGCCCGUUUAAAAAACGGGCCGGGCUCGGGUAAAAAUUUUUUGGCCUAGGCCCAACCCGACCCGGCCCGAAUUAUAUAUUAAAUAUAUAUAGUUUUUAUUUUUAAUCAAAUAUGUAUUAAAUAUAUACUUUUUUGGUGUUGUACAAUUUGAUAUGGGUUGGGCUCGGGCUUAGCAAUUUUCUUUUGGGCCGAGCUUGGAUAAAUUUUUAGGCCCAUAUUUUGGGCCCAGCCAAGCCCGAGCCUAAAAAAUGGGCCUAAAAUUUUGUCUGGGCCCUGCUCAGCCCAUGAUCACCUCUAACUGGAACCCCUGUCAGCCCCUUAGUUUCGCCCCAAAUUAUAUAAUAGUUUGUAUAUGCAAUAUAUCAACGUAAAAUUGUGCUAAUUCAAUAAUAUUGUUAGUGAUUUCUGAAAAUUGAAUCAAAUCAAUAUUUCAUAUAUAAAAUUGUACAAAAUCAAAGUUCAUAUACAACAUAAAUAAAUAAAUAAAAAGUUCAUAUAGAACAAUAUACAUUAAAUCAAAAUUUAUAUAUAAUUUUGAUAUUUAUCUCAUUCUUUAUUAAUUAUAACGUGUGAACGAGGUGAAUCCAAAUUUUGUCAUUUAUUUUCCUACCAUCUUUGCGAAAUAAAUUUCAACUUAAGAAGGAAAAAAUAAUUAACAUUUUCAAAUUCUAUCAAGAUAGACAUGUUCAUAGGUCAGACUCUCGGCUUAGGUUCAAAAGUUCACUAAAAUUUUGGGAGGGUUUGGAUAAAAAUAUCAUACCCAAAGAAUGGACUCGAGCAAAAAAAAAAGACCUGUUUAAAAUAUGGGUCGGGCUCGGGCUUGAAUAUUUAAGGCUAGACCCGUUUUAAGUUUAUAAUUUUUUAUAUUAUGUUAUUUUUUAUAUAUUAUGUAAUUUAGAACACAAUAAAAAAUAAACAUAUAGUAAAUAUAUAAUAUAACUCUAAUGUAAACAUUAAAAUAAUAUUAAAAUGACUAUAUAAAAAAUUUCAAUAAAUAAAAAUGUAUAAAUAUUAAAAUAAUAUAAUAUAAAUACUUUUUAAAAAAAUUAAAAAAUAAUAUAAGCGAACCUAAAAUGGGUUUAGAUUAGUUUUUUGUAAAUAUGGGAGUGUUUUGACAAAAUUUUAGGCCUAAAUUUCAAACCGGACCGAACUUAAACAAAUAUAAAAUAUCUUAAUAUCAUGCUUAAACCAACCUAUGAACACUUCUACAUAAAAAUAAUAUAGACGAAUUGAUGUCGUUUAGUUCCACAAGGUCAAACUUCAAAUUAAUACGAGUGUAUUAUUAAAAGUUUUCGUCCUCGCAUUACUUGUAAUUAGUUUAUGUCUUUUAAUUCAUUGAGAAGUAACAAGCAUGUAUGGAUGUCCAUUGUACAGGCCCAUUUUGACCUAAUCCAUUACAACCCAUAACCCAAGCAAAAACAAAACCUACCCAGGCCCAACUAAGCCUAACCCACCAAAACCAAAGCCCAAAUCAGCAACCCAAUUCAGCCCAAUCUACCUAACCCUAGCCAAUUUGUAGAAAAAAGAAACAGCAGCCACCCUAGGUGCGCCGCACCUAGGGCCUUCGUCCACCUACCCCCUGCCACCGCCUCUGACCAGCGCCGCACCUGCUCUCUGCCAUCGCCCAACUGCACCUGCAAGAAGAGAAACCAACACGCAACAACAAAUAGUAGACAUAGAUAAAAAAAAUGUUAAAAUCGGCUAUAAAAGCCGAAACCAGAGGAAUGUAAAGGGUUCGGCCCCUCUUUGACGAUUAAAAGAAAUAAAAGUUUUUUGAAAAUCUUAAAGGUGACUACUACCUUUUUAGAUCUGUUUUUUUUUGUUCUUUUAAAUAUUAUUUUUGUUUUUAAAUACAAACAAAUUAAAAAUAAGAAUAAAGGAGAAGGCUUUUUACCUUACCUGCGCCGCGACGGAGGUGGAGGAAGGCGAACGGUUUCGCCCCAUUUUUUGGGUCUUCGGCUUUCUAUUCAGGAGAUUCAGCCCCGGAUCUGUGGCCUGGAGGCCAUGGACUUCAAAAAAGGACGAAAAAGGUCCGAUUUUGAACCUCCGGCGGCCACACACGGUGGCUCUGCGGCGGAGACUCGUCGGAAAUCUCGAGCCGGACCAUGGCCGGACCUGAGAGAAAAAGAGAGAGUUUUCUCUCUGUUUUUUUAAAAAGAAGAUGAAACUGUUUCUUUUAGCUUUUUUUAGUAUUUAUAUUAAACGUGAAACGACGCCGUUUUAGCAAAAGGAUCCGCGCGUCGACCCGACCCGACCCGGAGGAUCCGCGUGUUUUCAGUUUUUGGGAUAUUUCGCGUGCAGUCCCCCUGAUUUUGCAGCGUAUUACAAUUUUAUCCUUUUGUUAUUUUCUCUUAUUUUUAAUUUAGCCCCUGCAAUUUUAUUUUUAUUUCGACUUGGUCCAUUUCAACGCUGCGUUUUGGGGCUGUGGUUUAUUUGCAGUUUUGGCCCUUUCCUUUUCAGCGCGCGUUGCAAUUCGGUCCUUCUUGUUUUUUUAUUUCAAAUUUGCCUAGUAUAUUUGUUUUUAUUUUGAUUUAGUCCCUUUUUAGCAAUCUUAUUUAUUUUGAUUAAUUAUUUUAAUGUAUUAUCAUUUAUUAUUAUUAUUGUUGCAUUUAUUAUUCUGAUUAUCAUUUACCCAUUCGCAUCGUUUUUGGAUUUGGUUAUACAUACAUACUUAUAUAUAUUUUUAUAUUUUAUAACUUAUAUACAUAUAUCUAUAUUUAUAUUCUUUACCUUCACAAAUAUAUGUAUACGUACCUAUAUAUAUAUAUUAUUUUAUAUAUAUACAUCCUUUUACAUUUUUAGGUUUUUAUAUUUUGUUCAUUAUUUAUUUAUUUAUUUACAAUUUUGUUAUUAUUUUAAAAGAAUGCUUUAACUUUAUUUGCUUAUAUAUUCAUUUUGUAUGCUAUUGAUUUGUCUUUUUUUAUUUAUCUUAUCUUUGAUGCUAUUGCUCGUGUUAUUUUACUUGCAUUAUCAUCAUCAUUUCAUUAUACCCAUUUUUAUUUAGAUUUCGAAAAAGAAAUUUUAGAAAUAAGUAAUAUUCGGUAUUUUGGAUCUUCGAGAGAAUCGAGCCCUAACGUAUUGGGUUCCGACUUUCUUCGUUGAACUUAAAUAAUUGAGAUUAUUCUUUUAAAAAUGAUAAAAAGCUCGUUACCGAGAAUUCAAUAUGUUGUGUCCUAACGCAUUGGAUGUGACACGUUAUUUUUUCGAAACGAGAAUUUUUCUAAAUAAAUGUAAUAUUCAAUGUUUAAUAUUUUGAGAAAUUGUGCCCUAACGUAUUGGGUUGCGAUUUCUUCAUUUGAUUUAAACAAUUGAAUAUUCUUUUAAACUUUAUUACACGAAUUUUUUCAAACUCAAGUUAAACGAUAUCGGGAAUUAAAAAAAGGAUCGUGUCCUAACUUACUGGUCGCGAUAUCUUUUUUUAAUCCAAGAUAGUUAAAUAUCUUUUAAAUAAGCAUUUUUCAUUCGCGUAUCGGGAAUUCGAGACAUUGUGUCCUAACUUAUUAGAUAUGAUUCUCUUUCUCGAAUAGCGUGAAAUAUGCCCCUUUUUCAGAAAUUUUUCAACGUUUUAAUACAAGGAUCGUAUUUUUAAAAUUCUUCAAAGUUCUCAAUUUUCGACAUUAAGACAUUAAGUAGUCAAUUAGGUACCAAUUUUGGGCGUAUCGAGGGUGCUAAUCCUUCCUCGUGCGUAACCGACUCCCGAACCCGUUUUUCUGAAUUUCGUGGACCAAACUUGUUGUUUUAAUAAAAUCAAACCGUUUAUUAAAAACAACUAAUUUUAAGGUGAUCCAAUCACACCUCAUAAAAAAGGAUUGGUAGCGACUCCCGUUUCUUUUUUCAAAACCCAAGUCGACCCCGUUUUCCAUCCAAAAAAUGGUGUCAACAUCCAUCUUCUACCAUAGUUGUCUUCUAAAGAACUUUAUAAAGGGAAGCUAUGCCACUCUAUUUAAGGGUUGGUUUUGGAGAUUAAAGUGUAAUUUUAUCAUCAUAUUAACUUAAGUUUUUUUUUUAAAUUUAAAAACGUGUAAAUGGUAAAUUUACUAUUUUUGGAAGGUCAAGGCUAUUGCUUCCCCUUAUCUUUGCCCUGCUAGUAGUUGACUAACACGGUCUCAUACAGUAAUACUCUUAUCGAAUAUAAAGCCUUGUUUAAAUGGAGAUAUUUAUAAGAGGAAAAAUACUAAAUAAUGCAAGCUCGCCCAUGCCUGGUCACUGUGAGCCCCUUUGUGAGGAAGCACCUGAUCUUCUCUCGAAGUUACGAGGUUAUUUUGUCAAGUUCUUUAGAGAGAGUUGUCUCACACCCCUAGGUAUUCUCUACCUACCCACUUGUGUCGGUUUUGGGUACACGUACCCUUUUGAUGAAGGUCGUUCAAGCUUUUCCUGGAAGUAUAAUUUUUACUUCCACUUACAAUUUCAUAAAAUAAUAAUUUAUCAAAUCAAAAUUAUUCAAAUACAAAUUCAAAAUAUUUGAAUCAAAAUUAAAUUGGAGCUCCUCACUCAGGCUUCUACUUUUGUGCAUUGAUAAUUCAGUGGCAGCACUUCCCCCUUGCCUUAAUUGUUGAAAAUUGAAUAAAAAUUGUACCUUUCAUUUCCUUCCCUCAGACAAGUUGUUCAUUGUUGCUCCCACUCUUCAGUCUUCUCUAAAAUAAUGUAGGAAUCCCAAGUCACUAUAAUUAGGUGAUGAGGAUGGUACUUACUUUUUUUCCAAUAUCAGGGUAUUUAUCGUUAAUAAUAGUGAUUGAUUUUUUUUGUUGCGAAUUUGUACAAGAGCUUAUGUAAGAGUUUAAUAUAGUUCAAUGAUUAUUUUAUAAUUUUUUAAAGUUAAAUAAUCAAAAUAGAAAUUAAUUAACAAUUUAGCUAGAGAGCUUACACGUAGUUUACCCAAAAACAUAUCGACAUGAUCCCCCAUUGGAGUCCGAAGCCAAAGCUCACAAAUUGGGUUAACAUUUGACAUUUGGGGUUUCAAAUUGAGAAUUAAUUGAAAUAGAUAACAAUUAGCAAUUAAUUGAGAAUAAACAAAUUAUAUUCCAUAUAGUGUAGUAUUGAAUAUAUGUUUACUUCAUUAAAGGUCUCUUUUUUAUUCAAUUAAUUUCUCCAACUCAAAUUUAGCAACUUAUUAUGGUACUAUGAGAUUAUAAGAAUGGUUUUUGGAAGUAAAUCAGUGAGUGAAGUUGUAAAAUUACUGAUUUUCGAUUUAAUUACUUUAAUCAUUGGUCUAGUUUCAAUUAAAAAAUUUAUUCAUGAUUUAGCCUAUAAAUUAUAUAUAUUCUCUCACUUUAGUCUAGUUUAGACUUGCCUAUGGCCCUGCUCGAAUGUCCACCUGAAAAGCGAGAUGAUUUAGGUAAAUAUAUAUGCCCAAAAAGUUGGUCUGGAUAAAAAAAUAAUGCUCGUUUUCUAAACGGAUUGGGUCUCAGGUAAGCUUUUCUUGCUCAACCUGGCCCGAAUUUGCAAAAAAAAAAACUAUUGUUGUUUUUUUUACUAUUUUAUCAUUGUUUUUCUAUCAUUUCGUUAUUAUAUUGCUACUAUUUUAUUAUUAUUGUUUGAAUAAUGCAUAACUCUUGUUUUAUUACUAAUUUUGCUACUAUUUUAGGGAUAUUUACUUUUUAAGUUACACUUAUCUCAGUGUUAUAUAUUUAAGUAUUUUUUUUUAAUUUUCAUUUGUUCGGAAACAUUUAUUUCAAAUUUUUUAGUGUAUUUGAUGAAUUAUUUUUUAAAAUUUAUUUUUAUAUUAAAAAUAUAAAAAAUUAAUAUGGGCAGACUAGGCUUUUAACAUUUUAAUCUAAGUUGGGCUUGGAUAAAAUUUUAAGCCUAUUUUUCGAGCUGAACCGAGCUCAGGCCUAGAAAUUAGGCCUAAAUUUUUUACUUGGCCCUAUCAACCCAUGGACAACCCCAGUCUAGUUUCAGUUGGGAAUGAGAAUUACUACUAUUUUGUUGUUAUUAAAUUGUUAAACCAUUGUUUUUUUUUUUUGGUGCCACUUCAAAAAGCCAUUGGGCCUUAGUCAAGACGAGGUAACAUAGAAUAGUUCAGGGUCCUAACUGGAAAAUAUCCCACAUUGAUUAUUGUGAUGUAGAAAGUGGAAAAUAUGUAACGAGCGUCAUUGGAAAGAUGUAUGUCAAACUAGUGGAGCCAUAAAUUGGUAGUUUUCUAAGGUUGGUUUCAAAAUGAAGGGGGAGCUCCCAAGUCAAAAUAAAAUUGUUUAGUAUUUUUUAGUGUUUCCCUUUUAGACAGGUUAAAUUGUGUAUUUAUAUGUAGGGGUGUUCAUUCGGUUAACCGAUCGGUUAAUCGAAUCGAACUUUUUUAAAAAAAAUUAACCGAACGAAAUUUUUUCGGUUAAUUCGGUCGGUUAAUCGAAAAUUAUAUGUUUUUUUAUUUUUGGUUAAAAAUUAACCGAAUUAACCGAAUUAACCGAAUUCCCGAAUUACCCGAAUUAACCUAAUUGAAUCAUACAUAAUUAAAUUAUUUUUAGACUUUAAUACUUUAGUUUUAGUUUUAGUUUUAGAAUUUGUUUUUAUUUAUUAAAUUAUUUGUAAAUUUUAUGAUUGGGUUGGUUUGGGUAAUUGGGUUGGAUUGAAUACUUGGAUUUGGAUUGGGUUUAGGUGAAUAGUGGACCUAUUUAUAUAUUAAUAAUUUUAUUUAUUAAUUUUUUCGGUUAACCGACCGGUUUCGAACCGAAUUAACCGUUAACUGAAAAUUCAUAAAAAAAUUAACCGACCCCCGACCGAAAAAAUUCGGUUAACCGACCGAUUACCGAAUUUUUUCGGUUUUACCCGAAUUAUGCACACCCCUAUUUAUAUGAUAUGAUUACUGUUCACAGAUAUGAUAUCGUAGGUAGGUUCCCAUGCAAAUCAACGUAUACCCUACUUUAGGUUAACAUGUAUUUAUAUGAGGUGGAUUUACAUAGUGCAAACCCACAUCAUGCUGUCUCGUAGAAGGUUGCAAACACCUUACAUGCGAACUCAAAGUGCGAACUGUAAUGGAUCAGUAAUAGUGAAUAUCAUAACAAAAGUAAAUUAAAAUAUUUAAUUCCUUCCAAAUAUUAAUUUCAAUAAUUAUUCAACUCCUAUUAUUUUAUCCUUUUGUAUAUUGAAUUCCUCUAAGCAAAGAAAAUAUCCAAAUUAAAAUUUUUAAUUUUUUUAGACAUAAUAUCAAAUUUAACCUUCAACGUUUACAUUUUUUUGUCAAUUUGGCAAUUAUUCUUUUUUGAGCUAAAUUUGACCCUUAAUCUUUCAAAAAAGAGUCAAAUAUUUUUUUAUGAAAUCUUUUUUUAAUGAAAACAUUAAUAAAAACAUUAAUUUUUUUAACAAUAAUGGUGUGGCAACCCGCAUGGUAGUCCACGUAUACUUCCAUACUAGUAUGACACUAUUUGUAUUAUAUGUCAUGUCAACAAAUAAUUUUAAAAAAGUAUUUAAAAUUCAAAAAAUUAUAAAAAGCUCAUAAUAUGUAAAAUAAAAAAGCAUGAAGUACAUAUAGAUUGUCAUUCAAACUAUCAUAUUUGAAAAUUUAAUGUUAUAAUCGAAAUUUUUUUUAAAAAAAUAACAAUUUAACUCUUUUAAAAUAUUAAUGGUUAAAUUUAACUUUUUAAAAAAAAUUGAAAGUCAAAUUUAGCUCAAAAAAUAAAGAUUAAACUGACAAAAAAUAUAAAUGUUAAAAGGUUAAAUUUCAAAUUAUAUCAUUAUUUUAUUAAACAAACCUUAUUAAAAAUGUAUUUAAAUUUUAUAAAUCUUAUUAAAAUAAUAUUAAUAAUUAUUCAACUCCUCCACACAAAGAAGCAUCCAAAUUAAAAAUAUAUAUUUAAUUCCUUUCAAAUAUUAAUUUGUUCAACUUCUUAAAUUAAGUAAUUAAUCAAUUUUCGUUUUAAACAAAAAACCGGAUAGGAAAACCAUCAUUUUCUCGGGAAACAAACAGAGAAAGCUGCAAACUUUCCAAAUAUAUACCUUACUCGAAAAUCUGCCACGUCUUAUCCUUGAUAUGAUGGUUUCUAACAUUGCCACUUGGCAAGUUAUUCAGUAACAAUGCCAAUCUGCCACCAUUAUGCUUUUCCUUGCAGUACAAAAUUCCAGGAUGCCUUUACUUCUUUUGCCUCUUGGAUCAGCAUUUACUAUCACCAAAAUCAAAAUCCCAACUUUGAAAAAAAAAAAGUUUAAUUUUUAUCCUUUUUUUAAAAAAAUUUAACAAUUUUUUAUUUUCCAUUGUCAACCUUGUAAAAUUCUUUUAUAUUUUUAUGUUUUUAGUGGGAUUUUUACAUUUGUUCCAAAUUAUCAGUUUGUCAAGUUCUUCAUGCUUUCCAUGUCCCAAAGGAUCACAUUUUAUUUAAGAAAUAGAAAAAGACAUUAUUUUUGUUCUUCAUGCAACUUAUAAGUUAUAGAGAAUGAAUUUCUUUGAUUUUAGCAACUAAUAUUAUGAUUCCAACAUUUAGGGUUUUAUAUGUUUUUUUUUCUGUAUGAAUUUGAACUUGAGUUAGCCAUAAAAACCCCACCUUUAAUCUCAAUAUAUGAACUUGGCUUUGCUUCUUAUGGUUAUUAUUGUUUAAUUUAAUUAAUGUCUUGAAAGGGUAUUCUAGUUUAAUUUAAUUAACUAGUCCAUUUAUUUUGAUUGAUAAUGAUGUUGCAGGUGCUUAAUCUUUCCAUUGAAAUGGAGAAAAUCAACUACCAGGACGAGCUGAAGAAAGAGCGUAGGCUUGUUCGGAGUCUCGUAUACGAGAUCGGUUACAGGAAGGAACAGGUGUCCGAAAUGGAACAUAAAUAUGACAAGACAACCACGGCUUUUCAAGAACUCGUUGAUGGCCUUGUAGCGAAAAUUGACUCCAAGGACAGUAGUUUGCGGGAUUGGGAGCUUCGAUAUAAGGAAAUGGGGAAAUGGUACAUAAAUAUGAUGAGACGACCGCAGCUCUUCAAGGACUCGUCGAUGGCCUUGUAGAGAAAAUUGACUCCAAGGACAGUAGUUUACGGGAUUGGGAGCUUCGAUAUAACGAAACCGUGAGACAAUUGAAGGGCGAGAACGCGGUGUUUCACCUUGUGUUUGCUAAAGGUAUACUUUAGAUUAUAUAUUGCAUACAUAGCGAGCAGAAGACUAUGCAUUAAUCCAAUCGUGUACGAUGAACAACAUGUCGUUUUCGAAGUUCCAAGGUUUGCAUUUAGAGCUUUGAUUGAUCUUUAGGCUAUUUUACACAUCUAGUUGCUUAGUAUUAGAUUCGGUGAAGAAGUUGCAACUUUAGGAUAGUGAAGGAGACAUAAAUGUCAGGAUUCGAACCCCAAACUCUGCUUUUAUAUCUGUUAUCACGGGAACCGGAUGAACUUAUGGAAACGAGGCUUGGAACCUAAAAGGAAGCAUAUAUAUUUGAGAUAUUCCGAUUUUCUUCCUGUUGCUAAUGCUUCUAUCAUACACAUUAGGAUUAUGUGAUCUUAUAUAUAUACACACGCAUAUAUACGAGAUACUGAUGAAUUUCUGCCUCCUGUUAUUGCUUAUAUCAUAUGCUUUAUGGACUGUUGCUUUACAUUUUUUAUGCAGAAAUUCAGAAGGAAAGGGAUGAAAAUCUUAAGCUGAAGUGCCAACCUGGCUUUCGAACCAAGUUGGUCGAAGAUUAUAUAUCUCGUAAUGAUAACGAUAUGGAACGAAGUAGCUUGUUGAAUGAAAUGGAAGGGGUUAGCAUACUCAUCUUAAUUUUGGUUUUCGAUAUAUGAACUAUCUUUUGUCGAGUUUGUACCUUUGUGUAAAUGAAUCCUGUUAUCAUGUUUAGGUUCAACGUUUUUAAUGGUUAUGAUUUGCCGAGUAGACUUUUAACAAUUCGGAUUAUAUCUGAUAUAGCCGAAAGAGAAUGUGGCUUGCCAAAAUCUUAUUGAACUCGAGAAAACUACAAGCGAGCAGAUUACUGCUCUAAAGAAAGAGUUGGAGGAAAAAUCAGAAGCGUUGAAAGAUAUGGAAAACCGAAACAGUUGUCUAACGGUGAAACAAGUCCUAACUAAUCAAGAGCUGCAAGAUGUUCGAAAAGAAUCCAUACGUGUAUUUUUCAUGUUUUCCUUUGCUUCCUCCUAUGUUUCCUCUUCGAAAUCGGGUUUAAACUUGAAAGUGUUAAACCCAAGACUUCUCUGGUUUUUGAUGUGCAGGGUUUGAACGAUUUUCUGAAUAACCAGACUAAUCUUAAGAGUGAAAAGAACGGGAGAGAUUGAUCAAAAAGCAUUCAAAGUUGCUUGCUCGUUGAAGUUCCAGGACGAAGAUUGGCGAGAACCGUGUGCUAAAACAUGUUCAUUAUGUUGUUCCAAUAGGGUCGGAAGCGUGUAAAUUAUUGUACUAAAAAAUCACAAAAAGUUCAAUUCCCAGGGAAGAGAGGUGGAUCACAUGGAUCUCUUAAAUACCAAGUCUUUUCUUAGACAGAAUAUCCCUUCUAUAGUAAUUUAAUAGCACAAUUAAAUACUACUAUUAUACCCUCAAAUAUUGAAAGAAAAAUAGGACAAGAAAGAACACAAGAGAUUUAACGAGGUUCGGUAAAUUAUACCUACGUCCUCGGGCACUAACACCAGAUGAUAACUUUACUAUCCCCAAAGUAUUACAAACAAAUAGAAUUCCUUAAGAAUUCUCAAAUGGGAGAAGAGAGAAAACUAAGAGAGAAAGAUUGGUUGGGAUGAAUUGAAAUGAGAAAUGAGAAGGCCUAUUUAUAGUUGAGGUUCAAGGACCAAACAAUAAAUAGCACAUUAUCUCAAGGACCAAAAAAAAAUUAUCCCUUGCCACUUUUCCAAAGUUGGUGGUUGUCAUUAUUGAUUGUCUCCCAUUAAUGUUAAUGGCAACCAUUAUUAAUUGUCUAUCAUUAAUGUUAACAAUCUCCACCUUGAAGAUUUGAUUAGGAUAAUCACAUCUUCACACACUUCCUUCAACUCCCUAAAUUCGAUAAAGCUAUCUUUUGUAGUGCCUACAAAUGCGCUCUCGAGCGCCAUACACCUGAAGGUGCUCAAAUUCUCAGGAUGUUAAUCAAGUUCAAACAAUGAUUAAACUUGAUUGUUGUUACCACCUUGGUCAUCAUAUCUGCGGGAUUAUCUGCUGUCGGAAUCUUCUAAAGUAGAAUUUUUCCUUUUUCAAAGACUUCUCGCACAAAGUGAUAUCUUACGUCAAUAUGCUUGGUUCUUGAAUGAUAGACUUGAUUUUUCGCUAAAUGAAUAGCGCUCUGACUGUCACAAUAUAAACUUAUGUGACUUUGAACAACUCCUAAGUCUUUCAACAAUCCAUUAAGCCAAAUAGCCUCCUUAACAGCUUCUGUAACUGCCAUAUAUUCUGCCUCUAUAGUAGAUACAGCUACUGUAGACUGUAAGGUAGACUUCCAACUCACUGGGGCUUUCGCAAGAGUAAACAAAUACCCCGUAGUUGAACGACGUUUAUCUAAAUCACCAGCAAAGUCGGAAUCAACAUAUCCAACUACAAACUGACCAAGUGCUUCAUCCUGUUCAAAAAUUAAACCAACAUCUACGAUUUUUCAAAGAUACCGUAGAAUCCAUUUCACAGCUUGCCAAUGUCCUUUUCUAGGAUCAUGCAUAUACCUGCUCACAACUCCAACAGCUUGUGAAAUGUCAGGCCUCGUACACACCAUCACAUACAUCAAACUCCCAACUGCAUUAGUAUAUGGGACUUUCGCCAUAUAUUCUCUUUCUUCUUCAGUUUUCAGAGAUAAUUGAGCACUAAGUUUCAAAUGAGAAGCAAGUGGGGUACUUACAUGUUUUGUGUUUUCAUUUACACCAAAACAUUGUAAUACCUUUUUCAGAUAUUGCUUCUGAUUCAAACAAAGCUUGCCUCUCUGUCUAUCUCUACUUAUCUCCAUGCCGAGAAUCUUCUUGGCCUCACUUAGAUCUUUCAUCUCGAACUCUUGAUUCAACUGAGCCUUCAGCUUAUCUAUCUCUUUUUGGCUCUUCGAAGCGAUUAACAUAUCAUCAACAUACAAGAGUAGAUAAAUGAAAGAUCCGUCAUGCAGCUUCUGCAAAUACACACAAUUGUCAUAUUUGCUUCUUGUGUAUUUCUGCCUUCUCAUAAAGCUAUCAAAUCGCUUGUACCACUGCCUCGGGGAUUGCUUCAAUCCAUAUAGCGAUUUGUUAAGCUUACAAACCCAAUUUCUACCACCAGCAUCUGUGUAUCCUUCUGGCUGAGUCAUAUAGAUCUCCUCUUCUAACUCACCAUGCAAGAAAGUCGUCUUAACAUCAAGUUGAGCUAGCUCUAAAUUCAACUGUGCUACCAAGGCCAACAAAAUUCUAAUGGAGGAAUGCUUCACAACAGGGGAAAAUACAUCAUUGUAGUCAAUUCCCUCCUUCUGAGCGUAGCCUUUAGCUACCAAUCUUACCUUGUAGCGAAUAUCCUUCUUGCUAGGAGAUCCAUCUUUCUUUGCGAAUACCCACUUGCAUCCGAUUUCCCUUUUACCUUUCGGUAAUUGCGCCAACUCCCAAGUAUUGUUCUUCCGGAGAGACUGCAUUUCUUCAUCCAUGGCGCUUUUCCAUUUAUCACUUUCUAAGCUUUGCAUUGCUUCUUGAUAAGUGAUAGGAAUAUCAUCAACAACGGGAAGGGCGUAGGCCACCAUAUCAGUAAAUCGAGCAGGUUUACGAAUUUCUCUCCAUGGCCUUGCAACUGCAACUGGUUCUGGUGUACUUAGUGGUUCUUGGGUCAGAACCUCUUCAACCUCUAAUUCCUCCAUUGUGGCUGGAGAAUUAGACUUAUUAACUGGGCAAAUCCCCAUCUGCUCAAACUCCACCUAUUUUGGAGUACACUCCACCUGCUGUGGAGUAUUGCUCGUCUGAAUAUCUUUAUCUGCUACCUUUUUCAAUGUGGCAGAUUCAUCAAAGGUAACAUCUCUGCUACAGAUCAUUUUCUUUGUGCUUAAGCACCAAAGACGAAAUCCCUUCACUCCAGAAGUGAUUCCCAUAAAGAGAGCUUUUUUUGCCCUCGGAUCUAACUUUGACUCCUUCACAUGGUAAUAUGCAGUGGUUCCAAACACAUGUAAGGAAUCAUAAUCUGUAGCCGGUUUUCCAGACCAUACCUCCAUAGGAGUUUUUCUUUCUAAUGCAGAUGAUGGCAAACGAUUAACAAGAUGGCCAGUGUAUGUCACAGCCUCAACCCAAAAUUGCUUGCCCAACCCAGCAUUGGACAACAUACAUCAAACUUUCUCCAGCAAUGUUCGAUUCAUACGCUCUGCCACUCCAUUCUGUUGUGGUGUAUCCCUAACUGUGAAGUGUUGAACAAUACCAUACUCUUGGCACACAUCGAAGAACGGAUCACUUUUAUAUUCCCCUCCAUUGUCCGUCCUAAGCCGCUUGAUUUUCUUGCCAGUCUGGUUUUCGAUCAUAGUUUUCCAUUUAAGAAAAACUCCAAGCACUUCAUCUUUAGUUUUCAUGGUAUACACCCAAACUCUUCUGGAAAAGUCAUCAACAAAAGUAACAAAGUAGUGUUUUCCUCCCAACGAAGGUGUUUUGGAAGGCCCCCACACAUCUGAGUGAAUAUAUUCCAAAAUACCUUUUGUAUUAUGGAUAGCAGUGCCGAAUUUCACUCUCUUUUGCUUUCCCAGAACACAGUGCUCACAAAAUUUUAAUUUGCAAGCCUUUGCACCUUUCAACAAUCCUUGUUUUGCCAGAAUUUGUAAGGAUUUUUCGCUGGCAUGUCCCAACUUCAUAUGCCACAACUGCAUUGAGUCCAAGUCUUUGUUACCGGAAGCUGCAGCGACUGCUCCAAUAACUGUACUACCUUGGUAGUAAUACAAGUUAUUUUUCCUGAUGCCCUUCAAUAUCACAAGUGCGCCAGAUGUCACUUUCAAAACCCCAUCUCUCAUAGUAACAACUGAACCAUUGGAUUCCAAGGCUCCCAAUGAGAUGAGAUUUUUCUUCAAACUGGGCACGUACUGAACAUCAGUCAGAACUCUGGUUGAUCCAUCUUUAUUCUUUAAUUGGAUUGAACCUAUCCCAACAAUUUUACAGGCAUUGUCAUUGCUCAUAUAAACAACUCCUCCAUUUAGUUCUACUAAAUCAGAGAACCACUCCCGGUUAGGGGACAUAUGAUAGGUACAACCCGAAUCCAAUAUCCACUCAUCUGAAUGGAACGACGAUGAUGAUGCAACCAGUGAUAGUUCAGAGUCACUAGUAUCAUGCUUAGCAACACAAGCAUCUACAGCAGCUUUUCCCUUAUUCUUCAGCUUUGGACAAUUUUUCUUCCAGUGGCCUUUCUCAUGACAAAAAGCACAUUCAUCUUUCCCGAGUCUGGACUUUGACUUUGAUAUCCCCUUUUGAGUUUUCUUCCGAGUGUAUGAACGACCUCGGACUACUAAAGCUUCUGUAUCUCUGAUUGAGUUUUUCUGUUUGUCCUUCUUUCUCUGUUCAUAACUGUAUAAGGCCGCACAGACUUCGCUCAGAGAUAUAUCACUCCUGCCAUGAAGUAGAGUAGUUUCUAGGAACUCAAACUCCUCAGGAAGUGACCCCAACAGCAUCAAAGCCAAAUCUUCAUCUUUGAAUGUCUCAUCCAUAUUCAGCAAAUCAGUGACUAACUGAUUAAAUUUGGUGAUGUGAUCAUUCAUUGUGGUACUUACGUAUGUGAAGCGAAACAGUCUUUUCUUCAAGUGGAGCUUAUUUUGACUGUUUUUCUUCAAAAAAAUUUCUUCAAGUGCCACCCACAACUUAUUUGCAGAAGUCUCCUUUGAAAAAGCAUACAUCUGCUCUCGAGAAAGGCAUGAUCGAAUUGUGCCACAUGCCAACCGAUUGAUCGCCUUCCAAUCUUUCUCCUGUACAUCAUCUGGUUUCUCUUCAUCAAUGGCAAUGUCUAGACCCUGCUGAAAAAGGGCAUCUAGAACCUCACUUUGCCACAUACCAAAAUGGCCCGUGCCAUCAAAGAUUUCCACGGCCAAUCUUGCAUUUGCAAUUGUCGGUCUUGUCCACAUGGACGAUGUUGAAGCUCCUACACCGACCGUUUUCUCCAUAAUCUUUCAAUAUAUCUAAGGAAAUCUUUUCUGAUGUGGAAGAUCAGUUUAAACUGCAACCACAGAGCAUACUACGAUUAACCUUCGGCUCUUGAUACCACUUGUUGUUCCAAUAGGGUCGGAAGCGUGUAAAUUAUUGUACUAAAAAAUCACACAAAGUUCAAUUCCCAGGGAAGAGAGGUGGAUCACAUGGAUCUCUUAAAUACCAAGUCUUUCCUUAGACAGAAUAUCCCUUCUAUAGUAAUUUAAUAGCACAAUUAAAUACUACUAUUAUACCCUCAAAUAUUGAAAGAAAAAUAGGACAAAAAAGAACACAAGAGAUUUAACGAGGUUCGGUAAAUUAUACCUACGUCCUCGGGCACUAACACCAGAUGAUAACUUUACUAUCUCCAAAGUAUUACAAACAAAUAGAAUUUCUUAAGAAUUCUCAAAUGGGAGAAGAGAGAAAACUAAGAGAGAAAGAUUGGUUGGGAUGAAUUGAAAUGAGAAAUGAGAAGGCCUAUUUAUAGUUGAGGUUCAAGGACCAAACAAUAAAUAGCCCAUUAUCUCAAGGACCAAAAAAAAUUAUCCCUUGCCACUUUUCCAAAGUUGGUGGUUGUCAUUAUUGAUUGUCUCCCAUUAAUGUUAAUGGCAACCAUUAUUAAUUGUCUUCCAUUAAUGUUAACACAUUAUGGCAACAUAAUGUGCAGGAUCCGAAUUGGCACCCGUAUAAGAUGAUCAACAUCCGAGGCAACUUGCAUACACCGAUUGCUCAGAAAACCGUACUGUUAUCAAACAUCUGUUGUUCUACGAAAUGCGAGCUGGUUCAUUACUCAAAACUUACAUAUUAAUGGGAUGCCUUCUCGGUAAUGCAGGAAAUAAUAGACAAGGAUGAUGAGAAGCUGAAGGAGUUGAGAAAUGAAUAUAGUGACACAGCGUACGAGGCUGUCAGCACCGCACUGAUGGAAAUGAACGAAUAUAAUGCCAGCGGAAGGUAUGCGAUCCCGGAAGUUUGGAACAGAAAGGAGGGAAGGAGCGCUACCAUGAAAGAAAUCGUUCAGUACGUCGAGCAACUGAAGAUUCACAAGCGUAAGCGAUUUUCUUAAUGCUGAGCUUAGCAGUCCAUUGCUUUCAUGGAAAAUAAGUAGAAUUAUACACAAUCCUUAGGUAGGUAUUAAAUUUUAGAAUUAUAUUUGACAUUAAAAAGAGCUAUUUGUUCAUUCCAGCAUGAGCUCCAAAAUUAGGCUCCAUAUUUACAAACCUAAAUUAAACUUACUCCAUAUUUACAAACAGAAAUUAAACCUACCUACGAUAGUUGCAUAAAAAAAUAUUAUCAAUUUAAAAAAAAAAGUAAUUAAGUUGUUGGUAUUUUUCAUUUAAUUAAAUACUUCACUUUUUAAAAUGUAUCAAAAACUUUCUUUAAAUUUUAAAAAAUAAUAAUUAAAUCUUUGUUUUUCUUUUACAUACUCAAUGGCUACUUCAACUAUCAAAAAAAAAAAAAAAAGAAAAGACUUUUUGACAAUUAAAAGUAACUGCUUUAAUUUUUUUAGUUAAAGUCAUUCAGCGUCACAACCAUACAGGCGUGAUGUGUAAUAAAAAAUUAUAAAAAAUAAAAAUUAAUAAAAUUAUUAAAUUCUAAUAAAAAAUAUAAAAAUAUUUAAAAUUUAUUUAAAAUGUCAUAAAUGUAUAAAUAAAAUAUAUUAAAAAUGUUAUUUAACCACUAACUUUAAUUGUUGACUAGUAAAGUCCAUAAUUUUUUUUUCAAUUAAAGCCAUCAUGUGUCGCAAUGCAAUGUGACCUGUGAUGAAAAAUUAUAAAAAUAAAAAUCAAUAAAAGUUACAGAAAAAUUAAAAAAUAUUUCUUUUGGUACAAUAAUUUUUAUAAUUUUUUUAUAAAUUUUAUAUUUUUAAAUUUUUAUAAUUUUCUUACUAUUUUAUAAAAUUUUAUAACUUUUGCAUUUUUUUAUAAUUUUAAAUAUUUUAUAAUUUUUAAAUUGUUUAUAAAUUUUAACUCUUUUUUAUUAAAAUUUAAUAAUUUUUUAACUUUGAUUUAUUUUUAUUUUUUUUAUAUUUUUUUACAUGUCACACUAUAAUUGUGACCUUUAGUGUUUUACCAAAAUAUUAGGAGUGGUUAAUUUUAACAUUCAACCGCUAAAAUUAACAAUCACAAGACUUUUAACAGUUCAAAUAUUCAAUUGGAUAAAAAAAUUUAUUAUUUAAUAAAAUAUAUUAAAAUAAGGGUUUCGACUCAAAUCAUGAUGAAUUGAGCCAUCGAACUUGAGAAAUUAAAAUGUGAACAGAAAUGGGCUCUUCAAAAACCCUUACCCGAGCCCAAGAAGAUCCCCCAAAAACCUUCAACUUAUAACCCUAAUUUGCCUCUCAACUACACUAUAAAUCCUAUCUUCAACAAGACUCAUUCAGCAUUUAUAUCUUCUAAAAAACCCUUCGUUCGUCUAAGGUUUCUCUUUAGAAAUUUUCUCUUCGCAGAGAGUAAUUUUUGCCUUCAUUUUUUUUUCUCUUUAUUUUCCCAUUUUCAAUCUGGGGUUUUUUCCAAAAUGAGUUAAAAAUCCAAUCUUUACACUAGAUGUGAACCCUAAUCACAUUUAUUUUAUCUGGGUUUUGAAUAAAAUCUACACUUGUUUGUAUACUUAUGAAAUAAAAGAACCAUUUUUAAUGCUUUGUUUCUUAACAAGAGUGCAGAAAUAAAAAGCUUGAUUUUUUGCUUCUUUUAAAACAAAGAAACCAAGGAUUAAGCAGCGGCCAGACAACCGUAGCGAUGAUAUCCACAGAUGAAGGGCUAAUUUCUUCUUUAAUCCCUUUUUUGUCUACUGAUUCCAUCUCACAUUUCGUUUUUUAAGUUUUUAGGGUUCAUCACUUUUGAAUUGAUUGAAAAAGCUCUAAUCAAAGUUGAAACUUGGUUAAAAAAUGGGUUUUUUUAUAUGAUUUUACCAUUUUCAAUGCUUUUUUUUUAUGUUUUUUCAAUUUGUAAAAUCAAAUGAGAAACAAUCUCAAAAAAGAAAAAACGACAUUAAUCUAUCAAUCAAUCAAACUGAUUUUGAUUUGAUCAGAUAAAAAAUCAUUAAAUAUCAUAUUCAUGGGAAUUGCAGAGGUUUACUGUUGUAAUUCUUACGAUAUUUUAUCAGAUAUAUUUUACAUCUUAAUAUAUCAUUAAUAUAAAGUCAAAUUUUUUUAACAGGUUAUAUUUUGAUAUUAGUCCCUAUAUUUUGUUGAAGUUAUGAAUUUAGUCUCUAUAUUUUUUAAAUUUUAAUAUUUUAGUCUUUAUUAAAUGAUAAUUGUUAAAAGUUAAAGUUUUGUUAUUUUUAAAAUCUAUUGCAUCAAACAUAUUAUCACAUGCUCAAUGUCAUGUCAACUUGUUAUUUUCAUGUAUUCUUUACUAAAAAUUUAAGGGUAAAUUAUCAAAAUAGUCACUUUUGUUUGACUCAGGUUACAUUUUAGUUACUUACGUUUGAAAUGUUACGUUUUAGUCACUUAUGUUAUCACGUUGUAACAUUUUAGUCACUGAGCCGUUAGUUUUUGUUAACGGUGCAACAGUAAACUGAUGUGGCACGUUAAAUCAUCAUUUCAAACAAAAAUUCUAGGUUAACUUAUACAAUCGGUCCUCAUAUUUUUUCGUUUUGAGCAAUUUAAUUUUUUUCUUUUAUGUUUUUUUUAACUUUCUUUCUUUUCCAUUCUCUUAUGCUUCUCUCUUUGUUUUCCUCCCUUCUCCAUUUCUUUCAACGUAGUUUUUCUAUGUUUUAUUUUUUUGAACAAUUUAAUUUUUUCGAGUGAGGCGAGCUUGUGGACUAGUUACAAAUGGAAAGCAUAGAAAAACUAUGUUAAAAGAAAUAAAGAAGGGAGGAAAAUAGAGGGAGAAGAAUAAGAGAAUGGGAAAAAAAGUUAGAAGAACAAAAAAGAAAAUUUUUAAAUUGUUGAAAAUGAAAAAAUAUAGGAACCAAUUGUAGAAUUUAACCUAAAAUUUUCGUUUGAAAUGAUGAUUUAAUGUGCCACAUCAACUUAUCGUCCAUUGUCGACAAUUAACGACUCAGUGACUAAAAUGUUACAACACGAUAACGUAAGUGACUAAAAUGUAACAUUUCAAACAUAAGUGACUAAAAUGUAACCUGAGUCAAACAAAAGUGACUAUUUUGGUAGUUUACCUAAAAUUUAAUUAAUAGAUUAACAACUGUUAUUUGAGUCGAAACUAAAAUAUAAAAAAUUACGACUUAAACUGAUCCAAUUAAAACAUAUGGACUAAAUCUACAACUGUGCUUACAAUACAUAAUUAGCAAUUGAAUUUAAACAAUUAGAUUUAACAAUAACUAUUUGUGUUAAAAGACUAAAAUUUAAAAAAGUACAGAGAGUAAAUUUGAAAUUUUGACCAAUUUGAAAAGUACAGAGACUAAAACUAACUAAAUUAAAGUACAAUGACUAAAUCCAUAAUUUUUAUAAAGUACAAGGAUUAAUAGAAAAUUGUAACCUUUUUAAUAAAGUAAUUUUGAUUUUUAUUAAUUUAUUUAUAUCUUUUGCUUUUGUAAAUAUAAUAUUUUUAAAUAUUAUUUUGAUUUUUUAUUAUUUUUCAAAAGUUUUUACUUUUAGAAUGAAUGGUCUAAUUUAACCUUCAGUCCAAUUCUUACAAAAUUGAUAAACACUAACAAUGCAUAAUUUAAUAAAACUUUUCAAGUAAUUUAUAAAAAAACACUCAAAUUAAGUAAAUUAAACACACAUUUCAUUUUAAAUUAAAAUUAUAAAUAUUUAUGUGUUAAAAAAUAAAAAUAAAGUAUCAUCGAAGCUGCGGGCUGCAAUCUUCCCAAGCAACUUCAGCCCCCAUUACUUCCCCACUCUUUUUUUUCUCUUUUUACCAACACUCAGAAAAUCAAAAUUUUACCACACUUUCCCUCAUUUUCCCGGAAAAUAAAAUAAAGAUAUUAAAACCAAACAAAAAUCCAAAAAAGGAACUCGGUGAAGAUUUAGAUUUAGACCCUGAAAUUUUUGCCAGUGAAAGUUUGACCAAAUUGCCAAUGAGAAGGGACAAUGUUCCACGAAGUAGAGGUCCGAUGGUCGCUGCCGGUGACCCUAGACGACAGAGAUUGGCCGACUAAAACGGCGUUGGAUUGCCAGUUUUGGCCUCAGUUUCGGCUCAUGCUCAUCCACUCCGUUUUCGACCCUUUAAUGCUUGCUUUCACGAUAUCGCCGGCGCCGGCCACGUUUGUGAUUAGGACCAAGUUGAAGUAUCGGAAACCGUUGAUUGUGAAUCUGAUUCCUCCUCGUUUCUGGCAUGGCACCCUGAAGAAUCAUACGAAAAAGGAAAUGAAGAUUGGGUCAAAUCUAUUGACACUAAUUGUUGAAGUUCGAAAAUCGGUCUAAUAUUUAAGAAGGUAAAAGCGUUUGAACGGGAUGAGAUCAUCUCAACAUAUUGGUUAGACCGCGAAUCGAUUAAAAUAUCGGAGAAAGUAACUUGAUCAAUUAACUCGAAACUAAUACAAAUCAAGAAAAUUACUAGACAAGUUAACUCGGGAUUUGAUACAUCUAAGUUUGAUUUUUAUUAUAUAUAAUUUUAAUUUCGGUUUUAAAAAUAAAAAGCUAAGGGAAUAUACCUUCUAAAAUAGAGAAUAAAAGGGGCGCAACUGGCUAAUCCUUUGUUCUAUUGGCUAUUGCUAAUGCCUUGGAAGUUGAAAGUGUACCUUACUUUGAUUAGUGAAUGGCCGAAUAUGCUUACAAGAAUAAAUUAAGAAAUUCAACGUGGCUUAACAUACAUUUGUAUUUACUGUCACAUGAAUUUGGAUAACAACGAUUGAGAUGGAGAGAAAAAUCAUAUCCAAUUAUGUUUAACACUAGCAUUACGUACAUAAGCUCACACCGACUGAAGAAAACUUUACAUAUACAAGUAGAAGAAAUUUCCGAAUGAACAAAGUCAGUCUUCGCAUCCUAGUUGUUGUUCCAUUCAAUCUCUGUAUGCCCAAAAGAAAAUGAGAGAAAACAAUUACUACGACUAAUGACAUUGUUGAUAACAGGAAAUAUCAUUGUCAGAGAAUUCAAGACUCAAGAGGGAGCAUAUAUAAUUAAUCUAUACUAUAUUACCAUACAUAUGCCCUCAAAUAUUUUUAAAAUUAAUCGUUCAAAUCUAAAUAUAUAUUUGAAAAGAGUAUACGAUAUUAUAAAGGAUCGUAAAAAUCGAAAUAAUAUUUAAUUCUAUAUCGUCUUCUAGAAAGAACAUGAGCUAUGGUGAUAAAAUAUUCGAAUUAUUCCUCUAAUCUCAUUUAUAUCAUAAUUUAAAUUUGAAGAACUUACGAGUAUCGAUGAGAAAACCCACAGGGUCUUUAAUGAGGGAGUUGUUUUAAUUUCUUGACUUAAAUUCAUUGAUUCUAAGGAAGCCUUUACAAACAGACAUAAUUAUUAAUUGAUCCAAUUUCAACAGCAUAAAGUAGGAUCAUAGGAUAAGGGCUUAGACAGAAACAACUUUAUUCUUUUUCUUUUAUGAGCGAAUCCAAAAAUUUUAUGUUGGGAGUUGUUUUUCCGCAAGUGGUGGGAACGGGCAUCAAUUAUUGCUUAAAAGUUAAGCUUGUAAUUUACAAUCAAGGCAUCCAUCAUUUUCUUCAUCCUGGUUAAUGAUAAUUCGAGAUAAAUGUUCCAUUUCCAGUUAAAAUAAAAAUUUUCUCAAGUUAAUUGUUUGAGGAGUAAAUUUAAAAAUAAUAAUAAGAUUGUUUUCUAAAUUAUAAAAAUAAAGAUACAUCAAAAUUAAAAUUUUAAAAAUAUAAAAAUUUUAAAAAUUAACAUAGAAUACACAUAGAUUGCUAUGUAGGUUGUCGUGUUUAAAAAUUUAACAUUUUAAUUAGUAUUCUAGUUUUUUUUUAAAAAAAACAUCAUUUCAGCUCUUUUUCAAAACUAAUAAAUAAGAUUAGAAAACUAAAAAUCGAAUAAAGAAUCGAAUUUAACUAGAUGUUGAGGCUUGUUUUACACAGUUUCCUUAACACAAAUUUGUCCGCUUCUACGGUACUUGGAGAAACAUUGGUCGACUGUCUCCCAUGAUACAAUAACACGAUGACUGAAAUAGCAUCACCUUUACAUGAAAUUGGCUGAUAUUAUGACGAUACUAGGUAGCAUAGAUAUCAUUAUGGGAGAAGUGGAUCGUUGAAAUGAUAAUUUAUACGACAGAAGUAGAAUAUAUCAAUUCCUUUUACACAUUGGAAUCUUUAAAAGAGGUCUAUGGGAUCAUAUGGAUGUUGGUCCCUAUUUUGACUCUUGUUUUGGGAAUCACAAUAGGUGUACUAGUAAUUGUAUGGUUAGAAAGAGAAAUAUCUGCAGCAAUACAACAACGUAUUGGGCCUGAAUACGCCGGUCCUUUGGGCAUUCUUCAAGCGCUAGCAGAUGGAACAAAACUGCUUUUCAAAGAAAAUAUUUUUCCAUCUAGAGGCAAUACUCGUUUAUUUAGUAUUGGACCGGCUAUAGCAGUCAUAAGAGACCAAUGAACAAACCUUGCAUUUUUCUGUCACCGGAACGUUGGAAAAUAUAGAGAGGAAAAGAGAAGAAUUUUCGAGAGCAAAAUAAACUUGGUUUUAGAGAGUCUUUUAGUGUAAAAAAUUUGAAGAAUUCUUAAGCAUUCAAGAUGGAGGAAUUUUGGAAAUAUCCAUAAUUAAAUAUAUAAAAUUUGUAUUAAAUGAGCAAUUAAAUCAUAAUAUAUGUCUUUUUUAAAUUAGAUUUUAUAUAUAUUUGCUGAGAAAAAUAAAUUUUGUGUUGGGCUUAAAAUAUCUAUCCCUUUUUGGGCCUGACCAGUUUAGACAUUUCACGUUGCCUACGUCGUGCGAGUGCGCUCCAACCCCGAUGGGUUUGGAUCUACACCCCUGCGCGUGAGACAAAGUUUCAAACUUAGUCAUUCAAUCAUCCUUCAAGUGGGUUCUCAUAUAUAGAGACAUCUCACACUUGGUAUUCAAUCAAUGUGAGAUCUAAGCUUUUCUUUUCCUCAACAAAUAUUCACAAGUAACUUACUUUGAGCAUUAAUUUCUCACUUAUCACUCAACCAUUUUGAGCAUACGAUAUACUGUUGUAAAGAUAUCAUUGAGUAGAAUAUAAAAUCAUAAUUUUAUGAUUCAAUUCUCCACCUUUACCAAUUGAGAAUAUGCUUUAAAGUUUCCAAAAAUUACAAUUUUUUCAACAUUUUAUACAUCUAUUUUAAAGGCAUAAUUGAGCCAAGUAGAGCCCGAAUAAUGACAAGUUGAACUUGACUCGAACAUCACUUUUUAAGGUCAAUCUUGAUUUAGAACAUAAUUGAGUUGAUUAAGCUCGUUUAUCAAUUUUUAUAAUCAAACCCAUUCAUAAUUAAGCUCUUUCUAUAUAUCAAGGAUAAAAAUGUAACUUCAUAAAUAAAAAUAUAUUUAAAUGGAAUGCUUAAUUAGGUUUGUGGCCUACUUGAAUCAAGUAUUACAAUAUUUAAAUUCGACUCAACCAAUAGCUCGAGCUCUACUCAAUAAUUUUCAAUAAAAUUUUGAGAUUUUUUGAAUCCAACUCGAAUUGCUUGCAAAUAUUAAUGUAUCACUUAUGCUUUUAAUUUUAAAUUUACAUUUUUAAUUCUUAAAAUAUUAUUAAAACCCAAUCAAUUGAAGGCUUUGUAGAAAGUGGUGGCAAAGUGCAUCCUUUACUUUAGGUCUCACUAUAUCUAAAAAGAAAUUAAUGCGAACCGUAGAAAGUGGUAGGAAUGUGCAUCAUUAUUGCUUUAAAAGAAUUUAAAUCUUUAAACGGAUAGAAUUAAAUUUUCAUAAUUUGGAGGAGUUAAAGUGUACUUCUUUUUACUAUUUUAAAAUUUUAAAAUUUUAAAAUUUUUUAAAGAGUUAAAAUAACAUUUUUUAUUUUAAGAGGGCCGAGCUCCCUGUCAACCUCUAGAUUUACCUCCGUAAAUUUCAAAAUUCAGUUAAAUUAUGUUAUUUUGAAUAAAACGUUAAUUGAUAAAGAAAUUCUUUUAGUUUCAAAAAUUCAAUUUUUCUGUUUUAAAAAAAUAUAUAUUAAAAUUUAAAAUUUAAAAUAUUAAAGUAAUAAAAUUUAAAUAUAUCAAUGUCUUUUUGAUACAUGCAUGAAUGGGGUGAAACUUAUUAGAUUCCAAUCAUCAAAACUGCCAAUUUUCAGGCUCGGAAAAUCAGCAGACUUGCGGCGACUGGAUCCUGGUAUUUUUGGGUUGAGAUGUCUCAUGGCGUUUAAAGAUCUAUCUCUUAGCUUUGAAACGCAUUUUGAAUAACUCGAUUUUGAGUUCGGGAGCUCAAGUUAUGACCGUUUUAGUGAAGACUACGCGAGAAGAAUUUCUGAACGGGAUUAUGACGGGAAUUACAAAUUUCGGGCUUUUAAUUCGAGUUUAAAUCAUAUUGGAUUCGGGUUUUAGACUUAAUUUUUAUUAUAUAUGAGCCCAAUAUUAUAUUUGUCAGAUCUUAUUAUUUUAUUAUUAUUUUAUUCUAAUUUUUUUUAUAAUUAUUAAGUAUUUUAAGUUAUUAGAGUUCUAGUAUUUUAAGCUAUAAAGGCCAGAAAAAUGUAUUCUUGGGGGUGAUUUUUGAAGGUAAAAAAGCAACAGAAAAUCAAUACAAAAUAAUCAAAAAUUUCAAACAAAAAAAGAGAGAUUUAGAAGGUAGUUUUUUUUUCUCUGUUUUUGUUUGUUUUAUUUAUUAUUUUUUCUUUCUUUUUCUAAACAGAAACACAGAAAAUAAAACGGGACCGAAAACUCACCUUUUUAGAGGGAGGGCUGAGAGAGAGUUGAGCAAGAAGAGAAGGAUUUUUUUUUUAAAAAAAUGAGGUUACCAAUGAUUUUUUAAAGUUUUUUUAAAUUAUAUAAACACCCCAAAACGACGUCGUUUUGAGUUUGGCUUCUGACACUUAAAACGGCGUCGUUUCACCCUUGACCCGCGUGCGACCUGACUCGCUCCAUGGGGAUCCUCGUGUUUUCAAUUUUUAGGCUAUUUACGCCUCUGGUCAUCCCGCGUUUUCCGGUUGUUUUAAUUUAGUCCCUUUUUUACUUUUUUUCUCUUUAUAUAUUUGGCCAUUGAUUUUGUGGCGUGUUUUAAUUUAGUCUCUGGCUCGCUAAAAAGGACGCGUGUCAAGGAGAUCGGGUUAUUUUCCCAUUUGGUUCUCGUUUGUUUUCGGGCCUUUCGAAUUAGUCCUUUGUUCUUUUUUUAUCUUAAUUUAUCCUGCUAAUUUAAUUUGAGUAGCAAUCGGGUCCUUUAUUCAUUUAUUUUUGUGUAUCUUUAUUGUGUAUCUUUAUUUAUUUUGCUUUAUUAUUUUUACUUUAUUACUCCUUUUUAUAUAUUUGUUUAAAAUUGGAUUGUGUAUAUGUUUAUUAGUUUUUUUUUUCUUUUGGUUAUCAUUCUUUUACUUUUUAAAUAUUUAAAUCUAAUAUUAUGAACAUUUACUUUAUCUAUUUACUUAUUUAUUUAUUAUUCUUUUACUUUUCAAACGCUUAAAUUUAAUAUUAUUUACAUUUGUUUUAUCUAUUAUUCACUUAUUUUUUCUUUUACUUCUAAAGAAAUUUUAAAUUCGAUAUUAUUCGUAUUUGUUUUAUUAAUUUAUUUUUUAUAUUUCAAUUUAAUGAUAUUUGUUUUAUCUAUCCAUCAAUUUAUUAUAUAUAUAUAUAAUUAGAUACCACUUAUAUUCAUUAAGCAACUUUCAUUUUCAUUUAUAUUUUGAAUUAUUUUAUUUAUUGUGUUGUGGUGUUAUAAAUUGAUUUUUUUAUUAUUGCUAUAUUCACUGUUAUUGCCAUAGUAUUUGGUCAUUUAGUUGUCAUUUAGUAUCCUAAUAUAAAUCGUACUCAUAGUCAUAUCACAUUAUUUCAUUACCAUUGUAUUAUACACUAGGUUCACACAUAUUUAUCCAUUUUUUUAUAGACGAUGCCCGAAUUAAACAUGUAUGCCUUGUAAGUGUUACAUUAAUAUUUUAUUCGGUGCACAAAAAGAAAAUUAUUUUAAAUAAGUAAUAUUUCGUAUUUUAGAAUUCGUAAAUUCGUUCCUUAACUUACGGAGUUUCGAUCUUCUCGAUAAAUCUAAAUAAAUGAACCUUUUUUAAAAACAUAAGUUUUUAAAUAAUCUCAGGAAUUAAGAAGAGAUCGUGUUCUAACUUAAUGGAUAUGGUUUCAUUCUAAAACUGAGAUAAUCGAAUAUCUUUUAAAAUAAAUAAAUUUUCGGUGUUUAUUCUCGUUUCGAGGAUUUAAGGUAUUGCGUCCUAACUUACGGGAAGUAAUCCUUUUUCUCGAUUAACGUAAAAUAUUUUUUUGUAAAAAUUCAAUUAAGCGAUAUUGUAACAAAGGAUGGUAUUUUAAAUCUCUUUAAAGUUUUUAAUUUUCGACAUUAAAACAUUAAUUCAUCAAUUAGGUACCAAUUUUUGGCGAGACGAGUGUGCUAAUCUUUCUUCGCACAUAACCGACUCCCGAACCCGUUUUUCUUAAAUUUCAUAGACCAAAAUCAUUAUUUAAGUAAAAUCGAAACGUUUUAUUAAAAUGAUUAAAUUACAAGGUGAUCCGAUCACAUCUCGAAAAAAUAUCGGUGGCAACUCCAGUUUUUUCAUUUUCAUUUUUAAAAUAAAAGUAGACCCCUUUUGUUUCAAAAAUGGAGAAAGUGUGUUCCUAUCUUUUGUCAGCUUUACCAAAAGGGAAAAUAAUUGGCGAUAGAAUGUUGCUUUCUUUUGUCAACUUUUUAGCUGUAUCCACUAAAUGAUAAGAACUGCAUUCUCAAGUAUUUGUGUUUCUUUAGGAUUCUAUUGUUUACAUCUCAAUUUUUUUUUUACAUUGAGUUGCACUUUGUCAAAUUACUUCUCGCAUUACUCUGUUAAGAAAAUUAUCUUUUCGCUCGUUCGUAACUACGAGAACUAAUCGCUGAAUCCUUCUCUUAUUCGUUGGAAAGGUACGCCAUCUGCUUUCAUUUUGGUUGAUUUGGUCUUACUUCUUGGUUUACAGAAGCUUUACUUUUUGCUCAUUUGAUUUGUAACUUUUUCUUCUGAUUUUGUUUUAAUCUUUGUUGUCGCUGUGGUUAUUCAGUUUACUUCUUGUUUGACCUCUCAAUGGAGUCUGUUACUACCCUAGUUGGCUCUAUUGUCACUAAAGCUGUAGAGUAUACGAUCUCUCCUAUCAAAAACCAUGUCAAAUACCUUUCCAAUCAUCAGCAAUAUGUUGAGACCCUCAAGGACCGAGCUGAGAGGCUGAAAGAUGCAAGGGACAGAGUGCAGCAUUCUGUUGAUGCAGCUCAACGAAACGGUGAAGAGAUCGAAGGGGAUGUUGGCAAAUGGUUGUCUGCAGUCGACAAAAAGAUUCUUGAACAAGCAGAGAAAGUGAUGCAAGAUGAAGAAAAAGCAAAGAAAAAGUGUUUCAUUGGUUUGUGUCCUAAUUUCAGGACUCGUUACAAGCUUAGCCUGAAAGCCGAAGAGGAGGCAAAGGCUGUUGCCGAGCUACUUGAACAUGGCAAGUUUGAAAGGGUUUCCUAUCGUGCAGCUCCGCAAGGUAUCGUGGUUGCACCAGUUAAAGGUUAUGAGGAAUUCGAGUCAAGAACGUCCAUUUUCAAUGGAAUAAUGGAGGCACUAAAAGAUGAUAGCGUCAGCGUUGUUGGGGUGCAUGGUAUAGGUGGGAUUGGAAAAACAACGCUGGUCAAAGAAAUUGCUAGAAAGGUCAAGGACAAGUUGUUUGAUUCGGUUGUCAUAGCAACCGUAACUCAAGCCAUCGAUAUUGAGAAGAUUCAGAACCAAAUUGCAGACUUCUUGGGCUUGAAAUUUGAGGAACAGAGUAUGGUUGGAAAGGCAUUUCGACUACGAGAAAGAUUGAAGAAAGAGGAGAGGAUUCUGGUUGUCUUGGAUGACAUUUGGGGAAAGGUUGAUAUUGAGGAAGUAGGGAUUCCUUUGGGAGAUGAACACAAGGGCUGCAAAUUACUAUUAACUUCUAGAGAGCUCAAUGUUUUAUCAAAUGGGACGGAUGCUCAGAAAAAUUUUCCCAUUGGGUUUUUAAAUGAAAAGGAAGCCUGGGACCUGUUCAAGAAGAAGGCUGGCGACUGUGAUGAAAGUUGCGAUUUGAAGCCUAUAGCUAUGGGGGUAGCCAAAAAAUGUGCAGGACUGCCGAUAGCUAUUGCGACAGUUGCAGGGGCUUUGAGAAACAAAAGAUUGUUUGAAUGGAAGAAUGCUUUACGAGAACUGGAGAGGCCUUCGUCAAGCAACUUCACGGGGAUAACUGCGGCAUAUUCAGCUAUAGAGUGGAGUUUUAAUUAUUUAGAAAGCGAGGAAGUUAAGCGGACUUUCUUGCUUUGCAGUGUAAUAGGCCAUAAUGGUCUCGUUGAGGACUUGGUAAGAUACACUCUAGGUUUGGGUUUAUUUGAUGGUGUCAACACUAUGGAAGAAGCUAGAAAUAAAGUAUUGACGGUUGCGGCUAAUCUCAAAGCGUCUGCCUUGUUGCUUGAUAGUUAUAAUGAUAAGCGCUUUGAUAUCCAUGAUGUUGUUUGGGAUGCUGCUAUAGCUAUUGCAUUGAAGGACUACCGUAUGCUUGUUUUGAGAGAUCAUGCUCCAAAGGAGUGGUCCGAUAAGGAGAAAAUGAAGACGUGGAGUGUGAUCAGCUUACGUUGUCCUCAGAUUAUAGCUAACCUUCCUAAGGAGAUGGAGUGCUCAGGACUUUCCUUUUUCCACAUGGCCUAUAAUGGCGCGGUUAAAAUUCCUCUCAAUUUCUUCAAACAAACCGUAGGCCUGAAAGCCUUAGAUUUGGUCGGAAUGCAGUUUCCAUCCCUCCCUGAAUCAAUUAUUCACCUUGCAGAGCUUCACAUGUUGUGUCUAAAAGGAUAUGCAGUUGAUGACAUAACCAUCCUUGGAGAGCUCAAGAGUUUA